GGAGGUGGAGAUGGAGAGGAGGAAGUCCUUGAUGAGGAGCUGGUGGGAGGCGGCCCAGCGGCCGUACCAGAUGAGGUAGAUGUUGAUCGGGGAGGAGAGGACGGGGCCCAUGUGGUAGCGAAGGUCGACCAAGUCGGAGGAGCCCUCAAAUUUCUUGGAGGCGGAGAGGGACUUGGGGGAAGCUUUGGGUUGAAGUAGGAGUCCGAUUGUGUUUGGAGAGUCUGCUGCUUAGCCGAGGAAUUGGAGGCGGCAGCAGCAUUGUUGAAGGGGACGAUGAGGAGGAGGAGGAGAAGAAGCAGCGGCAAUAGUGUCUGUGCUCCUCCUCCUCCUCUUACUGCUGUUUUAAUCAACAUUUUUGCGUGUAAAUUUUUUUUAUAAAAUAAAGUCACUUUCCUCCUCCGGGAGGGGAAUAAAAGUAUAGCGCCAGAAAUGGAAAUGGUUGAGGCGGGGAAGGGGACUGGGAAGAGGAGGGAACAGCGGUAGGGAAGCAAGGGGGAAGUUUGCGUUUGCCGCGAGUGAGGAGAGGGUUUCUCUGAUCUGUGAAUUUAUAGGAAAGGGAGAAGGAAGUCCCUACUCCGAUUUCUGAAACUCUCCAAGAAGUUCUUUUUUUUUUUAAAAAAAAAAAAGUGUGUAUUAGGACAGUAGUGUCGCACACACAAAAGUGUGGGUGUGUGUGUGGGAUCUCUCUGCGCUGUGGUUUGGGAGGGAAAUGGGCUGGUGACAGCUAUUAUCAGGGAUUUGGAUUUCAAUUCAUUUUAUGUGGGCACGGGCACAGCAGUCGAGUACCGACCAGUGUCAAUUGCGCUUUUUGAGUUAUUUUAACAAAUUUAAACUCGACUCACAAAUUCAUAUAUUAUAUGAAUGAUUGGAUAUUGAGCUUUUGGACUUUAAGCUCACAUUAAAAGGAUUAAACUUAAUUCACAUUGCUAUAUUAUAAGAGUUUGGAGCUCAAAUUGACAUUGAUCCAAAGUCAUGAUUAAAUACAUAAUUAUAUAUAGAAUUAAAUGCAAAAAAGCCUCACGAAUUUAUUGCACUAGUUGCAUUUUGCAUCCUAAAUUAUUUAAUAGGCACUUUACAUCCUUAGUCAAUUAGAAAACAGUAAGAAAAUUAACUCUAUCCAAAUAAUUGAUGAAAUGACCCAUUUAUCAUCCACUAAAAGCUUGUAAAAUGACAAAAAUAAUUUUUUGGUAGGGAAAAUUGUCACCUUAAAUGGAUUAAUUUUCACUUCAUAAUAAAAUUCUGACUGAAAACAUAUAACAAUAAAAUAUAUGAUCACUUUGAACUCCAACUCAAACAAAAGAAGCAGGAAAAAAAAUAAGAAAGGGAAUAAAUUCAAUUCAAGAAUCUUAGUAACCCCUUUUUAUUUUUACAUAUUUGAAGUUAGCCUAGGGAAAAAAAAAUUUGUUAUCGAGCAAAUUUAAAUAAUUUUGGAGUUUAAUUUGGAGUCCAAUACUAAUAUGUGAUUUUUAAUUUUGGUUCGGUAUUGCAACUUUAUUGUAGUUAUUGUGCUAAAUUCAUAUGAAAAAUUUUGGAUGCUACUCUAAUUUUAUUCUUGUAAAGAUUUCAAGUGAAAAUUUGCUCAUUAUAUGAAGUUAUGGCAUUAUGAUGCACUAAAGAAAAUUAUGAGAUUCUAAAAUUGCAACAAUAGUCGUUUAAUAUUUCCAUGCCUUGCCCUCAUUUUGACUUCACUAGUCUUAAUUCUCAUUCAAAACAAAGCAGUAUUUUUUUAUGUGUUAAUAAAUAGACUUUUUGAUAUAAAGUGAAAAUUAGUCUAUUUAAGUAGUAAUCUUUCCCGCCAAAAUAACAAUUUUGUUACUUAAGUUUUUAAUGGAGAAUAAAUGGUCAUUUCAUCAAUUGCUUUGAUGAAAUUAAUUUUUGAAUUAUUUUUUAGUCGACCAAAUGUGUAAAGUGCCUAUUAGUAUGCUAUAGGGUGUAAAGUGUAACUAGUGUAAUAGUUCGUUAGAGUUUUAUACAUUUAAACCUUAUAUAUAAGAUAUAUUUUAUAAUUAUGAAUUAAUACAAAUUUAAUUAAAUUAUUAAUAUUUAUAUCCUAAUAUGUAUAAUUAUAAAUUAUAGAUAUUAUUAUAUAUUUUUUAUAUAUAUAAUUAUACUCAUAUAUGGGUUAGAGUUUAAUUGUGCUCGAGUCUAGAAUAACCCAAACCCAACUUACAUUUAAUUUGGUCCUAAUAUUUAGUUCCACACUCCCUCCAUCCCCAUCAAAGCAUAGGUUUGGUGAGCUUUUUUCGGGCUGGACUGACAGAACUCGGACUGGCUGCACUGGUAUACCACAUGUAUCAAAAAUGUGUCCUUUCGUUUCCUUUUCCUGCCUCUCUGUCUGUCUCCUUACUUUUAAUUGGACCGCAAUGUACAUGUAGCAUUAGCUCGCAGGACCGGACGGGAAUGACCAUGGACACGGACAUGGUGGCAAAAUGAGCGGAAUUUUAAUUGGACCGCAAUGUAUCAGGCACGAGACUUGUAAUCAAAGAGAGAGAAUAUUCCUUAUUUUUCUAUCUAAUGUAAAAUUACGUAGUUUCACGUAUUAAUAUUACUGAUGUGACACAUAAUAUUGAAUGUAUAUUUAAGAGAUGUUUGAUAAAUGGGUUUCAAAUUCAGUAAUAUCCGUAAAUAAUGAUUGUUUAUGUUUAAUUGUACCAAUAAUCUUCUACUUUGGAAUUUCACGCCGCAUGAUUCAUAUGAGAUUAGGCAAUCAUUUGAGGAUGGGAUUCUUGAGUUUGUCAGAGUUACAGUUACGUGCAGUCAUGUGAAUUUGAUAUCCAUUUACCAAACACUCCCUAAAUAUGCAUUCAAUGUUGUGUCACAUCAGCAGUAUUAAUAAGUGGAACUACGUAGUUUUACAUUCAACUGGAAAAAUGGACAUAAGAUCCUAUCCUCUAAUAUACAGUAUGGGUUUAAACUUUAAACCCAACCAAUCCUAUCCUAAACAUUUGUUGUGGGAUUAUUAGGGACGGGAUUAAUUUGAGCUAUGCCCGACUUAGGCUAGCACCGCCCCACAUAUUCAUGAAACCUUUUUUUUUUUUUUUUUUUUUAGUGUUUUGUUCGUACAAGCAGUAAUGUAUUUCCAAAUAACGACUUAUGUUAAAUCAAGUUAAUCUCUUGUUAUUGAGGUAGUAAUUAUAUUGCCAAAGAAAAGUAUUAUAGUAAUUAUGUCAAUUUUUUUUAAUGGGUGCUAUGUGAUUCCUAGAUAAAUCCUAGCUAUUCCAAAUUUUUUUUAUCUAAUUUUUUUGUACAUAGAAAAAUAGCUGCACGUAAAUGCAUUCAACGUUAAAUUUUUUCUCAUUUAUUUUUAAAAUAUUAAUUGUGCGUUCCUUAUAAAAUUAAAAUUAAAUUAGUGGUCUUGGCCUAAAUUUUUGAUAAUUUUUUCACCUUAUUUACACAAAUUUACUUGCAUUAUUACAGCGUAUUUUUCAAUUACUUUUUUAUAUUACAUAUAUUAAUAAAAAAACUUACAAUAAUAUUAUUCUUUUAUAAAAAUUAUUUCAAAUAAUUUCUAUCCAAACGCGCUUGUCUCGUGACUUGUGAGUUAUGACUCCAUUAAGGAAAACGCCAUCAGAUACGUUGCUGCAAAAGUGGAGUGGGGAUAAAUAAAGUGUUGAUCAGUCUCUUGUUGACUCCCGCACCCACAGAACACGCUAGCUAGCAGUAGGCCGGAGAGUUGACUAGGACGGGGCAGCGGUGGCGACCAGAAACGCAGAAUAGGAGGAGGACGUCCCCAAAAAAGAUCAAAAGUCAAGCCGAGAAGCCACCGGAAAACUCCACUAAGAGUAAAUUACAAAAAGAAAUUAAAAAAAAAAGAGAUUAUCCAUAUAUAGUUUUUUUGUCAGUCAUGUAAUGGUAGUAUCAUUAAGUAAGUGGGGUGGUUUAUUAAGAAGGUCAGGUGGCAAAAGCCGCAAAGACUUGGCUGCUUUUGCUUCCAGCUGCUGCCGCCUUGCUCGGUAGACCCGGCGCCCCAAACCUAACCUAAUCGGGGCUUCUUUCGAUUUUAGGUGUAGAAAUGGGGAAGUGGUGGCGGUGCGAUAUCCGCUAUCUUCUCCUGCUUGCUGUGAUCCCUUUCAUCUACGUCCAGGUCCCUCUCUCUAUCUCUCUCUGCCCACAUUGCUUCCAUUUCUGUUAUCGAUAAACCCUAAUUUUUCUCCUUUCAUUACUCCUCCUAUUUCCUUAAUGACGAUUUCAGCUUUUUAUUGAACAUGCUCACCGUGUUAUGUGAUUGGAAUCUAUCCCUUUUUUGGGUCUCAGAUGCGGCUCUUUGGCACCCAGACUGACUAUGCUGAUCGUCUUGCUGCUGCUGUAUGUAUGCCCUGUCUCUUAAUUCACUCCAUAUUCUUCCAUACCUAAACAUAUCUGUUUCUUUAGGGAUUUUCCAUUUCAUUUUAACUAUUUGGCUAUUAAAUCAUGCCCGUACGUGUAAGCGCAUGCAUCCCAUAUUUCCGUUUUACUAUGGCAAAUGGGGUCUAUACUACUUUUUACUUGGAGGUGAACUCAUGGAUGCUUCUAGGUAUUAAAACUCUGCUAAUUUCAUGUGGAUACAGCGUAAUGCUGUCAAUAAAGGCUUCAAGGUCUAAAGGAUUGAAACUUGAAUCUCCCUUCAGGGAAGAAGAAACUAACUGAAAUGUGUGAGAAGAAUCCUUUAGGAAGGGAGGUGCCAAAUUGCAAAAUUCCACUUAUUCACAUGGUGUCUUUUGCUGAUUUUAUCACUAAGUUUAAGGUUGGAAACUAAUUACUUUGGGGUCUUCUGUUUGACUUCGACAAUAUUUCAAUGACUCAAAUUGCUAAACCUCUAAUUUUGCACGUGGACUGUUUGUUGAGUAAAUUCGCAUUUUUCCCACAUUACUGUCAGUUAAUGCGUAAUAGUUACCCUUGCUUAAAACUGGGGAGAACAUAUGUACCUGAGACAUGGUAGCUUGUUGAUUACAUUAGGUAGAAGCAGAAAACCAUUGCACUAGCCAGACACGAUUACUGAUUGAUCAGAUUAGCAUGCAACAAGGAAGGAUUGUGGCCCUUGAAGGUAUGCUAUAUAGACACAUUCACACACACUGACAUACAGGUAUACAUGUUCUUCUAUCCUCAUAUUUUGUUAUUUUGUUUCUAACCAUUCUAUGUUGUUGGAAGUUGUAUGCUCCUAUCGACCAACAUUUGCAAAAGGAACACUAUUGUAGUAUGAGCAGCACUGGGAAUUAGACAAAUAAAUAUUCUGCAUCAUGCAUGGAAAGUUCAAUUUUUUGGUGCUAUAAUUUGUGAUGAAGGAAAGAACAGGAAGCCGGGUUUCACGUUAUGUGUUUCCUCUUCAUCCUUUUGCAGAAACCAUAUCCUAAUAGCACUUAAUUGCUUGUAUAUGGUUUGAAGUCUGACUUACUUCAACUGUUAAAGGGAUACUGCAUUAUUAUGAUAUUUGCUUCCUUCAAUUAUCAGAGAGAUGUGGGAUUUUUAUUUGGCCUGCCUGAACUGAGUUUUUGCUUAUCAUUUCAGAAGAAAAGAUGCGUCAGGACCAGGAAUGCAGACAAUUGAGGGCACUUGUUCAAGAUCUUGAGAGUAUGUUCACACUACUUAUUGAUGUUUCUUUGUGUCUUGGCGACAGUGCCAUUAUGCAGUAAAUUUUCUUUUGGCUAAUGAUAGAUCAGCAAUAAAGAGCUAUAUGAUGUUCUCGGGAGAACUCACAACACCCAUUAGAGCUAUGUGAUCCUGACAUUUUUCUUUCAUCCCCGUGUUUUUUUUCUUUCAUGAAUCUGUAGGGGAGUGCCUUGGACUAAUAUGAAAUAUUUUUAGGGCAGUUGAAAUCCUGUAUAUGUCUGAUCCACAAGUACAUAACUAAAUGGGAUGACAAUGUAAAUUGUUCUACUUAUCCAACCCCCCCCCCCCCCCCCACCCACCCAAAAAAAAAAGGUUUUCACACUUCUGCUAUAGCUUUUAAAUGAACCCUUGUCUCUUAGAAUAUCAUGUCAAAAACAGUACAUACAUGGAGCUACUUCUGUUCUUUUGUUUCUGAUUUCCUAAAUUAGGUCCAUAUUUGGUCAAGACAUUACAUCAUCUCAUACAUCAUUUCAAAGCAAUAAGCACCCGACCUCACGCCUAUUUAUGUGAAUAAGUUUAUUGGCUUGUGCAUGAUGGGUGACACUGAUGUUCUCUUGUUGUAGGGAAGGACCUGAAGAAGUUAAUUAGCAAUGUGCAGGUUCACCGUGAAAUAAGAAAAUUUUGUUAUAGCCUACUUGAUUAGAGAUCAUAGCCUACUGUAUUCCAACUAUUUUUCUUUGUAUAAAUCAGGUGCCAGUAGCAGCCGUUGUAGUAAUGGCUUGCAAUCGUGCUGAUUACCUUGAAAGGACCAUCAAAUCUAUCCUGAAGUAUGUUUGUGUUUUUAGCUACUGUUUGGAUUGAUGGAAUUGAAAAGGAAAGGCAAGGAAAAGGAGGGAUUAUGUAUUUUAUUUUGGAUUGAUUUUUUGAGGAGGGAAAGGGAUGGAGAAGAUAAGUUUUAAAUGUUAAGUUCAUUUUUGUCCUAAAGUAUGUGUACUGCAAGGGAAAGGAACAUUUUGAUUAAUAGUUUUAAAAUAUAUACUUUCUAGACAGAAACUUUGCUAUUUGAUUCCUUGCCUUUCUAUCUCACAGUUUUUUAAACAUGUCCUCUAUUUGCCUUUCACAUCUAUCGAAUCAAAAAAUAAAGUAAUACCACCACCCUUUACUUUUUUUUCCACCAUUAUCUAUUCCUCUCAUUUCCUUUCAAUCCUAAGGGUGCCCAAGCAUUAUUCUUCUGCUAAGUAAAAGAGUCGUACGGGAUUUUACCUGACCAUUAUUGGUAUGUUCUUCAUGUCAACCAGAUAUCAAAAGUCUGUCGCAUCAAAAUUUCCUCUCUUCAUAUCACAGGUACAUUGAUGAGGUGGAGAUUGUCUCUUCUAUUUGAUAUUUUGUGUUUGAUGAUACUUGUGGAGAUAGGCUGCAAUUUUCAUUUUUUUUUCUUUUCUAUGAGCAGGAUGGUUCAGAUCCAAAUGUUAAAAAUAGGGCUUUGAGUUAUGAUCAGCUGACAUACAUGCAGGUAUUUCUUGUUAUUUGUUGUUUGUGGCGGCUUUGGCUAUAAGUUGAUAUAUAUAGCUCUCAAGUGAAUUGAUACUAGGGGCCUGUGAUUUUGUAGGCAUUCCCCUUAAAGUUUAGCACCUUUUUCUGAUAUUAAUGCAUCUGAAUAGUGAUCCAAUUAGAAACUGAGACACAGUUUAUUUGUCAAGAUUAUGAAGGAAAGAUUGUCCUUUUAAUUUGCAUCAUUGGCCUGAUCCUAUUAUCUUAAUAAACUCUGAGAAUACUCUUUCAAUGAGUCUGCUUUCUAACUGUUUUGAUGAUUCCUGUUUUGUAGCACUUGGAUUAUGAACCUGUCCACCCAGAUAGGCCUGGGGAGUUAAUUGCCUACUACAAGAUUGCACGUAUGGCUGCUUUUAUGUCUUCUUUAAAUGACAUAUAAGUGUAUCUCUUACUUUUUGAUGAUGUUAUAGGUCAUUACAAGUGGGCAUUGGAUCAAUUGUUUUACAAGCACAAUUUCAGCCGAGUCAUCAUACUUGAGGGUGCUGACAUCUCCUUUUGAAUACUUCUACUCUCUUGUCUUGCUUUCACUAAGAGUCAAUUCUUGCGAACUGCAGAUGAUAUGGAGAUUGCCCCAGAUUUUUUUGCCUAUUUUGAGGCUGGAGCAAUGCUUCUUGACAGUGACAAGUUAGUUUCUUUUGAAGAUCAAAUUCUUUUCGAGUGUAAUAAUUUCUGUAAUUUACACGCACUUUAAACUCUUGACACUAGGUCAAUUAUGGCUAUAUCUUCGUGGAAUGACAAUGGGCAAAAGCACUUUGUGCAAGAUCCUUGUAAGAUUCUUAUCUUUUUUUUUUUUUUGUUGACUGUUCAACAGACAUAGCUUGAAUAAGAAGUUUAGCUGGAUUAAACUGCAUAAUGCUGUUAUUGAAACCAUAAUUUCAAGGGCUGUUUGAGUGCUUUUAUCGUUGAGUGGAGCUCCUGUUCUCUGAUUAACUUGAUUAAUGCAUUUCAGACAUGAAUUAUCAUCAACUUCUAUUGUAAACAGAGCUUUCCGUUUCUGCUUGUAACCCAUUAUGUUAUUUGCAGACGCGCUCUACCGCUCAGACUUUUUCCCGGGUCUUGGAUGGAUGCUUUCUAUAUCUACAUGGGAUGAAUUAUCUCCAAAGUGGCCAAAGGCAUAUCCUUCUACAUAUUUAUGUUUGAACAUGACACUUACAGAAAGGGACUUGCAUUAUUUCAUUUUUAACUUCUCCUCCUUAGUUAUUAUAUCACAAUAAAAAAUUAGGGUGCAAUCUUUUGAGCAUUUUCUUGACCAAACAUUCACUUACUGGGAUGAUUGGUUGAGACAAAAGGAGAAUCACAAAGGUCGACAAUUUGUUCGACCAGAAGUGUGUAGAACAUACAACUUGGUGAGCAUGUAAGUAUAUCUGAGAACUUUACAGAUUUCUUCUGUUUAACACAGUUCAGGUUGUCUCUGGUGAUAAAGAGAAUGCAUUGGAUGGUGAUGUCCUGUCAGCCAUGGCUGAGUUUUUCUCUGGAUAUAUUGUCAUCUAUGAUCAAGUCUAUCUUCUGUUUAAGGACAGAUGUGGUCAUAACGAAGAUACUUGGUUUUGAUUCUGAAUGCUGUAAAUUGUCAUCUUAUUUGCUUCUGAAGAAGUUGCUGGAGCUACCUACCUCUAUAGUGUCAGCUAAUUUGAUUCUUUUGUUGCCUUACUGGUAGAGUUGACACUACUAGAUGUUUAGUAUCAUGGCCUUCCUCUAUCUCUCUCAUUUGAUGUUGCAACUUUCCUCUUUACGUUCAUUUUUAUAAAAUUUCCCACUCUUCCAUUCUUUUGGCAUAUGAUCUUUUUUCUGAAGUCUUGUUGAUUUACUUACAGGGGUCUAGUUUGGGGCAAUUCUUCAAGCAAUAUCUUAAACCUAUUAAGCUGAAUGAUGUACAGGUAUGUAUCUGUUGUCAUCGCUUUGUUCUUCGUUUUCACUUUCUUUAGCGGCUGCUACCAGACUCAGUUUCUCUGAUAGUAUAUUUAUUAUUCUAUUGUUGGCCAUAGGUUGAUUGGAAGUCUAUGGACUUGAGCUAUCUAAUGGAGGUAUUAAUACAGCUUAAACUGAAAUCUGUUUCAUAAGGCAAAAAUACAGGACAAAAUUACAUAGAGAAAUUUAGUGUCUUCCGUACUCAGUUAUUGAUUGUAAAUCAAAAUUUUCAGGACAAGUAUGUCAAGCAUUUUGCUGAACUGGUUAAAAAUGCUAAACCUGUGUAUGGAGCUGAUGCUGUUCUAAAAGCAUAUAACAUAGAUGGUGAUGUGCGCAUUCAGUACAGAGACCAAAUGGAUUUUGAAUUCAUUGCCCGCCAAUUUGGUAUUUUUGAAGAAUGGAAGGUAAUAAUAUGGAUUUGGUUUUCUUUUCUAUUUCCAUGGUGUUACCUAACUUUGAAGUUUGGAUUUAAGUUUCCUUUUUAAUUCCAUGGUGUCCAUAUAUCUAUUUGAUCGAACUUUGAAGUAGAGCUAUAUCAGAACUUGAAUGUCUGGAGGUAUGUGGUCAAAUUAGUUUAAGACUCAGAAAAUACACCUGUACACAUUUCUAAGAUUGAAAACACAUGCAGUUUUUUUCUUGAGUUCUCAUUCAUAAACUUGUAUUAGUUUAGUCUCUCCUAUUUCGCUGUGUUAAUGGUACACAAUUUUGAUUCCUGUGAGUUUACGACAUCAAUUCUUCUGCUUUUCCCAACAGAAGUGAAGUAUCAUUGAAAAACAGAAAUGAAUCAGCCUAUCUGUUAUGUUGAACAUAUGUUCUUUAGUUGUCUACAUAUUCUUCUGUAUUCAACCACCUACAGUUUUGCCCCCAUUAUUCUGUUUCCUUUCCUUUUGUAGGAUGGGAUACCACGGGCUUCGUAUAAAGGAGUAGUAGUUUUCCGGUAUCAAACCCCAAGACGUGUAUUCCUUGUCGGUCCUGAUUCCCUCCAGCUGCUUGGGAUUGGACGCACCUAGAGGUAACAAGCAUCUGCUCUUAUCCCAAUUUCUUUUCAACAAAAGCAGCUUAAAGGGCUAAUACCUUAAAGGUUACUGAAGGGAUCUCUAUUUUUGUAUGUUACUUCACACGUUCAAACACUGUUUUUAAGUGUCUUCCUGUAUGUUGCAUCCAUCACCAGAUAACUGAUGGAAGCCACAAAGAAACAUAGAAGCUGAGUAUGGACCUUCCGCUAUUAGUUUAUGCCUGAUGGCCCACAAUUGUUGAACAAAGAAAGAAUAAAGAUGGUUGAUCUUCUUUUUUACUUUAAGAUCACGUCUUGAAGUUAAUUGACUGACAGAUACCUCUAUUUGUCUCUGAGCAGUUUUGUAGAAGAGGACACGAUUUUCGGAUAAAGUGGUUUAGUGAUGUGAAAAAGAUUCCUAUAAAAGCAUGCAGAGGCAUUAUGGGCAGUUUAUCGUCCAAUUCACUGUAAGGAGUAUGUGACUGGAGCUUACAAAGUUAAGUUUUUUUUUUUUCCCUAAAAUUAUACACAGGAGAGUCAAAAGUACCAGUUUGCUACCAACAGAUGCAUUUUCGAGUGGAGAGGAAGAUGAAUUGCGACCAUCCCCUAUAUGAGCCCCUUCCUCCCUCCUUAGUAGUGUAGACGGGUGGUCGUUACUCUUUUGUAGAUUAUAGUACUGAGUAAUUAAAUGGACACAUACUGUUAAUAGUUAAAGACAGUUCAGUACCCAUAACGAAUCCUGAAACAUUUUUUUGCCUAAGCUGCAUAAAAUUUCACUUGGAUUGUGAUUCUAUAUUUCAUCAAUUAGUAGUUCUUUUUUUUUUCCCUCCUUUUCUUUUGGUAAAAAUUACGUUGUGUUCUAACUUUUAAGCAGUGCAAAAUGUGGUCCUCUCAGCUGCAGAUGGUAGCUGCUUGCAAAGAGGGCUCUAUUUGGAUACUGUGCACCUCAAUUGUAACAGAGAGAUUAGUUUAAUAAGAUGUCUGGUCCCAAUUGUUGCGAGAGGAGAGGAUACGCCAGAGUUCCUGCAAAGACAUUUUUAAAUUCCCAAAUGGCAAUUUUAGGCUCCAACAUUUUCUAUUUUUUUACCCUUUCUUGGACUAGAAAAGUUGUAGCGUUUAUCUGAAUCUUUAGAAAUUAAGAGCCUCAAACAGGACAGAGUUGCAACUGGGAUGGUAGACACAGGACUUUUGCACUAUAACAACGCAAAUAAAGACACAAUAAACCCUGGAAAGCCCUAUGGAAAAAAGGAAAAAAAAGGAUUCUGAACCAAGAGUAGACAUAGUCAAAAAAUGGUCUUUUGACUUGUUGCAGUGACUGUAGUCAUGGCCAAGAGUAGACGUUGAUCAAGAAGAAGAAAGGUGGCCUUGUUCCACCAGGGAUGCGAUGCAGUCAUCGAACAUUUCCCGGAUGGACCUGAAGUUCUUGAAUCCUAAGCCCUCCAGCUUCGAUGUAUUCAGGUCAUAAGAUGGUCUGUUAUCAAGCUUGUGAAACCUGAAACGGGCGGAGGUAUGGCAUGGGAAUCAUUUCGAUACAAAGGUAAGCUAGUAGUAACUAAGUAGAAUACUAAAUAGCAAGCAAACCUUUUGGGUAUAGGCAGGGCAGGGUAGGAAGCGGAUAGAAUGGAGGCGAGCUCAUCAUUGUCAAGGACAGUGGAAGAACAGAGGUAUCGUCCUUGAGCAUUCCUGCGUUCAUACACCAGGAUGUGACACAGCGCAACAUCGUCAAUAUGCACAUAUCCCAUUCUUCCAUGCCAUUCGAAUUUCUGCGUCUCCCCUGUAUUAUUAUAGUGUAUGCUACCCAUUAUGCUUUAGGGAUAUGCUACGAUUAACAGCAAAUAGCACACGAGAAUGAGAGAGAGAGCAGCUAGUACUCUACCUUUGGCAAGCCAAGGACGUCGGCCGCUGUGGAACAUAACUCCGGAGGCAAGCUACGUCCAACCACGAAUGAGGGGAGAACGGUGACCAGGUCAAUCUUGUUCUCCUCGCAGAAUUUCCAGGCAGCCUUCUCCGCCAGAGUUUUUGAAAACAUACCAGAUCUUCUUGCAUUUGCCAGAGCAUGCAAAAUUAAGCAUUAUAUCACGGCAUGUUUUUUUUUAUCCAAAAAUCUGUGUUUCUUAGUGCUGUUGCAAAUUCACAAACUGAUUUAUGCAGAGUUGCUGAUGAGGGUACGUACCUUAAGUCUCUCGCAGAGUAUCUCAGAGCUCCAAGAUGAUUCGUCCAGUGGUACGUUGGGAUCAAAAUCCUCUCUUGCCCUCACAGUUGAGGAAGACGAGGUCAGAACAACACGCUUCAGAAAUGGAUUUUUCUUGCACGAACGCAGCACAUUUAGCGUACCCUCAAUAGCAGGUUUCAAAAUUUCAGCCUAUGCCAUAAUAGGAUUAGAUUAGGAGUCUUGAGAGGAGGUCAAUAAGAAAGCAACGCCCACUUGAAAAGAACUUGGAACGCAAUAACGAAAAAAAAAAAAAAAAAAAAAAACCCUUCUUCCCCAUUUCUUGUUUCUCUCAAGUAACAGUUACACUGAAAUUGCUUUGCUAGUUCAUUGCAGUCCACAAUGUUAGUUUAGUGCCGCCAGCACUGCUGAGGAUUUUGUUAUGAGAAUUAUUGAGUUAAUAAAUGCUGUCAAAGUGGCAUCCACAAUCAAACUUUACAUGCCUUGGGAUCGGAUGCUGGUCGCCCUAGAACAGGGGAAGCAGUGUGAAAGACACCUUCAGAGCCCAUUAUUGCAUCAUCGAAGCUGCCUUCCUCCAUUAAGUCGCCCUUCACCAGCACCAGUCUCUCUUUUGCUCCCUCCAGCCUCCAGAGAUGCGCUACCUUCUUGGCAUUUUCUGUUCAUGUCACAAACUCACAACAGAUACCAAGGCAUACAUGACUCGCCGCCAUUCAAUUACAUCUUGGCAUGCUCAGUUCCCUGGAAUGUAUUCAUACCAUUCCAGCCAGGCACCAACACCAAAACAAUGAAAAGAAAAAAAAAAGGAAUUAACAAAAAAUAAAAAGAAAGAAAGAGCUACCUGGAUCUCUGACCGUCCCGGUUACUUGAUAGCCAGACAGCAGCAGUCGCUUGAUCAGCCAAGAAGCCAGAAAGCCAGAUGCACCGGUAACGCAUACUUUGCCCCUGAGUUCCACGUUUUCCUCCAUCGCUCGUUCUCUCUUGUUUUUUUGGAGUUUCUUUCCUCUUUCAUUUUUUGGCUCACCCCUUUUAUAAUAGUUCAAAGCUAUUACAUUUAAGGUAACACCACCUUCAGCGUCUUUAUUAAUUCAUAUACUUAAAUAGUGUAUAUAUUCAUCCAACAUUUGUGAAGCAUCGGAGGUUUUACAGAUGAGGCAAGUCAUCGCAGGUUUGUGAAGCAUCCACUUGACAACUAACUGCAUAAAACAGAAAUAAAUAAAAUCUAUCCAAGGCCUUCAGUCGAGAGUCGGCAACGAAAGUAUGACAGCUUUAAAUAUCUAUUGAACCUUUUAAGCCAACCAUGCGUCUCUUGCCCUCGUACCUAUUCACCCCAAGACAUAACGCAGCCACCAUGGCAACUCGUAACAAAUGCUAUUUUAAUUAGCAUUACAAGGGAAAAAAGUUCGAACUUUGUUCUCCAAUACAAUUUAAACACAAUGCAACUGCAAUGUAAACGUUGAACUGUGUUCUCCAAUACAAUUUGAAGGACUGCCCCAAUUGUAAAAAUGCAGACCAUCAAAUAACAAUAUGCAUGGAUACAACAUACUGGCGAACCCAGCACAAUUCAACUAACAGUGUAGUAAAAAUUGCAAAUCCAAUCCUAUCAGCCUCCACUGUACCCCACACACACACACACACACUUGUAUACAACCAGCAAUUGAUUGUCCUAAUAUACUUUAGCUUGUCAAACCAUGGUACCAACUGCCAAAUUACUUACCUACAACCUAUAGUCACCAAGCAUGAUUGGCAAGUCGUCAUUUUUUGAUGUGAAACAGAUUAGUAAGUUGAAUAACUGCUCAAUGAUGCAACCCUAUACCCCCCGCAGCAACAAGUCGCACUAAAAAAUUAAGGGAGGCAACGGCAAUGAGCAAAACUUUUCUUUUGGCGAAAGAGUACUUUCUUUACACAGGUACUAGACACUGACGUUUCACAGAAAUGUGGUCAUGUUCUUUGGUGUAUCCACAGUUCCAUUCUCAUCAUUGACAGCAACAGGCUCCCCAUCAUUGAGAUCAAAAGUCCAACCAGGAAAAUCGGAUUCUGAGAACAAAGAGGUUGGAGUAGAUUAUAGAAUGCCAGAGGCACCUGUUUGACCCUGCGUCUAAUCUGCAAGCAAGGAUAGUGAUUCGGGACACUUUAUUAUAUAGACACCAAAGCUUGCUCUAACAGCAUGAUCUGAUUGCUAUCGCAUAGAAGACAAUCACCGCCAGAUUUAGCAAUUCUGAGUAGUGCUUGUGCAAGGACUUGAUAAGCACAUAGAAACAGAUGCUACAAAUGUUUGUUAAAAUAUUAAGAAAGCAACAAAAACGAGGAGAACAGAAGAUGCCUUAUUUCUGAGGCCACCUAAAGGAUCCAUGGCAUGAUUUUCAAGUAUAAAGAUUGACCAUAUUACCUCCUCGCCAAAAAUAGUUGCAUAUGAUCCAGAACUGAAAUCUUGCACAGCAACUUCAGAUGUUUUGGCUCUAAUUGUUAAGUCACUCUCGAGGGAAACACAAAUCUAGUACACAAGAACAGUGACCAGUUAAGAGAAUAUUAAAUGGCAUUGAGCUCCCAAACUUGUAUCAGCACUCCCCAUUAGUUUACUUUUACACCGACAGAAAUACCCUCACCUAUUAUGAUAAAGGUAACUCUUCUUUUUCACUAACUUAAAGUUACAGCUCUUUAUGAAAAUCUAUAAAAUGUGUAUUAGGUAGAGAAAGGAAGUGAGUUAAUCUUUUAAUUAUCAUAUUUUUAAAAUUUUUCUUGAUUCCUAUCAAUUAUUAAUUUCAAAUACUUCUCUUAGUGACAGAAGUAUUUUAAUCAGCAUCUAAACUUAAAAACAAAUCAUUUUUGUAGCAACUCACCUGAAACAUUACUUCCAUUGUAGUGGUUCUCUUUGUUACAUGUCCUCGUGGUUCAACUAACAUUUUGUGUGAGACAUUGUACUGAAAUUUAAUUUUGGACAUCAUUCAAAGUGCUAUAUGCAAGUCUUAAACUCGUUAAAUCUAAUUUACACAGUCAAAACUAAAUUUUAGCAUUCUCUAGCAAAAUGUUUUCUUGAAUUUUGUAAACCAGUCAUUUAAAUUGCAAAUAAGUGUUGCUGCCAUAGAUGCAGGUUGUAUUUUUCUAGUAAACAUGGGCAAAAUGGUGAGACAAAUGAGGUGUUCUUGUUAAAUUUUGCCAUUAGUGCAAGAAAAAGAUAGUGGGACUGCCAUUAACGAUUCCCUUAUUAAAAAUCAAAGACGAGGUCAUUGCAUUCUUGAUUGGAAACAUGUACCUUGACACUGGUGGGCAAUAGUGAUGCCGGAGUGUAUCAAUUUCCCAUAAAGAGCUUCCUGGCCAAUGAUUGUUGUUAGCAUAAUUGAAGGGGGAAAAAAGGGUAUUAUCCACUAUUUUGUUUGUAAAUUCAGAUGACUUUCUAUAGAAUGCACACAAUGGAUCAAGGGUAGAAAGUCAAGGAAUGCUAAGCUUAGAUAGGAAAAUAGUGGUCUACAUAUAAUCUGCAACAAAAACUCUUAAGCAACCAGUCCCCCAACCCACCCCCCAAAAAAAAAAAAAGAAAAACCAAAAUUAGCUUGCUUUUCUAUAGAAUAGACCUAAUAAAUUCAAAUCUUACUCAUAGCAUUAGUUUUCAUGGAUCACUUUGCUCAUAAUCAAAUUGAUCAAUGCCUUGCUUGCUCGCAGAAUCCGUGUCAUCUGUUCUGUCAACACCACUCUUGUCUGUUGCGGAAGUCUCUUUACCAGCCUCAUUGACAUACCCCUGCAGCAUAUAGGUGUCAGUUCAUAAGGAAGUAUUUAUGCAGAUACCAUUGAAUGAAAGAAUUGCCACAUUAGAAACCUUUCCGGCCACCAAGUUUUGCAUGAUUCAUAAGAAUAAUCAGUGUGGCAAUUGAAUGCAAGUGACUUGUGAUGCGAAAUUGUAUACUUACCUGGUGCACCAAGAAGUUGAUUGAAGGAUGUCUCCUAAGAAGAUUGUGGACUAAAGCAAUAAUGAUUAAUGCUCCUGAAGGUGGGACAGAAAGUGCAAGUCUACUCAGUUUCUUACAGAAAGCAGCAGCCAAAUAUGCUGGAAGAAGCGGUGAUUUCAAGCAAGAAUCAAUAAGCUGCAAACAGAAUUCAAAAUCAGUAAGAGGGUUACAUAAUAAAAGAAACAAAUCUAAACAGUGAUCCAAGCAAAACACUAUUCUAGUCAUUAAAAUCUAGCGUCACGAUGACAUGUCUCUAUUACUCUUUCCCAUUGAGAUCAACCAUGACACACCUCCAAUGAGUGACUCAUACCACAUAGAGUUGAAUGGAGGCACAUGACUAACAUUACUCUCUCAACAUUUGUCAUCUUCCUUUGCCACAAAACUCGUUCUUCUCAAACCCACAUCUAACCUUCUCCUCUCCCUCUUAUAACCAAGCACCUUUCCUUUCCCUGCAUCCUUCUGUCACUAACUCUAGUUUCAUUAAUGUACCAUCAUUCCAAGAUUCCUCCCUUAACAUACAUAUCCCACUAUAACACUGCUCAUGACUCCAUCUCUCCAGUUCGCCUCUUUUUAUAUUGAUUGUAAUAUAUAAAUCACCAUACUAACAAAAGAGAAGAAUACAGAGCAACAAAUAGGACUGUGAUCAUCUAAAUUAGUGAAAUAGUUAAGUCUGAGGAACUGCAUGCUGCAUGUUUACUAAUCAUAAUUAAAUUCUGAACAAGUUUAUAACAUGGCUACGUUAAAAUGUAGAAAAACUCCCAAAAUCCAAGAAGAGAAAGUUGUUGGAUUCCCUUCUCAUCAGUUAUUUGAUGAUGCUAAAACUUCCAAAUAAAUCUAAAAAUAAAACACAGACUGCCUAGCUCCUUCCCUCUGAGUAAUUCUCAAAAGCAGAUUCUGCAGGUCACCUCUGCAAAGCAUUAGUAACAUCUAAGACACAGACAGGUGGUUGCAAAAAUUUACACAUUAAAACAGGGAAAGCUGAACAAAAUCAUCACAAUAGACACUAAGCAUGGUGAAGUCAAGAGGACCAAGGAAAAUAAGUGUUUGUAACAAAUUUGCACAACCAUCUCCAGGAACAACACCUAUGUCCACCAAGCAAGGCCGAAAAAGUGAGAAAAUUAUCAGUUGGAUGCACAAUAUGCAAAAUGUAGCACUCAGCCCUUACAUAAUUAUAGUACCAGCGCACAUCCAUUUCACCAUCAUAUGAAACAUACUUGUAAAAAACACAAGCAGUUAUUGACUAAUCUUUCUAAGCCUAAUUCAUUUAACCUCACUUGUCAAAGAAAACUGAAACCUGAAACAUACAAGAGUACCUGAAAAAAUUUAACCUAAUUCAUUUAAUCUUUCAGCCCUUACAUAAUUAUAUUACCAGCGCACAUCCAUUUCACCAUCAUAUGAAACAUACUCGUAAAAACACAAGCAGUUAUUUACUAAUCCUUCUAAGCCUAAUUCAUAUAAACUCACUUGUCAAACAAAACUGAAACCUGAAACAUACAAGAGUACCUCAAAAAAUUUUGCUCGAUAUUUAGCCAUAAAGAUAGAAGGUUCCAACAGUGCAUAAAGCUUCCCAUAGAAAUUUGGAUACUCAAGGCCAUGUUGUGUCAUAAGGAUAUAGAGACUGCUGAGAGCCAUUACACUCACAACACCUCCUAUAUCAUAUGAUCUUGUUAAGAAAUCACUGCAAUUUAUGAGGAAAACUUAUCAUGGACAUAUUGACGGUAAAAGAGUAACAGAACAUAAAUGUAAAUAAAAAGCUCUUAACAAAUUACCACAGCAUGAUUGGGUUAGACAGGUGAGGAAUAACAGCUUGAUGAAGAGUAGCAAGAACCUAAGCCACAAAGCAAGAGCAAGAGAGCAUGAAUUUUAAUGCAAAUCAAAUCAUUCAAACAAACAAUAUAAUGAUACAAGAAAAGCAACCAAAAAGAUAUCAAACCAAUGACAUGUGUGAGAGCCUUCAAAGCCAGUUUCAGAUAACAGUAGCAGCCCCUUAUAAUCAGGAAAGGUGAAUAGUAUGAACACCGGGGAUAACUAGAAUUAUCAUUCAACAUGGCAACAAUAUAACAAAUGAGGAACUUCCAUCAAUUAUUACUCUUUUUGUCCAUAGCCCCUUAUAAUCAGGAAAGGUGAAUAGUAUGAACACCGGGGAUAACUAGAAUUAUCAUUCAAGAUGGCAACAAUAUAACAAAUGAGGAACUUCCAUCAAUUAUUACUCUUUUGUCCAUACAGCAUUUGCUUCAUGAGAUCAAUAUGUAUCAGAUUAUAUACAUCUGGUGACAGUAAACUCCAUACUUCUACACAACAGAGAAACUGAAACAGAACAUAUAGGAGCUCAACAUCCAGAAGAAACACUCUUAAGAUGCAAAAUACACAUCAAAUUGCUAAUGAUCUGCUUACUUCCUUGUAUACAUCAAGUGGAAGCGGCAAUCUAAGGAAUGAUAUCCAUGCUUUACUAAACUUUAAUUUCAUCUUUUUAGUAACACUGGCUGCAGAAAAGUCCUGAUAGAGCCAAAAGAGUGGAAACUCAGGUCAAAGACAAUAUAAAGUGACACAGGUUUGAUGUGAAAGGAGAUCAUCUAAGUAUUAAAAAUGGAAGCUACAUGAGUGAGAAAAAUUCUAAAGGUUCAUCGCAGUACAAACCUUGCGAUCAUGUAAUCUUAAUUUCUGCUGUUUAUCCUCUGCAUCUGAAAGGUGAUCAUGGUUUUUCUUGUCGAAUUUUCUAGUAAAAAUAUCUAUCAAUUUGGAUACAGGUCAAUACCAAUAUAACAUCAAUUGAAUUACUUCAUUCAAAGAAUACAGAUUUAAUGCAAAAAACUGUAAAGCUUAGGUGAGGACAACAUAUCCAGUUUUUCAGAAAAUCGAUACACCUUGAUUUGAUCAAAUCAAAUGCAACUCAAAUUUAAAAUAAAGUAUUAGGAUCUGCAAGGGAUGUGACUAUGAAGCAUCUUGAAUUCAUUACAAAAUAGAAAAGAUCUUCAAUGUUGUAGAUUAGUGUUAGAAAUACAUCAUACAUGACAAAUAUUUUUAACAUCAGACACAAAAAACUGUUAACCAAAAUAAUGUGAGUAGGGAAAGAAAUUUUUGAACUAAUAGUCAAGGUCAAAAAUUAAAGAAUGAACUUACCAACACAACUCCACAUUUCAUAAUUAGACUCCACAACUGAAACUUCUAAUGGUGGGAUGCGCGAUAGCAAAUGAUAUAUGAUCCGAAUACAGACCUCCAUGCUACAACCAAAUAUACAUGGUCAAAGAUUUAGUAAUAGUGCAAAUCCUAUAAUCAUGUGAUUUCCAAUUAUGUGAGUUCAGAACAUAAGUAAGCCCAAGUCGAAACUAAUUAAAAAAGCACGCUUACAUGGUUCACAGAGAUUACACAUUUGUUAAGUUGUGCCAGUAUUGGCUUUGACGCAAAUGCAAACUUGCAACAUCAACGACAAACAAAUAAAAAGGAACACAGACAAGCUUUUUUUUUGGGGGGGGGGGGACCCAACGUAAAUUGUUGUAAUCCAAAACCCUCUAAAAGUAAACCAGAAACAUAAAAAACCAACACAGAGACCCACAGAUUCAUACAUACAAAACACACAGAAAGGGCAGCAAAGCCUAGACUCUAAAACAUCAAAGAGAUGUCAUUGCAACAACUGUUCAUAGUGAAGCAAGCAAGUUUGGACCCUGCAUUCUUGAUCCUUAUCUCUUGUAUGAAGCAAGGAAUCUGGCUUGCACCUAUUCCAACUAAAAGGCAAGGUCAACAGUACAGAAUGAAGUGACCUUGUAUGAGUAGCAUUAGCAUAUAGAAUGAAAAUAGCUCCCAUUUAGCUUAUACAAUGCCAUAGCUCAAUUUAUUGUGCAGGAUGAUCUUAGCAAUACAGCAAGAAUCAAAUUGAUUUGCCUUGAUUAAGACGGCUAGGAACAUGAAUAAUCUACAGAUACCUUGCCUUGACCGAUUUCCAGCAGCAGACUCUGAAGUUGCACUUUAUCAUCUGAAGGACAAACAGGUCAAGGAAGUUUAUUUAAAGAAAAAAAAGUCUGUACCAGUUUGCAUCCUUUUGGAAGUGAGACAGAGUAAAUGUAGCACUGAAUGCUAUGCUAGUGAAAAAAGGGCCAUUGAAGAGAAUAACUGUCAAAAAUUAAUAAGUACAGCUGAAUCUUCAGGCUCCAGAGUUCGUGCUAUCUUUUCCAAGCUUAUGUACGUGAAUAACUGUCAGAAGAGAAUAACAAGUCAGAAACAUGGCUUGGAUGCAAGACAAUGUUCUGAGUAAGAAUGCGUGAACGUUAUUAAGUAAGCAUUGGUAUGUUGGCAUCAUGCUAGAUGACAGAUAUCCAAAAAAAAUGCAUAGAAAUGCGUAGGAAUCAAUACAUUGUUUUAGUUGCUGAAAGGUUGGGCUAAAAGAGUGAAUAGUGUUUCAUAACAACAGAGUUUGAAUGAAUGCUUUACAGCAAUACAUAGAAGAGUAACAUAGGGGAGAUGUCAAGUCAUCAAGAAGAAUAGACAUCAUCAUACCGGACAUCAAUAUACUUGAAGUACUUGGACGCAGCAACUAACAGUAUAUCACCAACUCCCAAAGUAGAGUGAACCUACAAGUGCCACAAAAAUUUUUUAAAAACAAAGGGAAAUAGAUUAAUGGUUACUGAUUAAUAAGCAAAAACACAAAAGUAACGUCACAAGAAAUGAUCAGCAUUCCAAGAUGAAAGGCCAAUAGAGAUCAAGAAAUAUAUGGGAAAAGAAAGUAGCAGGGGGGAGGGAGCGAAACUCAAAUGCGAAUGAAGUGUAGAAGUAGAGAUGGAUAGCAAUAUAUGAUUAGGGAUUACUUACAAUGGCAUGAAGGAACCGGUGGAAGAUAGAAGAGUGGAAGUUGCGGCAUUGGUACCUUGACAAACUCCAUGAUUGUCUCCAACACAACUUCCUAAUAUCAGAACCAAAACAAAAUCAGAAUUUUUUUUUUAAAAAAAAAGGAGGAAAGCAAAAUUAAUAAAUAACAAAUUAGAGUGGCAGCAGUAGUAGUGAAAAUGUGUGUAGUAAAUUAUUACCCGGAGGGUUGGGUCGGAAAGGGCAGAGGUAGAGAUGGAGAUAAAGAUUGAAGGAAGUCGUCGAACUUGAGAGCGGAGCAAGUGGAGUAAAUGAGAUGGGCGGCGGUGGUGGUGGAGGCGUCGGAGGAAGAGAUGGAGGAGCGGGAGCGGGAGGCAGAGAGAUCCAGUAGAAGGGGAGUGAAGAAGGAUUGGAGAGAAAGGAGGACUCGAGGCGUAGGCAGGGUGGAAGUCCUCUCGGGGGUGUUUGAUAAAAUUGAGGAGGCGAGGGAGGUUGUUGAUGUGGGACCUGGACGACAGCAGCUGCUCCCUAGGGUUUUGAGCUCCCAGGCUCAGCUGCUGCUCUUUCUUCCUCUUCCUCUUCUUCAUCAUCAUCACCUGCUGCUGCGAAGUUUCAUCAUCGUCAUGGCAUUGGAAGAAGCCAUCCACAAAAAAUGAUUGGUUCGGUGUUGGAUAAUAUAUAUAUAUAUAUAUUCUCUCUGUGUGUUUGUGUGUAAAUUGUUCCAAUGGCUAUCUAAAGAGUUUUAUAUGUCCGCCUCCAAAGCUAAACCCCCUUCAAACCCUCCCUCUUCGUCUACCAUGUUACAGGGCCAGAAGCCUGCAGGGAACGAGUAUUUAUGAGUAUAUAUAUAUUUGGAUUAAUUUCACUUUGCACCCCAAACUUAUAUCAUUUUCUCACUUGCACCUAACUUCAGUUUUAAACGCUCUACGCUCUAAAUUCUUAAUUUUAGACAUUUUACGCUCUAAAUUUUCAAGUUUGCCCUAUUUACAUCAAUCAAUAACAAAUAUUAGUAAGAAAGACUGUAAAAUUAGGUGUCUUAAAAUUAGUGGCAAAUAAGAUUCCUGGGUGACUUAAUGAGAUACAAAUGCGAUCCCUAGGUUUGUUUUAUCCUAGGUUUUUUGCCUGGUGUCCUAAUGAAAUACAAAAAAUAGGUUUUUUCCCUAGGUAUUUUAAUGAGACACUAGGAUCCCUAGGUUUCUUUUUCUUGUAAUUAAUUUAUAUGGUCUCAAUCACUAUUAAUGAUAAUACAUGUCUAUAUAUAUAUAUAUAUUGCGACUUGGAUCUAAUGGUUGGUCUAAGUAACUUUUGAGUCGAAAUUUACUAGUUCAAAAUGGUUAACUCAACUUACUCAGUAGCCAAAGAGACCAAUCUUAUAAACCAUUCUUUUCCUUUUUUCGCUUCUGACGUGGAAUACCUCAGUAUUUUUUAAUUUCACAAUUUGAAUUUUAAAUUUAAAUUCAUGCUGUGUAACAUAAUUUAAACUUGUUAGUGUAAAAAAAAUAUCAGUGAUAAUGUGUAAAAAAAAUGUCCUAAUUAAAAUACAUAUUAAUUUAUUGAUUUUAUGUGUUUUUAUUGUUUAUGACUUUGAUGUUUAAUUGUGCAUUAAGGAAUACCUAUAGAUACUCAUCGAAUAUUGAAACUUAUGAAAGUCCAUAUUUGAAUUUCACUUUCCAAACCGAUGAGGGUUUGAGUUUGGAUCUGGAUACUCAUAAAUCAACAACUAUAGAUUUGAAUUUGGAUACUCAUAACUUCAGUGACUCUAGAUUUGUAUCAUGUGAGCUAACACAAAGCUAAAUCUAAACUUUGCCUUCCAAAAGUCUUAUUUUUUCUUUGUUUUUCUUCAGGAAAUGGAACUUGAAGCUGCAAGUCUAACAUCUCAUUUUCUAUUCAGACGCCUAGAGGGCAAUAUAAUUGUUCUGCAUGCUUUUUCUACAUUUGGUUAUUUUUCUUGUUCACUAGUAAUUGAGAGUAUUGAUUUUUUAUAUAUUAACCACUUUGAAUAUAUAUCGCAUACACACAAUCUGAAUUUUAAUUUUAAAUUCGUGCUAUGUGACAUAAUUUAAACUUAUUAGUGUAAAAAAAUAUAUACAUAUAUAUAUUUAUACAUAGUGACAGGGUAUAAAAAAACUGUCCUAAUUAAAAUAUAUAUUAAUUUAUGAAUUAAUCUUUCCUACACUGAUAGUAUUAAAGUGUCAAUAUUGAAUGAAUGACAACUACACAAAAUUUAAAUUUAAAAUUCAAUUUUACAUAUUUGUCAUAAAUUUAACAGUAAUUUAACGAUAACAGUGAAUACACUGACUGUCGGUGUAUAUUAGUUUAUUCCAACUUUUAUGGUCCUCAACCUCUCAAAUUCCACCCUAAAUUCUUCCUACUGCAUCUAAUUUCACAACUACACAAAACAUAACUAGUCCAGAAAAAAGAAAAAAAACCAAUUAAAUUUUUGCGUUUAAAAUGACGCAGACCAGCGCGGAGAAGCAGAGCCGUCCCAUUCUUCGCUUCCAAAUUGAAAGUACUCUGAAAGUGAAGAACCAACAAUCCUGAAGCUGCAUAAAUCAUUGAUCCCUAAGACUCGAUUGGCUUUUUAACGUUGAUAAUAUGGGGCAUUCAUAAUCUCGACGUAUUCACCAUUUAGCACACCUAGCUUUACAAGUAUGGGAUAACCUAUCAGCUCUUGUAAACUUUACCCCAAAAAAAAAUUUUUUUUUUCUUUAAAGCCCUACUGUACUUUGAUAGUAGAGUCUCAUCUUCUAUUUUACAAAGACAGAACCAACCAAACUGGAAAACUGAAAUUCACUAUUUGAAUCAAAAGACUCGAAACGUAGCAUUUCCCAUCCCUUAAUCAUCAGUUGUUUUUGGCAAUAGCAACGGCCUGCCUUGCACCACAGAAAAGAACUCACUGAUCACCUCCAGAGGCAUGCCUUAGUUUCUGGAACCUUCAAGAACGCAAAGAACCAGGAAAUGAUGCACACCACUGCAUAUGUCCCAAAAACACCCAGUCCCAUUGAAGACAGCAUCACAGGCAGCGUAUACGUUACGAUGAUGUCUCCGAUCAAUAUGUGAGGCAACAUAGAGCAAUGCAGACCCCGCGUACCCGCGUCGAAAUAUCUCUGAACAAAGUAUAUUCGGAACUGGACCGAAUCCCAUGACAAAAAAGCAGAAGUAGAGCACCACACAAACUGUGUCGAAACGGCUGCAUUUCCAACCUUGCCCAUGUUAACUACACUUCGAUCACUAAAUCACCAGUGUUAUAGAAGCACAGGAUGGUCCAGAGCAAUAAACUCCUGAAACAACAUUGGAAAUUUGGAAAAGCUUUGAGAGAUGCUACUCGUAGUCACAAAUGCAAAUUACUACUAUUAUCCAUGUCUUCUCAAAGUUUCAAGCCACUAAUAUGCACAUGGAUCAAUCACGACGACUCGUUGCACCUUUUAUUAUAGGUGAGAAGUGCUAAAAAUAAGUUAAUUAAAUUCACAUAAUGAACCCCAAAAAACACACACACACACAAAAAAAAACAAAUGCGAAGAAAACUGAAAGAACCAAGACGGCAAGAUGGCCUGAUAAAAGUACAUAGUACACAAGAAGAUGAAGAAAAUCAACUUUAUGAACUUCUGAUGACAGAAGCAUAAAGACCACCGUUUGGACAAAUUAAACAAACGAGAAAUGAUACAGGGCAUAAGGUUCACUAUCAAAUUUCAUUUGAAUUCCAAAAGUUUCUAAACUUUGAACUUACAGUGGGCAAAAAACUAAAAUAUCAAAAAGAUGAAGUGCAAGUUAAGCAGGAUGUAUUGCUAUCAUAAAUACUCAUAACGAUCCAUUCGUGCGCACCAAGCCAAAAAAAGGGAUGAAAGACCAAGCAAAGAGAAGAAAUAGAAUGCAUCUUUUUAUGUUCUUAUAGGCAAGAGAUGAGAAUUCCUUUGAUAACUUCGUCAUUCAGUUAUAUGACUGCUCAUACUGUCCUCUAGAAAUGCUUCCUUGCUGACAGUCAAUUUACACAGAGUCAGAUGCAAGUAAGCUUCCUUAUUGGCAAGAACAUAUCAACUUUUGGAGUCAUGGAAAUCCAUUUAUUUGUUCUAAAAUUUAUUGGUCAUAACAAAAAAAAAAAAGAUAAAGAGAGUGCUUUUGAAUUGAAUGUGACACUGACAUGAGAUGAUACUUUAAUUUUAGAACAAAGACCGACAUUAUGUCUUUAAAUCAAUAUGCUCUGAAGAUCAAUCUCACAUCUACAAGUAAAACGACUUAGUAUAUGAUUAAGAAAUGAAAUGCCUGACAAAAGUUUCAAGAACCUACCUUCUGCCAGCUAUAUCCACAAGCCUCAUGGCAAUAGCUAUGGACGGCAACAUCAACAAAGUAGUAAUAGCACUGAUAAGAAAAGAUGCAGACGCUGAACUGAUGCCAUAUUUGACAGAAGAACUCCUACGCCUGCCUCCUCAAGAAUCUGGGGAGUGUAGUACAGCACACCAUUUAUACCUGAGAGCUGCACAUGAUGAAGCAAGUUAAACCUGAAAAUGACACAAAAACCAACACUAAUAAACUGUAACAAAUGACUGUGCUCCAAAAGCCUCCCUGUAUAUUCUAUUGAAGAAGAUCUUACCUGGAAAUGGUUUUAGGGGAUUGAUAAACAGUGCUAUAUUUGAUUUUACUGACAACACAAAUGGAAAAUUUUCCGGAACAAAUCCAAAACAAACAUGUUGUAUGACAAAAGGAAGAAUGACAGACAAUAGUUACUUCAUAAAAUUUCUAAACAACGUAAAGCACAAUGCUGAUAAACUGAAAAAGUCAUAUAUCACUAAGUGUUAAGACCCUAGUCAUCAAAUGUUGCUACGAAUUGAAUAUCUACUUAGAACAGAUAUGAGAAUGAAAAUCCCCCAACUAAACGAUACAUAGAAAAACCAAAAUGUCUGAAUUUUUUGCAGGAAAUAGUUACCUGCUGAAGCAAUUCAAUUCCAAUUCCAACGACCAAUGCAUGCUUAACUCCAGGCUCAAGUAGGUCCUUCCAACUUGGCCCUUUUGCAGCAGCUUCAGAUGGAUGAAUCAUUGCUGGUCCAACAGGAUGCUGAUCCAAUAACUCCUUUGAAUAUAGAGCUGGAUGACUCACCAAAGCAGCAGCUUGUAUGAAUUCGCCACCUGCAGGCACAUCAUCACCAUGAACUGAGACCACAGAACCUCUGCGGGAUGCAGAAACACCACCCUCAUGCAAAUAAAUUCUCUUAAACCCUCCUUCUUUCUUUCCAUCUUGACCUUCCCUCCUAUCCACUUCCAUGCAAGCUGCCACCGCCACCGAUGCCUGUACUACCAGAUGUUUCCCCAUUGGCCCCUCGAAUAGCAGUACCCUGCCUCAUGCUCAAAAUACUUCCAUGUAAAGGAGGUCCAGCCAUGUCUUUUUCUAGGCUGGUUGUCUGACGUGAUAUUAGUGGGCUUUGUAAAUUGUCAUCAGAUUCAACUCCAGCAGCAUCAGAUGCAUAAUCCUCUCCCUCUCUGCCAAGACUCUCUACAUCCCAUUCUUCAUUUCUAGGUUGAUUUCCUGCUACACUAAACAUGCUGCCUAAGUGUGGAAAAAACAUGCUUCCUUUGCUCCCAGUAUCUGGAAGCUUUUCAUGAAUGCUUCCAAAGAGGCUAACUAGAGGAUCCAUAAGGGGAACAUUCUGGUUUAUUAAGCUUCCUUGUCGAGAUAUCGGAGUAAGUACACUUUGCCCAGUAACAGGUUGAGCAACCCAGGACUUUCCUUCUUCAGGACCAUACAACCUUAUCCGCUCUUUGUCUGCACUCGGCUCCUGAUCUUCAGCAAGUUCAUCAGCAGGGGCAAUUAUGUACUCCUCAAUAUGUGUUUCACUGCUGAUGCCAAGGCCUUCAACUAACAAUGCCAUCUCACCUGUUUGAAAAGAAUAUAGAAGUCACAGACAAGUAAGAAUAAAAAUUCAACAAAUUUUCCUAUGUACAACGGUGAGUUAUUUUUGUCAAGUCCGUGCAAAGGCCGAAACGCUCUCAAAACCAAUUCAGUUGAUAAAAGAAAAAAUUUUUGCAGCUAUUAUACAACAAAUAUUUUGCAGCUAUUCAACCAUAAAGCAUAACGUUUUGUUAUGGAGGGGAGAAGCCAUGCCUAUAAAUUUGUAUAGAAAGGAGGAACGAGCAGAGAAAAUUGUUCAAGUCAAAAGUUGAAAAGCAGGGGCACAGCCUCAGUGCUUGGGAGAGGUAAGGGGAUUUAUCUCUCACGUGAUUCUGAUUUUCUAUGCUUCAAUAGUAUGGUACAUCAAUUAAAAAGGAAAAAUGUUGAACAUAAACUCAAUCCUCCUUUCCCAUCAACAAGGACUCCAACUCAAAACCAUGAAUUCAUCGGCUAUGUAGAUUCAAAUUCUUCUCUCCAGCAAACCAUCUUAAUUGCAAGGCAUUAUUAAACAUUUCUGCCUUCUCCAAAUUUUGUCACUUAUCAAGCCAUUUUCCAUGGAGGACAGACACUAUAUUCACUCAAUUCUCAAUUUAUAAUACUGUUAACAAAAGAAAUGCACUCUUCUUCUUCUUCACUGGAAAAUUGAUCAUUCCUUCAGGAUGUUAAGUACAUCACCUGUUUGUUACUUAAUUCAAAUACCCACAUCGGAAAAACAAAUUCACUGAAUCCAAACUUAAAGAACAAGAAAGGAAGGGGAUAAAUUGACGACCAAUCAUCCGAGAUAGCAAUUUUCAGAAAAUGAAACAAACAUAGUGUAGACCAAAGUUUUGGGCAUAUCAACUACUGAAAAAAUGAUAUCUUAUAUAAAGAUAAAGGCAUGUUUAUUCUGUCAAGAAUUGCAUUAUCUCAACCUUCAACAAAUAUUUGUACAGAUAAUGGACACCAAGAACCAACUCACCAGCUACAUCUUCCCUGCCACGGAGCCUCUGCAAAACCUGCUUGGCCUCAAUCAUCCGCCCUUUACUAACAAGCCAUCUAGGAGACUCAGGCAAAUAAAGCACUGCUACAGCAAAAUAAGCAAUCGAAGGAAUCGAAAGAACAACAAGCAUUAAUCUCCAGCUUGGCGAGCUCAUCAAUGACAUUCCAAACACCAUGCAGUAUGACAAAAACAUUCCAAGAGAACCACAAAACUGAGGCAAAGUGUUCAGUAAACCUCUAAUUUCUGGAGGCGAUGUCUCAGAUAUGUAGAUAGGAACUAAAGUAACAGCCAAGCCAACUCCAAACCCAUCAAGCAGCCUUCCCAAAAGCAGGACAUACACAUUAGGGGACCAGAACAUCACAAGACCACUCACAAAAUAAAGGACAGACGAGACUAUAAGCAUAGGACGACGACCAAGCCAAUCAGCAACACCGCCAGCGAACGUAGUAACCAAUACGGCACCAAUAAGCGACAUGGCCACGAUUAAACCUUCUACAGUAGGAUCUGACUCCAAUUUGAACUCCCUCUUUAUGUAUAGUACAGCCCCUGCAUUUUUUUUACAAGAAUAAAGCGACAAGUACACAUUUUAUGUUUCAACAACAAAAUACGGGGAAAAACAUGCAGUUAUAAAACUAUAUAAGAUUUGGAAAAAGGUGCUUGCAUAUUUGGAAAUAUAAAAUUUGAAUAAAAUAAAUUGUGCAGUGCUUAUAAAAGUGUGGACUACAAACCAAUCCAAUCCUCGCAAAAUGUGACUAAUCCUAAAUAAUAGGCGUCUAGUAAGAAUAUACAUUCACGUUCACACAUGCAUAGCGAAGACAUAACUAGAUGAUGAGAAAGAUUUACCAGCAAUUGUGGCAUUGUCCCAUCCUUGCAAUAGGUUACCGAUUGUAGCGCCAAUAGCCACAAGGACUGCUCCACUCAUCUUCCUUCAACAGCAAGACAGCCAAAAGUGAUUGAGAGGUUUAAUAUUGUAACUUUUAAGAGAGGUAUCAAUUGAACCACCCAAACCCUUUCAUGGGAACGGGAGUUUUGUCAUUUCUACAGGACUAGAGUUCAUGAAACUUGAUAACGAGAGGAAAGGAAAACUGCUGCUGAACUCAAGAAUUGACACUAGAGAAAUAAGAACCAAGACAUAAUUUUUAGCUGCAAAAGAAGCAAACUAAGUGAAAACUUGGAAUGCAGUUUCUCAGCACCGGUAGUCCAGAUAACUAUCCUAAUUCACCAGCAAAAGCAUAAUGACUGACUCCAGAAAGAUGCCCAUUAUAAUUCACACCCCAUAUGUGACACUGAAUUACAAGCCUGAAACUACAGAGCUUUGAAACUAGACAAACCCAUGAAUCCACGAUAUAUGAUCGGCAUUCAUCCUUUUGACAACAGAAUGUGAUGUGUAGACACACAAUAAACGAAGCAAACAACGAACAACACCCAAAAAUAACAUUCGUCAAUAUGUCAGAGAUUCAAAAUGUCACAGAAAGACUAGCAUUUUAAGCUAUGGAGCGAAGAAUAUGCAAAUAAAUCUCUCCUUGCUGAAAUGCCGCACACAAAAUGUGGCAGCCAAGUUAAAGAGUAAUGAAUAGAAAAUUUUCAAAUUUGAAGAUAAAGAGGGCUGUGGCUGCUGCAAGUAAGCCAGUGGACUUUGAACCUGAUUUUGAACUGUCUAUAUUAGGGUUCAAGGAAUGAAGAAGAACAGGGAAACCACUGGAGGGCGUCACAGGUAAGCACCAAGCAAUAUGCAUAUACUAUCAUAACAGGUUACAAUACAGAAUCCGUAAGCCGUAGUUUCAAAAUCUUCAGUAGAGCCUCAAAUUCAUAAUCAGAUAAAACAUGAGAGAAGAUUUUGAAACAAAAGGUUGCAGAUAAAGCAUGACGAGGGAUUGAAGCAUCAUAGUAGUGCUUAGUAUCAUUUCUAAACCAACGCACAAUCAUAAAUAGUAAAGCCUCGUAAAACAAACGUGAAAAAGAUUACAGAAAACUAGCAGUAUACAGAAAGAAGAUAGAGGAAGGACAGAUUUUUUUUUCUUUUCCUGUAAAAACAAAAAAAAAAAGAAGAGAAGAGAAGAAACAGCAAGCAAAUAUUAGAAAUAUAAAAAAAAAAAAAAAUUUACCUGGGGUCUUGAAUCUCUCCGCUCCUCGUUUGUCCUGAAACUGAACUAGUGGGAUGCUGCUGGAAAGGAUUGAUUGUGAGAACUGGGCGGCGAAUAAUGAUCGAAAAAACAAAAGAGAGAAAGAGGGGGGGAUGAAAAGAUUCGAUAGGGCCAACUGAAGGUGGAACAGAACCAGGAUGAGAUCCAACAAACACCAAAAUCCAAAAUCAAAAAGCCAAAAAAAAAAAAAAAACGCCUUAAUCCGAGUCUAGGCCAUCCGGCAUGUACUCUAUAAUACUACUACUAUCUAGUAUAUUAAUUCCAGUACUGCUCCUCCCCACUUUUCACCCUGUAACAAUGAUUGUGACUACUGACUAGUGCUGCUUUUGUUUUGUUUUCUAUUGUAUAUUUAUAUGAAAUGAAAAAAAAAAAAAGCUAAUCCCUACUUUGACAUGAUUGUGAGCAGUAGAAUUUUGAUUGAUCACUGGCCCUCACCACCCAACUUUCAAAGUUUAUAUAUAGUAACGGCAGCAGCAGCAGUAGUAGUGCAAAGUAUGUUGUUUUGUUACCUAUACGUGACUGUACGCCUGCCUGUAGGGGGAUGAUUUUGUUAUUUAACUACUACUCGUAUUAAGCAAACAGAAAAACAAAAACAGAGAAAGAGAGCGAGAGACAGAGAGGAUAAAAUAGUACGUACAACGUAGUAGUAGUAGUAGUGCUAAGUUAAGCAAAGCAGCAGAAGUGCUUUGUUAAGAGUCUGACUGGGGAAGCAGAAACGCAACUCCUUUCCUCCUUUGUAUUGCUGCUGCCCAACCAACGGAAAACACAUCCUCCCAAUCAAAACUUUGUCGCCUGAUUCAAGUGGGUCUCUCUCUCUCUCUCGGCCCCAAAAGAAGAAAAAAUAAAUAAAGAGCCUAAUAAUAAAUUAAUAAAUUAACACAAAGCAGGAAGGAGGUCAGGAGCAGGAGGAGGAUGAUGAUGACGACGAUGAUGAGUACCUACCAGCUGUCAAGAAGAAAGAAACCGAACAGAACAAGCAGCAAAGCUUUGGCUCAUCCUUCAAAAAUUUGAAAAUCAAUCAGUCGCUCGCUCUCGCUCUACUAAAUUAUUAUAUAUACACAUACACACCUAGUACUACUAGUCCACCACGUAGCUAAAUUACCUGUAAUUAUCGGAGUACUAUAUUAGACUACAGUACAAGCAAGCUCCCUGGAAUGAGCCACAACACAACUCAACUCCCUCCGCUCCACGUCAAUUAUCUUUUGGUGUCAUUAUCAAUCAAUCACCUAUUCGCUGGCUCGGUGCCUGCCUGCCACCAAACGAAAAAUAUAAUUUAUUCUGCUCUUUUUGUUUUUUCUUCUUUAUUUUAAUAUUAGGAUGGGAUAAUUUCAGAAACCUUCUCUUCACUCGGCUCCCCUGAGAUUUGAAAGCAAAAUUAUAUUUAAAAUGAUAAUUUUACUCUUAAAUAUUUUAAUAAAAUUCUCUUAUUUGAUAUGCUUAUAAUUAGAAUGAGUUUUAAAAUUAUUCUUUUAUUCUUUUUUCUUCUUAUUGUUUUUCUUAAUUUUUUUAUCAAUAAAAUUGUAGAACUAUCACUAUUACCUCUAGGUUUCUAUUAUAACCAAAUGUCGAACUAGUGAUUUUUCUUUUUACCAGUUAAUUUAGAUGUAGUUCAAUGUUUUGUUGAUCUUUGUUUUCUAUUUUUUGGUAUUAAAAAUAACAAUAAAUCAAAAGGAAAUGGCCCAAAAGUAUUACUAAAUUAUGAUAAUCCCACUAUUUCAAAAAUUUAUAAACUCUAAAUAAAUUAUUUCAACAUGUUCUUUUCUAUCUUAUAAAUCUAAAUUCAUAAUAAAAUACCAUAAAAAAUAUCAUAUCAUAGUAUUAAAAUAAUUGUUUAUCAAAUAGUAGAUAUGGACAUAAAAAAUUUGGCACUUUUUCUUUAUAAUUAUACUAAAUAAUCAUAUAAUUGUAUAGAAAAAUAAAUUAAAAUUCAUUAUACAAGGCCAUUUUUGGAUAUUUAUUUUAAAAAUUGUCCAAGUCAAUAUUAUUUUAAAGUUUUGUUAUUAAAACUAUCAAAUCAAGGAAGGUAAACGAAAUUUUUUAAAUUUUAGAGGAGUGUGAAAUUGUCAAAAACCUCAAUGAAGAUUUCUGAAAUUAUCCCUAUAAGGAAUUGCGAAAUGGAAAAGGAUGGAAAACAUGGGCUGGGUAGCUGAAGUUUGGGGCAAACUGAUUACACUCGAAGAUACGGGCCUAUGGUCAAUCAAAUCCGGUAGUCUGAAUUUUUAGAAUGUAGGCCAAGAAAUUCGAUCUCUUAACCUACGCUCAGCCCAAGUAAUUUUGGAUUAAAAAGUAAUGGAUUGUAAUACAGCUCAUAGACACAUUUUUCAUUUAGGUAAGAAUAAGUCUGGAGUUGGACCUGCCCUUUCUGGGUGCUGUUUUUGGUACUCAAUUUGGCGUUGUGUAAAUGUGGCCUGCUUAUUUAACUUAGGAAGCAAAAGAAGUUUUCCUGCCCACAGAGUCGCAUGCUACACAUUGAAUAAGGUUCAACUACAUCUUGGCUUGUAAUUUUGGAUUUGUCAUGUGAAUGCAAAGUCAUGAGCAUGUGGCAUCCCUUGUUCAUGAAUAUGAAACUCAAAUUUGAGUUUUUUGUGAGGAAUUGUGCAUGGAGCUCAUAGUCACAUUAUCCCUUGUCCAUUGUUUUUUAUUUUUAUUUUUAUCGAGACGAUAACUGUUGUAUAAUCUAUUCUAUCCUACGUUAGAAGGGAGAGGGAGCCUAAAGAGGCUUGUAUUGAAGACUAGCAGGUAUACAAACCUUACUCAUAGUCACAUUGUUGAGCUCACCCAAGUUUAGGCUUUCAGUUCAAGUGUCAGAAAUUUUAAUAGCGCCUCAGAGCACAGCUAAUAUGAAGUGAUAAGCAUUAAACACUACUGUUGCGACACUAAACUUUUGAGUUGGUUAAUCUUUGGCAGUUUCUAUGAUUAUGUUUUCAACAUUUGAACAUUCGGUGGAUUUUAUAUAUCAGAACAUUGUCCAAAAGAGAAACGAAGAACAGUUCGACAACUUAGUGUGACAUGUUUAGCUAGCUAAUGCAGCUGGAGCUGUUCGUACCGUGAUCUCUAAUCCUGUUGAUCUCUUUAUUGUGUCAUCCCUUUACAACAGAAAGGCUGAAACUAUUUGGCAGCCAAGUUUUUUGUCAAGUUUGUUUUUUACAAGUUUUUUAAAAACUUUAAUUACAGUAACAUUAAAAACUUUUCAAAGUUUUUAAAUUAUACACUUCAAAAUAUUCAAAAAAAAACACACGCUUCGAAAUUUUUUUAAAAAACUUCUACAUAAACUACAGUAAAGUUUUAAACAAACAUCCAAAAAACUCACUUGCAAAAUGGGGCCUGUAUUGCAGGUAAAAACUACUAAGCUUGAGUGGCCACCAUGGAGGGACUUAAGUCCCUUCUAAAACUGUAGGUGAGAAUUCAAAUCCAACCUGUAGCGAAAAAAAUUCAAGGGUGGUAUCAAAGCACUCCUUUGAUCUAGUAAGAUUUGUAUACCUGCUAAUCCCUAACACAUGUAUCUUUAGACUUCCCCUUCUCUGUAAAUUAUGAUGGAAUAUAUUAUACAAUUGUUGUUGCCCAAAAAAAAAAAAGUAGACAAUUGAAACCUGUUUUUAAAUGAACUUUUUUUGUAAAUGGAAUUAGUUGGGUUGGAUUUCACAUGCUGUAAAUUUUAAGGCUGCAAAGAACUAUACAGGGUUUGUCAAUUUGUUUACUAGAAGUCUUCCUGUUCGAAUGACUAUUGUGGGGCCAGUUGUGAGUCUGCAGUGGUUUUUCUAUGUCAGCAUCAAGGUGUUAAGCGGGCUGUAAGUAUUGGUUUUUGUUUACCUUCCAUUCUCAGUGCUUUUGUGCUCUUUCUUGGAUUAUCUGUGCUUGGGGUAUAGAAAUUGAAAAUGCUACUGCCAAAUCUAGCAUCUAGCUGGAAAUUUGAUCAUCUGUGCCUCAAUCGAUUGUUGUACAUCUAACUCCUGGAGAAUAUGUUCAACUGUUAGUUAAAUGGCAAUGUUGUUCCUCAGAUUUCUCAUCCCCAACAACCCCACAAAACAAAAAAAAAAGGGCUGUUGAUUUUCCUUAUGGAGGCUUGUUUUAUUGAAGAGUAGGAAGGAUCAAGAAAUCAAAUACAUGUCCCUCGCCCUUCCUCCCGCCCUCCCCCGUCCACAAAAAAAGGGGGAAAAAAAAGAGAGUAAAUGUUAAUGAUCUCUCUUUACCAUGAAACUACCAAUGCAAGACAAUGAUGAGGUUACAUGCAAUUGUGUGCCUGCUUCCUUGGGUGGAAAGAGAUAAUUGCAGUGUCCAUUUUAUGUGUGGUGAAAGUCUCCUGCUUUGCUAAUUUGUUGCCUCAUUUAAUGAUUGUGAUUUUGUUUUACAAAUUCAUUUUUAGCUUUGUGUCCUGAAAAAAUGUAGGCCUACUAGCGGAGGAGGGCUUAGCAAGCAUGUUAAAGAUACCACAACGUUAAGCUGCUAGGAUGUGAACAAAGAGUCAAAUGGCAAACAGAGGUAAUGAAACCGUGCAUGGUGGUGGCUUCUCAAGUUAUAGCUGAUAUGUUAUGUCAAUAAGUUUCUUUUAAUUAUCAGGUUCUCAUUGUUCAAUCAAAAGUAUAUGAAUCAACGUAAAGCUUUGAAUGCCACAUUAUUGUUUAGAUAGAGUUUGAAAGACUAGGAAGUUAACUCUGAAAAUAAGUUAGUGUGUUUCUCCUUGAGAAGGUUGUGCUGUGCAUAAUCAGUUGAUGCAUAAUCUAGUCUCUUGAUGCGAAAGAAACGGGCCGGAGUGUUGGUUGAGACUUUUGAGUCUUGAGAAAAUGCUACUAUAUAUCAUGAUUUUGUAGAAAAGUGAAAUUACGAAAAAUCGACGAGAAUUGAACCACUAUGGAACCAUAUCAGUGCAUUACGCACCCUGCUCUGCUAAAUCCUUGAGGAUAAAGUUUAAGGCUCUAUAUUAGUAGUAUAUCUAUGGACGAAACUUGCAGGAGAAGUGAAACAAAGGUGGAUAAUCUUGUACUAAUAGUCUUUGAGAUGUCAUACGAGAUUUAGCCCCGUACUUUUGUCUUGGGCAAAACACACGUGGUUUUAACUUUUAACUAAGUCCAACGUAUUACUGGUUGGGUUAGAUUUGGAUGACGCGACGAAAUGUGAAAAUUGGACAUGUCCGAUUUUGGUUGCCAACCUUGACCGAAUUAAUGACCGUAGACUGCCCUGAAUGGGGCCAUGCUUCGAUUUUUUUUUUUUUAUUGGUACAAUCCCCAGAUGUUCGCAUCCGUUUUAUGAUCUGCGACUAAUCCUGUUCGAGUCGGAUCGGAUCCCUUGCAGAGAAAACUCUUCCAAAGUUAUUUUUUUCAUUCCGAUGGGUUUCAAACUCGAGACCAUGGUUAAGGGAUGCAAACCUCUUCCACUUGCACCAACAUCCGUUGGUGGGCCAUGUUUCUAUUGAAACGGACAAUGUUGUACCAGUACAAGAUUAAGGGAACUAGAAUUGCUGAUUACGCAUGGGUGGCGCGAUAAAAAAUAUAAAAAAAAACUCAACUCUUUCUUUCCCUGAGCAGGCAGGGUUUGCACCUGAUUUAGAAAAUGUUGUUUAUAGUCAGACCUCUAAAGCAUCAAAUACGAGUUUUCAUGGGCAUCAGUAAUUUUAUAGAACUCUAAACCCUUCUUAUGUAGACCUCGAGUAUUGUUUAGUUUUCAAUAGAAAGUUAUUAAGAGUAGUAUUAUUAUUGAUCCUCGUAAAAAAGCAAAAUAUCAUAGCACACUAUGGGUCAAAAACUCGGGAGCAUUUAUCCAUUAACUUUAAUUUAUGCAAGUCAAAAACUCAAUCUUGACUCAAAUUAAUAUACUAUUUCAUACCCUUAUUUAUUUAGAUGUUAUAUGCUAUAACACAUGUGUCUCUGUUUGGGUUAUAAAUUAUUUGAGAUAUUUUUACUGUAGCAUUUUUUGUGAUGUGAUGCAUGUGAGAUAAAAAGGUAAUUGGAAAGAUAAAUAGGUGUGUUGAAAAUUGUAAUGAUGAUGAGUGUGUUUGGAUUGUAAGUUAUUUGAAAUAUUUUUACUGUAGCACUUUUUGUGAUGUGAUGUAUGUGAGAUAAAAAAGUAAUUGGAAAGAUAAAAAGGUGUAUUGGAAAUUGUAAUGGUGAUGUCAGCAAAUAUAUUUGGCCAAAUAAUUGGCUGUCCAAACACACUCGAUGUAAGCAAAUAAAUUUUGACAAAUAAUCCUCUAUCCAAACAAAUAGAGUCACUAUUCUUUUGUUACUAAUUAUAUAACCUAUUCUAUUUUAGUAGCUAAAUCAAAAGAACGUUUUGAUAUCACCCUUAGAUUUUUUUUUUUUAUUGCAAGUGAAAUUUGAACCCCUCACUUACAAUCUAAAGAGAGACUUAAGUCCCUUCUUUUUCUCAGUGGACACUCAGCUUGCUUAGUGGUUCUACUCUUUUUUUACUCUCUCGGACAGAAUUCCUACUCUUUUUUGCUUGGCUCCACUUUCAGCACAUUGAUUUAGGCGGCUUGAAUGUACAAACAAUAAUGUUGAACGAAUCAAAGAUAUAAUACUAACAGUUAGGAGCACCGCCAAAACCUCAAGGGUAGAUUGUAAAAUUGUCGUCGAUGGAGUCAUAAUUAACAACAAAAGGCUGCUAGCAAAGCAAGGCUGGUGAGCGCUCGAACAUAAAUGAAAUCUAAAUGUGGACAUGGAUGUUUCUGGGCAAGUGACACAUUUUAUUGUGGCAGGAAAGAGGCUGGGACAACGCUACCUCUGAACUUGUUCUCUCUCUCUCUCUCUCUCUCUCUCUCUCUGGAUAAAAAGCUUGUCUCUCACCUGUUACAAGAUUUUUUUUUUCUCUAAAUCAUGUGCCUGAAUUAAAAGUAGGGAUAAUUUCGGAAACCUACCUUGAAGUUUUUGACAAUUUCACUUAGCUCCCUCGAGAUUUUAGAAAUUACGCAUACCUCUCUAGUCAUUUAAAAUGACAAUAUUACCCUUAAAUAUUUUAAUGAAAUGACUCCCUUAUUGGUGUGUUCAUAUUUAGACUGAUUUUUAAAAUUAUAUUGUUUUCAUUCUUUUUCCUUCUUAUUCUUCUUUUGUUUAAAUUUUUUGCCAAUAAAGUUGUAGAAUUACUACUGUUACCUCUAGUUUCAUUUGUAACCGAAUGCAGAACUAGUGAUUUUUUUGAUGAGUUAACUUUAUACGUAAUCCAAUGUUUUUGCUAAUCUUUGUUUCUUAUUUUUUGGUAUUAAAAUUAAUAAUAAAUUAAAAAGAAAUGGUCCAAAAUCAUUGCUAAAUUAUGAUAAUCCUACUAUUUGAAAAAUUCAUAAACUCUAAAAUGAAUUAUUUCAACAUUUUCUUUUCUAUAUUAUAAAUUUAAAUUCAUAAUAAAAUACCAUUAAAAUUAUCCCAUUAUAGUAAUAAAAUUAUUAUUAUAUUUGUUUAUCAAAUAGUAGACAAGAACAUAAAAAAUUUGGCACCUUUUUUCUUAUAAUAAUACUAGAUAAUCUUAUAAUUGUAUGUGAAAGUAAAUUAAAACUCAUUACACAAGGGUACUUUUGAGUAAUCAUUUAAAAAUUUGAUCGGGUCAAUAUUAUUUUAAGAUUUUGUUACUAAAACUAUCAAAUUAAGGGAGUUAGAUGUAAUUUUUAAAAUCUCAGGAGAGCUCAGUGACAUGAAGGACCGGAAGGGGGAGUGACUUUACAGUUCAAAAAUCAUCAUUCAUUUUUGAAUUGAAUAAACUCAGGCCUAAUGAAUUCAAACUUUUGUCAACAAUUGAAUAAAGUUAAGGCCUAAUGUAAUGAAUUCAAACUUUUGGAAACAACUGAGCACCAAAUUCAUUAUCAUGACAUUAACAAUUAUCCUAGUCCCACCUUUUUAUUGGGUGCCUUUACAGAAAAAGAUUAGGAGUAGUGGUAUAAAAGAAGCCAUCAAUGGAAAAGCAACAAGUUUAAUAUUGACGGAGGGGUUGUGUGUAGACUAGCAGUAUCAUCAUGUUCUCUUUGCUUGCAAGUAAGUCCCGUUAUUUAUUUCAACUAUAUAUAUAUAUUUUUAUGCAUAUAUAUAUAUUUUGACUGACUGAAAGCGAAAAAAUAAAACAGGCAAUAACAGGUGCACCUUAAUGUAUAAUGGAGUAGUCGAGUAGAUUUUUAUUAUUUGUAGAGUGAGAUUUCUCUGCUUGUUUAUUUAUUAUUUUAAAAAAAGAAGAUAUGGAGAAAAUGAUAGGGACUGAAGGAUAUUAACCAUCAUCAUCGUCGUCGUCCUCCUGAUUUUUUCUGGUUCUGAUGAUGAUCGUGAUUCAGAUUCAUACGAUCGUCGUCGUAGUUUCCGCUCUCAUUCGUGAUCCCGCCGGCACAUGAUACGUCGAUCGACCUAAACUUUCCUCAAAGGUCUGUUUGUUUGACUCCUAAUCUCUCUCUUUCUCUAAUCUGCAUAUCUCUAUGUCUCGCAUCCUUCUCCUUGACUUCUGAUAGCUGAUUUGUCUGACGUUAGCUCCGGCACAGCUGGUACUUGCUUUAAUUAUUUCUUCUCUUUUCUCCUUCCGAUUUUUUUUUUUUUAAAUAAGAUUGGGAAAAUUAGAUAUUAGACCUUUUAGAUCUCUUAGCUCUCUUCUCCUGUGCUGGCGUUGGAAUUGGGAUUCCGCAAUCAGCUCAGGUGAUAUCUUUCGCGCAGAAGUUAAAAGUACGCGCCAUCUUCUGCUUCUCUUUUUUGUAUAUUAUGAACGUUGAAGCUGGUCCUUUUUGUCGAUUUGGAAUCUGAAAUGUUCUCCUCCUCUUCUUUUGCUUUACGCAUUUGCUUUUGCAUAUUCAUCCGAUCUCCCAUUUCUCGCUUAAUUCUUCUUGUCUGUGUCUGCUUCUGUUCCUUCUCUCUCUAUCUCUAUUUUUUUUUCUCCCUACUUAUUGUAUCUUUUUAUAUUUUUUCUGUUUCCUUACUUCUCUUUUCUAAAAUUUUCUUUUUCUUCGUUUGUGUUGUAUAUUGUGAACAGAACCCCCAAAAAAACACACACACACACACACACAGAGUAAUUGAAUGAAUUGUUCAACAUUUUUCCCGUCACGAAUUCGUCCUCAUUUUUUGUGAUUUACUCGUGUAUUACAGUCUCUGUAGUUUGAAGUGAACAACAAACAUUUGGAUGAGGAGGAGACAGCUAAUCUGUUACAGCAGCAGUUAAGAAGUAAUAAUACCUUUUCUGAGGCACAAGUUUGGGUGGGGGUGAGGGUAUUCUGAUUGUUUCAUGGGCAAUACAUGCCGUGGAUCUUUUGGAGGCAAGCAUUUUCAGGGCUACGCAACUCCCGAAGACCAUUCUAACCCCAAGCGUAACCCUUCCUCCACCUCCACCGCUGCUCACUCUGACCAUUCUUCUUCUGACAACUUCUCUCCCACCACCUUAGCGUCUCAACACCUUGUUGCUCAAGAUUUGUCCAAGGAUCCUCACCACCCAAAACCCCAAAACGAAAACCACAAUCAUAAUUUCGCCCUUGUUAGUCCCAAGAAGGAGACCUCAUGAGUCGUGCCAACAACAAUCAAGCUUACUAUGUAUUAGGUCACAGGACUGCUAAUAUCCGUGACCUUUACAUGUUAGGACGUAAACUAGGACAGGCCAGUUUCGGUACCACUUAUUUGUGCACCGACGUUUCCGCUGGUGUUGAAUAUGCCUGUAAAUCAAUCUCAAGAGGAAGCUAAUUUCCAAGAAGAUGUUGAGGAUGUUAGGAGGGAGAUUCAGAUCAUGCACCACUUGGCAGGCCAGAAGCAUAUUGUUACCAUUAAGGGAGCUUAUGAGGACCCUUUGUAUGUUCAUAUUGUCAUGGAGCUAUGUGCUGGAGGUGAACUGUUUGACCGUAUUAUCCAAAGGGGACACUACAGUGAGAGAAAGGCAGCACAAUUAACUAAAAUUAUUGUAGGGGUUGUUGAAGCGUGCCAUUCACUUGGGGUGAUGCAUAGAGAUCUAAAGCCAGAGAAUUUCUUGUUGAUUAACAAGGAUGAUGAUUUCUCUCUCAAAGCCAUUGAUUUUGGACUCUCAGUUUUCUUCAAGCCAGGUAAAUGAAAUCUUGAUUUCUAAAUCAUCCAAAACAAAAGUAGAAGAUACAAAAUUUUAUGAGACAUUCUUCCAAUUUUGUCCUGCUAUCUCCUUUCAGAGUCGAUUAUUGUAUGAUAACAUUAAAAGUGACCAACCUUGCAGGAUGUUUUAAGGCAUAUGGUCUUUUGACUUUUGUCUAUCUCUAAUUGUUUCAGGCCAGGUAUUCACUGAUGUGGUUGGAAGCCCAUAUUAUGUUGCCCCUGAGGUGCUUCUAAAGCAUUAUGGUCCCGAAGCAGAUGUCUGGACAGCAGGGGUCAUUCUAUACAUUUUGCUUAGUGGUGUUCCACCCUUUUGGGCUGGUAUCAUUUCCUGCUCCAUACUAGACAGUUGUGUUCAUUUCUGUACUAUAUGGUAAAAACUCAUGCUACUAUUUUGCAGAAACACAACAAGGGAUAUUUGAUGCGGUUUUGAAGGGACACAUUGAUUUUGAAUCGGACCCCUGGCCAUUAAUAUCUGACAGUGCACAAGAUCUCAUCCGGAGGAUGUUAUGCAUGCGACCUUCAGAGCGCUUAACUGCUCAUGAAGUUUUAUGUAAGUCUGUAUUCAUGAAGUGUUAGCAGCCAAUUUUAUGUUAUUUUUAUUGUCCUAUGUGAAUGAUUCUGUUCACAGUUCUUUUACUUAGUCCAGCAUUUUGGUCAAUGCAAUUACUUUGUAACCAAGACUACUUGUUUGACAUGAUGAAUACGCAUAUUCCAUUGGAUUGCAUUAGGUAUCAAUAUUGUCUGCAGUUGGCUUAACUCCCUGUAUAGUUCAGUUGAUGUAAUUGGUUGCCUUCUGUACUAAAUAUGCUUGAUUGAAGAGAUUGAAGUAUGCGCUUGAUGUGUGCACUCUAGAUACUAAAAUGUGGCUUCAGGCAUUAGAUUAAUUUUGUCGUGGUUAAAGUUUUUAGCGGUUAACAUUCUUUUGAAGCAUGUGUGGUGCCUUUGGCAAAAAGCAUUGCUGUGCCUUUUUCUAUAUGUUUCAUCUACAUAUAUGUGUAUUCAUACAAAUGAUAGUGCUAGUAGUAUUUUUUGUUGUACCUAUUCUACUUCGCGUAACUAACCUUUGGUGUCUGGUGAUAAUACAAGUUACUGAAAUGUUUAUGUGAUUCUUAUGCCUUUACCUUAAUGUUGAUAGGUCAUCCUUGGAUAUGUGAAAACGGCGUUGCUCCUGAUAGAGCUCUAGAUCCUGCUGUACUUUCUCGUCUUAAGAAUUUUUCUGCAAUGAAUAAAUUGAAGAAGAUGGCUUUGCGGGUAUGUAGUAUAUAAACAGCAUCUCUUGGACUGUGGCCUUGUAAAUGUUUUCUUGCCUACAGUGCAAUUUUUGCUUUCUCUGUGCGAAAGCGCCUACCUCAGAAACAAUAGCAAUUUUUUAUUUCUUUCGUGUUACAAUCUUUGCAUGAAUUUUUAAAAUAAUUCAUGUGCAUUAAAGUUGUUUCAUGAUAUAGAUGUUGACCCAGUAAUCUUGCAAUGUCAAAUGCAUUUAUUCGUACUUGGAAAAUCAUUGAUUUGUUAUCUCAGAGCAGUACAGAACCAUAUCUUUGCAAGAAACAUCAUAAUGUCCACAUAAAAACAAGUUAUAUUUGUAUGACCAGCCAACUGUUAAAAACAGCUUGCAAUAGCGUGCUCUCUCUCUCUGUCUCUGUUCCCCAGCCAUGGUGGGCAACUGUAGAGGCAUUCUGGUUAAUUUAAUCUACAUCUGCUUUAUUUAUUCCCAGGUGAUAGCAGAAAGCCUGUCUGAAGAGGAGAUUGCUGGCUUAAGAGAGAUGUUCAGGGCAAUGGAUACUGAUAACAGUGGUGCGAUCACAUUUGAUGAACUUAAAGCUGGACUGAGAAAAUAUGGAUCUACCUUGAAAGAUAUAGAAAUACGUGACCUCAUGGAUGCGGUGAGAAGCUGUUCCCCAGCGUGUAUUAUGUUCUAUACCUGUGCUCGAUUUGUGGAGUGGACAAAUUAUUUCAUUUCAUUGUUCCUUUUUUUAUCUGGGAUCUUUGCUAGGAACCUGCUGAGAUGAAGAAAAAGAUUUAACCAUACUUAAUGAUCAUAGGAAGUUUCUAAUCUGUGGUCUAAUGAAUUAUGAAGCUUGGAAUCCAUAUGUUUUGUUGAAUGGUAAUAUUUAUCCUUGUAAGAAUCCAUGAUGUGAGUCAUGAAAUAUGGAUUUUGAAUGUAGGUUUAUAAAUUCUUCUUGUGCUUUAUGUAUUUGUGCAAGUGCAGUCAGCAACACAACUGCUGAAACGUAUAGCAAAUAAUGUAACUUUUUCUAUCCCCUGGUGUAACUUUUAGACCAUUUUAUUUGGGAAAUUCAUGCUUCUUGUGGCCGGGAUUCAUAUUUUUAGCAUUUUAAUUCUUAGUGUAUUCCUAGGAAAGUUCUUAGGAAAGUUAACUAGUAAUAGUGUAUUCCUCAUCUAUCACUAGUGAACUAAUAUCUAUUAUUUGGAUUAUAGUCAUGCUAGUAUAUGCUCACAUUGAAUAUUAAAAAAGAAAUCUCUACUUUGCAGGCUGAUGUGGAUAACAGUGGGACCAUCGACUAUGGAGAAUUUAUUGCAGCAACAAUUCACCUUAACAAAUUAGAACGCGAGGAACAUCUCAUGGCAGCCUUUCAAUAUUUUGAUAAGGAUGGAAGUGGUUAUAUUACAGUUGAUGAACUCCAGCAAGCUUGUGCCGAACAUAAUAUGACAGAUGUUUUCCUUGAAGAUAUUAUCAGAGAAGUUGAUCAAGAUAAUGUAAGUUUGAUACUUGGGGAGAGAAUGUGGAUCUCAUUGUUCAGUUUAUAAAUUGCUUGUAGUUUAGAACUAAGGGUGCUAACAGUGUUAGUUAUUCAUUUAAAGUUACCUUCCACAGUUGGCUAUGCUAAUCUUUGACUAACUUGUAACAAGUUUACAUCUUGGACACAAAAGUUUGGCACUCCUGGCAUCUCUAGUGUCAUGUGGGGAAUGACUGGUGGAAUUAUGAAGCCUUUUGUUCAACAAAAUCUUUCCCUCUUGUCUCCAUUCUCUUCCUUACUGGCAAGAGCAAUAUGAUUAGUUAAGCGAGAGACAUUCAUGCUAUGUUUGGUAGAGAAGGAAGAAAAUUUGACAGAUGAAAAAAAGGAUGAAUUUAUGUUGCUGGUAGCACCAUUACUUUCCCUUAACUUAUUCGUAUGGAAAUUAUUUUGUUGUUCCUAGGGUAUAUAAGUAUUUAGUAUGUACAUGGCAAGAUAAUCGAGGUCAAAAGUGAAUAAGCAUUUGAGCCUGCCUUCCUUCCAUCUUCUUCCCCCAGUGAGAUAAAUCCCAGAAAUUUGGGGUAUUUAGUUUGAUUAGCUGGGCCCCUUCCUUCCCCAUUUGUAAGAAUUACCAACGUAAUCUCUCCUGUCAGUCUAAUUGUGGUUUAAAUAAUCUGUUUUUGUCCUUAUUCUUCCUUUUUAUUUUGUUGUAAUAUGUACAAUUACUGUGCUUAAGCUUGUAUACAAUUUCAGGAUGGAAGGAUUGAUUAUGGGGAAUUUGUUGCUAUGAUGCAAAAAGGCAAUGCAGGCAUUGGAAGACGAACAAUGCGAAACAGUCUCAAUAUUAGCAUGAGAGAUGCUGCAGGAGCUCCUUGAUCAUUAGUUACUAUAAUCAGACACCUCAUUCAUUACUUCUAGUCAAACUUGUGUCUUUGCAGUGUCCUAUUCUCUACUGUUAUGGAAGAACGAAAGAUCAGGAAGCUGUAAGGGCAUCCUUGGUAGUCAAUGUAAUUAUACAGGUAGAUCAUAGGACACUUGCCCGCAAUUCUGUUUUUGAGCAAUUACACCUGUUGUUUGUUCUAAUAUUCUCCUUAUGCGAGCCAAGGAGGUAAAGAUGUUGAGCUCAAUGUGUAAAGUCUUGAUCCACUGCUUGAUCGCGCAGCGUGAGAUUUGGAUUGUCAAAGAUGAAGUCUGGAGCUUGAUCCUUGUUGCCCCGCCAUGAUGCAACUGUUGAUCUGGGGAGAAUGUUGUAAGCAUGGGAGAUACUUUGGUUAUUGGGCUAGUUCAGCUGCUUUCCGCUGCUAAUUUAUGCCGGUGUACUGAAGGGGGAAAAAUAAAAACUUUGUGCUUAUUCUUCUUGGAGGAGGUUGAUGUGCAGGCAUCUCAUCUAGAUUUGUUUUUUCCCAUUUUUUAGAUUAUGUACUUGGCUUGGUUUUGUAAUCGACAGAAAUGGCUCCAAACUCUGAAAAUUUUUCUUCUAGUUUUCUCAAUUCCAAUUUUGAGGUGUGUUGUUUUCGUAGAUGUUUUUGUGCUUCACAUGGACAGCAAUAGAACGGGGAGCUUUUUCCACUCUCAGAAUCGAAUAAAAUAAGCGUGGAAUCUAUAUAUGCGUAACAAGUUCUAUUCACGUGUUAAUUGAUGAAGAAAAAUUAGUGGGAGUGUUUGGAUAAAGUAUUAUUUGAAAUAGUUAUUAUAAUAUUUUUUAUGAUGUAAUGUAUGUGAGAUAAAAAAUUAAUUAAAAAUAUAAAAUAAUAAAUUGAAAAAUAUAUUUAGGGUGCAAGAAUAAUAUAGACAGUGAAGAAGUACCAGAAGCUGUUUACACGGAGAAGAAUAAUAUACUGCGACGGGCAAGAAGGAAUGCCGUUUACGCGACACGGAGACCUGAUGGUUGACACUGGAUGAUGUUGUAGUAUGACCGUACCAGAAGCUGAACCAGUUCUGCCCUGCGCGCAUGGUAAGAAUAACAAAGGCGCAAGUGAACUGUAAAGUAUUUUUCCUAUUAUGUCUAAUUGAAGACGGAUGCUUCAAUUCGGAGGGCUUUUCUUUUUUUCUUUGACGCUGUGCCAAUUAGAGGUUGCAGGUCCUGAUGUCAGUUUGUCAUCAACUCCUUGGCAGUUUCGCAUGCUAUUACAACUUCCUACACAAGAAAGAAAGUAAAGAGUAUAACUUGCAGGGAGGGCGGUGCUAAUAAGUAAUCGGACAAGUACUAGUAAGGAUAGGAUAAAAGAGGAAAUGAGAUUACUGGGACUUGCCUUCAACCUUGCAUCAGCCGAAAAGGAGCAUUUGGAGGUGAUUGCGAGUCCCCGGUCCAACAGCCAUCCAACUUGGAACCAAGUCUCUCCUUGCUCCUCUUCUUGAUUUGAUGAACACCAGAGUUGCUUUGGUAGCAGAAUGAGGCUACUGCCGUCUCUCGACACCGACAAAGGCACACUGUCAUCAUCAUCCACCACAAGUUCUCGGAAAUUCACCCUCUGACACAGCAUAACAGAUGCUAAUAAGAAUGUCAUCUGCUUGAAAACUGAAACGAAAGCUACAGACACAUACACAGAUACCAGCCAGCAAGAGUCAGUAGCAAAAUUAAUCUAACCUCCUCCUCCGGUUGGAAGGUGGCAGUUGCCGGGAGGCCUUGCCAUACGCCUGUGACUUGACAACUGGUCAAGGCAGGAGUAGAAGCAAAUGCAGAGUCUCGUAUGGCACAACCACCCAGCUGCUCCCCAUUUCUGAAGGGACCAUACCACUGCUCGCAGAAUACCUGGAUUCCCUCCAAUUGCAUCAUGUUCAUCGGCUCUCCUUGGUCGUCACCAUCUUCUGCCGGUGGUUGCUGUUUUAUCCGGACAGCCUGAAUUAUUCGCGCCCGGGAUUCCCCGUCUCGAGGGUGAAUCAGGCAAUGCUCCAACUCCAGCUGCACGAGUGAUCCGCCAUUCUCCUUGGGCCAAACAGCAACGUAACAUCCAUUGGAUUGAUAAGCAAAGGCGGUGGCGGCUGCCGGACUGGCAGCAGCAGCAUUAGCAAGAAGAAGAUUAAUGUUCCUCUGAAGAAGGCUAUAUGUGGUGGCAGCAUCAGCUUCGCAACCAACGGUGGGAAGUAGCCUGAUCAACUUGUACGUGAGUUGAAAAUGAGUUGGGUGAGCCAGAGUGGGGCACUGAGUUUGCCAGUCGAAAACCUUCACCUCCCAGUCCCUGUAGGCUUGGGGACUACUGAUUCGGGCAAUUCCAUGGGUUCCCCAUCCUUGCUAAAGUCUGCUCCAUAUCCAUCCCAUUCGCCGGAAACCUUCUCCGCAAAUUCUGCCCAACCUGAAGAAUUUGGUCCCAAAUAGCAGUACAAGUUUUGUUUUUCGCAUCAGAUGCUACUACUGCCAGUAGUAUUAUUAAUUGAGAUGGCCUGGAAACAGAUCCUUCAAAAAGUUCAAAAGUGUGCGCGUGUGUGUGUAUUAAAAGAAAAGGGAAGCACUCACUGGUGGAUGUUGAGGGGUGAACAUAGUGAGACUGGGGUGUUUCCUCCGUGAUGGCGGUCUUGGCAUUUGCAGGCACAGCGAAGAAUUUGACGCGUGGAAAUCUACAGGUGGCGUUGGAGGAGUGAUGCCUGCGGUGGAUAAAAAGGGUCUGACGAGGAUUUGGGGAAGAAGAGGGACAAUUUUUGAGAGAAGCAUUGAAUGCUAUGCGGAGGUGCCCGAAGACAGCUGUGUUAGCGCUUAAAGCCAUACCAUAACAAAGGAAGUGGUAGUUCUAGUAGUACUAUGUACACCGGCCGCAGCCCAGAGCAGCUAAGUCACACCAAGUCCGGUAUCUCCACUCCAAUCUCGGAAGCACUCUCCAUCACCGUCCAACCAUUUCCGACCACUAACAGUAACCAGACGCAAGAAGAUAAAAGGAGAAUCCGUCACUACUUUCUUCUGUUCCCGUUUUUAAUUUAAAAAAUAAUAAUAGUGUACCACUCUUUUUCUUUAUAUAUAAUAUAUACGGUGGUGAAUAUGAGAUAAUAAGUGAUAAUUAAAAAUAUAAUAAAAUUAAUAAAUUUACAAUGCAAGUUAAAUAAUAUUUAAAAGAAAAAAUUCCUAUCCAAUAUUUACAAUAAUGCUUUCCUAUUUUUCUUCACUUAAUUUACCUUAAUUUUGUUUGCGCGGAACUCUCUAUUGUUGCUGUUAGCUCACAUCUUACGUUUUUAGCCUUGCGUUGUUCUCAAGUUGUUGCUUGAAGUAGGUUGAAAGUGAAGGGCUAGUGGCAAGUACUUUGCCCACCUGAACUCCAAAUAUGCGUACUUACCUCUUACAAUUACACUUUGCCCCUCUAAACUGUUGAUGGGUUAAGAUGCAGUUAUAUUUUAAUUUUAUUCCAUUUCUUGUAUUCUCUUAGUAUAUUUGUUUCUGAGACUCUUUUUUGAGAAAAAAUCUUUAUUAAGUUUUAAUCACAUAUAUAAAAUAUAAAAUUAAAUUAAUAUAAAUAAUUUUUAAAAAAAAAUAAGUGAUAAGCAGGUGAGAUGAGCAUUCGUUGGCGUGACUUUAUUUAACGGGUACCCAAUGAUAGGUGAAGCAAAUACGGUCACAAAAUGACUAUUCUAUGCGAAUUGGGUCAACCCAAUCGUGACGGGACCGCCCCUAACGGUGGGAAGCAAAAAGCAGCUGUAUAUGGGGUGUUCUUUUUUCACUUUAGGAAGCGUUGGUCGUGGUCGUGGUCGGUGGCACCUCGCCGCCAAGAUAUAAUAACCACCCCAGUGCUCCGGACGGAGAGGGAAGGGCGGAAUGCUGAAUAAUUGGGUAAUAGAGCCAUGUGCUUUUGUCACCACAAUAGUACUAAAUUAUUUGUUGGGCGGCCCGCCUUCUCCUCAUAGGUUAGUUAUAAUACUAUAUGUUAUUUGUCGGCACCCCGCCUUCGCCUAUUUGGUUUUAGCUAAUUCAACAGAAGUUUGGAGGAUACAAGAGAUUUGCAUCACCGUCACGAGCAUUUGUGGGGGGCACCGACACAACCGUCUCGCGGCCACCCCCAAGUCUUAAGUCGCCUCAUAGUAAUACUAGUUACUAGAGUUUUUUUUGCCAAAAUAACACUUUUUUUUAAAAUAUUUCCAAUGUGAUUCACUUUCAAAUUUUAUUCCCAAAUCGAUGUUAUUGUUGCCACCUAAUUACCCUGAUUGCCAUGUAAAAUAACAAGAAAGGAAAGCUUUAAUCUAGUUUAUAGUUUCCAAUAAAAACUAAAAAUUUAAACUAUUUCAUUAUAGAGGCACAAGAAAUUUGCAUAACUUUGAUAAUUUCCUUAUAAUUAUUUAAAAUAAAAUUUACCAUUAUUGACCUUGCUAUUAUUGCUCUCUGCAAUUUUUUUUUUAAAUGUAUCCAACUUAUUGCAUAUAUUUUUUCAAAAAUAAACUUGCAAAACACAAAAAUUGCAAUGAACAUUAUAAGCAAUAACAAGAAAAAGUUACAAAACUUCAAGGCUAUCAUAUUUGUUUAUGUUAUGCUUCCUACUCCUUAAAAAGAACUUUUACAAAAAGUAAUCAAACUAUUGCAAUUAAGAUAAUGCUAAAGUUUCUCAUAAGUAACACAAGCCAUUAAUUGAUGUUGAAUAAAUGUGCAAAAAUACUUUAAAUAUACGAGAUUAUUUGAUUAUGUGAUAGAGAGGCACUACAAAUGAACAUGCUUAUAUUGAGUAUGAAUUUAUGUUGCUACGUAGUUUUCCUCUUAGACAUUUUAUAAAACACACGGUGUGAGAAAUCAUUUGUCAAAGCAAUUAGUAUUCAAAAUUUUUUGAAGGCCAUAGGAAUGUUCUAAAAACUGCACAAUAGAAAAGACAAGAGAAUAAUCUUCAUUUACCUUGAAAUUAUCAAUUUGAAAAGAAUAUUUUCAUCUACAGAUACAAUAUCAAGAAUGAUAAUGAAAUUUUAGAUGUUGUUAAUAUAAAUAUUGGUUUUUAACAAUUACAUUUAACAAGAAAAAAUAACAAAAGGACACAAAAUAAUAAAGAAAAAAAAAAGGGAAAGUUCGGAGAGAGAAUUAGGAAAGAUAUUAGUUAGAAAAGAGAGAUAGAAUGUGCCUCUGUCUCUAUCCUCUCACACAUGGAAACUAUACGGAAAAAAAGAAUUAUAAAGAUAAUAAAUUUUAAAAUUAGAUUACUCGAUAUAUGUUUCUUAAAAAAACAGAAGAGUUAUUUUGGCAAUAAACUCGUAGUUACUAUGUAUGUAUAUUUUACGCUCCCUCUCCACAUUCCACUCCCACGUCUGGCGCGCAAGGAAUCAUCCAGUCCAUGUCCAUCUCAUAAGUAAAAUAACGUGGCAGCCAGAGGCAGAGAGAGAGAGAGCGCCAGCCAGAAAAGAAACGUAAAGCGAGCAGCAACAUUGAUCGGUAAAUACUAGUAGUAGUAAUGAAACUGGCGGUUAACCACCAAAAAACUGAGAGAAUCACCACAGACAGAGAGAUGGAGAUGGAGGUGGAACAUCAAGUAAAGAAAAUCUUGGAUGAAAUAAACAAAUGAUCAUCGCCACCAGUGACGAAAGUUACAAAUAACAAAAUGGAAUGAAUAAUCACAACGUAUGUAGUAGUGUUGCCCUCAUCCAUAUAUCCCUGAUCAGCACCCCAUUCCAAAACCAUCAAUUACCAACAAAUUGUACUUACAUACUUUAUAGCAGGCAGACAGUAGUAGUUGCAGCAGCAAAUGAAUCGAAAACUUCCGAUGGCAAACCAGAGAAAAAUAUCUUUCAUUCAGCUUGGAGUGGAGGAGGUGGGGUGACGGCGGCGGAUGGAUGGCUUUCUUGAUUUUGGGAGGAAUGGAGCAAUACAAUAGGCAAAUGCAAAAUGCAGCAGCUUAGUUUAGUUUCCAUAUACUGAACUCGUACUACUUACUAGUACUGGGUGGUUGUAAGUGGGACCCGGUCGAAAUUCUUGGAGGAGGAACCGUAACGGAUGGUUUGAGGAAGCCCCGCGUUGUCGGAAGAACCUACGAGCUUUCCCAGUUCAGACUUGACCUUGUAGAAGAUGUGCCUCCAGCUGCCCUUGCUCUGCCGACCCAGGCAGCACUUUCUGCCUCGUUCAUCUCCAGAUCUUUUGCGAAGGUGGCUUCCUGGACAAGAUCCACCCCAUCCCCACUCCCCAUUUCCUUAUUAUGGAAUCCCUCCUCCUCCUCCAUACUGAUGAUGAUCUGCUGUGCCCAUGGAGGACGUAGAUUUGGAUCGGCGAAAUGCCCCGGCCCAUGAUGACGACCAGCGAUGAGAAGAGGAGAGGAGGAGGAGAUCAUCAUCAUCAUGGCGGACGACGACGGUUGUAGCUGCAUCUGCAUCUUGAGGGACAGGGAGGAGAGUCUCUUGCGAAUGCCGCCUCCGCCACUCAAUGGCCCACUUUCACUUUGUACUUCAUUAUUACUGCUGCUACUAUUGCGGUUGUGCUUGGUAUAUUUUAACGACGUUGGAGUCUGCGGGGCGGUGUGACAGAGGAAGGCCCUGCUGCCGCUGCUUGUUCUGUUGAAAGCUUUGAAAUAGAGAUCCCAUCUUGAUUCCCUCCUUAGCUACUCCAAACCUUAAGCUUUAGCUGCUGCUGUUGCCACCGACCAAAACUAAGAUCUGGGUUUCGGCCCGGAAAAAACCUGGACAACUAUAGCUACGCCACAGCAAAAUCGAGUCUAUUCUUGAAACACAACAAAUAAUACAACACAGAGAGAGAGAGCACAAGUACACAACACAACACGACUCAAAAACAAGAGGAUCGAUCGAUCGAUCGAUAAACAAAAAGGGCGGUGAGCUGUAGCAGUCACAGCGGUCAUCCAGCCUGUUUUAUUCGCGGUUUUUAGGAUGUUAGAUGCUGGCGUGGGUCACCCCUGACUUUAACUUUUCGUUCUUAUUUUUGUUUUUUAUUUUUAAAAACACGUUAACACCGCCACUUCCCACUCCAAAAAAAAAAGCAUUUUUUUUGAUAAUCCAGACCAUGCCCUGAUCUGAUCCGAGUCCUAUGGAUCCGAGCCGGCACAUUAAAUCGGGGACAACGUCUCAACCUCAUCAACGUUAGUCUAAGCGAGUCACAAGGUGGCAGGGAGCAGUUUCGAACUCGGGACCUCUAUGUCUCUAAGGAUCGCUAUUACCGUUGGACCAACCUCAUGGGGCUAAAAAAAAAGUUUGCUUCAUUUUUCACUUUAAAUUACCAUAAUUAUAUUAUACAGUUUAUCCCCCCUAAUUAUGUGAACCUUGAAGGGCCAAGGUGAAAAAAGAGAUGAAUUUAAGGAGCUUAUUGGAAUUAAACCUUCAUUCUAACAACUUUUUAUUACGCCAAACAAGAUGGAUGCCCUCCAUUUUAAAAAGUAACUAAUUAUUAUUUGAAAAAAUUAUUUAUUAUAGUAUGUUAGUUUAGUGCAUGUAAAAUUAAAAAAUAGUUAAAAAUUAUGAGUAAAUCUUAUAUAUACUGACGAUGUAUUAUUAUAAUUGGAUAUACGACAUAUAUGCAAUAUUUAAGUUUUAAAUUCAAAUUUGAAUUAUGUGUCAUAUAUCUAAUGAUAAAAAUAUAUGCUAUCAGUGUAUAAAAAAUUAAUCUAAAAAAUAUAUUUAAAUAAUGGUAAAAAAAUGUUUUCAAGUAACGAAAUGCCCAAACACUCUACAGCUAGAAAUGAGUAAAUAUUCAUAUGCUAGUUUAAAAUUCAGUAAAAUUAUACUGCUACUAGUUAAAAUUUAGAGAAUUUAUUUAUUUAUUUAUUUUUUGAAAAAAGGUUAACAUGUAAGUGUGUUUGGACAGGAGAUUAUUUGCUCAAAUAUAUUUACUUACAUUACCAUUAUAAUUUUUAAUAAAUCUUUUUAUCUUUUCAAUUAUCUUUUUAUCUCACAUAUAUCACAUCACAAAAAGUGCUCCAGUAAAAAUAUCUCAAAUAAUUUACGAUCCAAACACAAAAGAAAGUAGUAGCAUUGGCGUUAUUGUUACACAAUUGCUGCUGGGUCAUCUUCUGCUAUUAUUAUACUUAAAAAAAGAAGAAAAAAAAAAAAAGAGGAGAGUGAAGGUGGUAAUUUCGGAAAGAAAAGAAAGGAUUAAGGAUCUGCCGCUGCUGCUGUGGCCACUAGGGGAUUUGAUUUGAGUGAAAAUUACUACUCUGUCUUGAGAAAUAAAUUGGUGGACGACGGCAGACAAUCGUCGAUUCCAUACAUUCACGUCUCUGAUGCCCGGACCCGUUAUGCUGCUGGAUAUUUAGCAAAUGGAAUACAGAAGAAUCAAGGAUCUGCAGGUUUGGGCAUCCCCAACCAAAAGAAUUAACUAUAGAAACAAAACCCUAAUUUCCAUCGCCAUUCACUCGAUUGACAUUUCUUUCGUUGCUUUCGGUUUCCCCAAUUUUUGUUUGUCGAUUCCUUUCUUGAUUUAUUUUUAUUUUCUAGUCGAUUAGUUCUUCGAUCAUCCAGCAUUAUCAUUAGUCUGUCUUCGUUUUACUCGUGAUUCAGCUUCUUCAACUUUCGGAUUUUACCUCUCUUCUCUCCCAAAUAUGCUUCUUCUUAUCAUUUUUACUUCCUGAUUGAUUAUUCCUUCCUUCCGCUCGCGUAGUAACCGAUUACUAUAAUUUUACCAUCAGGACAAAGCUGGAGAGGAAGUUCAUUCUCACAACAAUGAUGAAGAGAGCUUGCGUGGUUCCAAAUCCGAUUCUAUCUCUACUGGUCAAAUUUCUUCCCCACUUCCUCCCUCCCUUUGUCCACAAGUUUCAAUGCCUCGCACUCUCUUUUGUUUCGGCCUCUAUUGUUUUCUUUCUAAUAAUUCAAUCAAUAAUUCCUCUAUUGAUUUAAACAGGCUCCGGCGAACUAUCAAAGUGGAAACGCAAGUCAGUAGCUCGCCUGAUCUUCUUUUUUCUUUUCUUGUUGUACCCGCAAUUUGAAGUCUUCCCAUUUUCUCACUGAUGAUUAUAUUAGGUCAAUUGUAACACUUGCGUUGACUGUCCUUACGAGUUCACAAGCUAUACUCAUUGUCUGGUCCAAAAGAGCUGGAAAGUAUGAGUACAGUGUUACCACUGCCAAUUUUCUGGUGAGGAAACUAUAAGGCAUCUACUAUCCUGUCACUAACCCAUGAAAAUAAUUCAGCCUUUUUCGUGCUUGCCUUUUCUUUUUUUUUUGGUAUUCAUUUCUUUUACCUUAUGUGCUGGGAAAGAAUUUCAGAAUUCUACCUAAAUUUCUUCCUUUUUUCUUUUCCAAUUAGGUAGAGGCCUUAAAGUGUGCAUUUUCACUUGCAGCCUUGGCAAGAAUCUGGAGAAAUGAAGGUGUUACUGAUGAUAACAGGUUUCUUUUUCCCUGACUUCCUUUUGAUGUACCAUGUGUGGUCGAUAUACAUCAGCAUGUUCCUUUUCCUUCUAGAAUUUGUAAUUGCCCCAUGCAAAACUGAGCAGCUUGGCUUGGAGGGAUCAAAUAACAACCACAUAAGUGAAUGUGCAAGUUUAUAAGUUUUUGAUACCCUAAACUUGGCUUUCGGGGAAUAGCAAUUAUGGAAGGGUUAAAUCUCUUAAAAUUUCUGUUUCUGCACUGUUAAAUGAUCUUCUGAAUGCAAGUCUCGUGACUUUCCAUCUAGAGAAAAAUUCAGUAAUCAAAACUUUUUGACUUUUAUUUUUAUAAAUAGUUUAGAAAUUCCUAUCAAGUGCACGGGUUUACUGGCUUCCUUCUGUAUGAGUCUUAUGUAAGUGAAUUCCUUUGUUUUUUUUUUCAUUUGUUCUAAAUUAAAUAUACGACAUCUUGUUGUUGUGUUUGAACUUUGUUAAUCUUAUGCUGUUUGUUCUGAUUUACAUUUGUAAUUUAAUGAAUACAUUGUUUGUCUGUCAUCAUCGUGUUUACUCUUCCGCGAUUAGGUUGAGUACAACGCUGGAUGAAGUUAGUGUUUACCCUAUUCCUGCUGCUCUUUACCUCAUCAAGAAUUUAUUACAGGCAGGUUUUUUUUCAAUAAUUUUUUCUUAUAGGUUUGGCUUUGUGGCUCUUGGAUGUUCUUUUGCUUAAACAUGAAUCUGUCUUGCAGUAUUACAUCUUUGCAUAUGUUGAUGCUCCGGGAUAUCAGAUAUUGAAGAAUUUUAACAUUAUCAGCACCGGUGUAUUGUAUCGAAUUAUUCUGAAGAAAAAGUAAGUCCUUCCAUCACUUUGGAGAUAGAAAGUGUUGAAAGUUUUCAUGGGGAAAGUAUGGAUAGCAAUACCUCAGGAGACUGAAAAGCGUCAUCUUUUGGUUUGUCCAUGUGAUUGUUUUUUUACCAUGGACAUAUUAGCUGGACUUAUGAAUAUCUGUGUUGCAAUGAAGAAACUCAGCAAACGUGUUCUGGAACAAGUUAAGAUUAUCCUAAACCUAAAUUUGUACAGGCUGUUGCUGAGAACAUGAAAAUGCAUUAUUUUUUUAUUUGUUUUUUCCCCCUUCUAUUGACAUAUCUGGGGACCUUGUGAAUAUUGAUGGGGGAAAUGGAAAAACCUUAGCAAAUGAGUUCUGGAACAAAGUUCACAAGAUAUUUUGUUGACCUCUUAAUGAUGUCUUCUAUGCAUGUCUCUGGUGAUUUAACUUCUUUUUAUUAGGGAGUAGUUGAACCAGAGUUCUUCUUUUUUCCUUUUUCCUUUUGUCACAUAAGUUAUGUAAUUUGACCGGAUUCUGGGAUUUCUUUGAUCAGUAAUCUUCAUUGAUUUAUUCAGGCUAAGUGAGAUUCAGUGGGCUGCUUUUGUCUUAUUGUGUGCUGGGUGCACAACUGCACAACUUAAUCCUAGGUAAGUGCCAAUAGCCAGUAGGAAGAGAUAAAUGUCUUUUGCUUUCUCAUUUUGCUCUACUACUGUUCUCCUUUUCUGUUUUGGAGUAAAUCGAAUUGUUCUUAUUUAUUUGCAGUCUCCUUAGAGUAUGACCUUGUUUGUGCAGCUCUGACCAUGUUCUUCAAACUCCCUUUCAAGGUUGGCUCAUGGCCAUUGUAAGUUGCUGUUAUUGAACACCAGGAUUCAACUAAAGGAUGAAAAGCUUACUAAAAUUUUCAUGCUUUGUAAUAUGACCAUGAAUGGCUCUUUUCAGGUUAUGGCUCUUCUUAGUGGUUUUGCUGGAGUGUACACAGAGGUUAGUGUUCUGGCAUUUUUUUUGGGGGGUGCUAAAUGGUUCUUUCAAACUGUACUUUUGCUUAUUUGAAACAGUUUAUCAUUUGCAUGAGGGGAUUGAUUCUAGUAAAUGAUCAAUUUCUGAAGAUUUCUAAGUGCCUGGCCAAGAAUAAUCAAAACCAAAACAAGGGGAGUGGAGUUUACCUUAUAAGUUUGAAUUUCUUGCAGGCUAUCAUUAAAAAACGACCUUCAAGGAACAUCAAUGUGCAGAACUUCUGUUGUAUGUCUUUGGAAUGGUCUUCAAUGCUAUUGCAAUACUGGUUCAAGAUUUUGAUGCAGUGGCUAACAAGUAUUGUCCGUUGUUCUGCAUUUCUCAUCUUUUACCUUGAUGUUCACUUAGUGAAUGCCUGAUGAGUAGAUAUGGUAUUAUUUAUGUAACUUGGAAGCAUAAUCAUAUUGAAAAAGAGCAUCCUCAUCAUUGAAAAUAGAUGGCUCUUCUCUUGUUUGGAUAUUUGGAAUUCAUAAGUUUUCCUUCAGAAGAAAAAAAAUUGUGCAUCUUUUGUUUAGUGGAAAUGGUGCAUCUCAAAAAGUAAGGGCUUUUGUUUUUUAUAAUGUAAAAGUAAGAAGUGGUUUUAAUAUGUAAUAAUCACUGGAUAUUUGACUUUUGAGGACAUUGUACAUAAAUGUCUUUUAUAAUUACAUUAAUAAUUCGUGUUUCUCCUUGUGCCUCUUUUACAGGGGAUUCUUUCAUGGAUAUUCAUUAAUUACAGUUCUCAUGAUUCUCAACCAUGCACUCAGGUAUCUCACAUUGCUCUAAACUUCUCUGGACUUUAUUGAUGUAUGUUGUUGUUGUGUAUGAUGUAAACAAUUAGGAGUGUAGGAUGAAAUAGUAGUUUAGAAAAUAGAGGUUUUUGUUGGCUGAACUUUUUCUGCAUUUUAAUGGUUAUGUUUGUUUUGGUAACCGAAUCGCUUGCCAGCUAAAAGUAAUUGCUUGCUUAGAUAUGUCUGCAUAGGCUUGAAUAGGUGGGCAUCUGAUUCUGGAAAAGGAAACUAAUGUCAUCGUAGACUUAACAUAACCAUAAACUUUUGGCAUUCUGUUUCUUUUUAGUUUUUGAUCAGAAGCAAUGAUUUACUUUGUCUUGGCCUUCUAUAUUUGUUACCUAGGAUUUGUUUUCUUCGUCAAUGUAUAAUAAUGUUUUGUAAUCCUCUUCUUCUACAAGUCAAACUGAAUAGUGCUUAAGCCUGUUGUUCUUGAGCAUUUAAUGGACAAGUUGGGGGCACGGAGUGUAAGAUUGAAAAUUGUUUGUUGUGGACAAUGAUGGCUGCUUUUUAAAUUCACCAAGUUUUUAUAUGACCUGAUACAGUUCAUGAAUUUUGAAGCAGGUCAUUUUCAAUGUUCAGAAGUUCAUCUUCUUCUGUUUUUAUUUAUAAUUAACUUCUGCUAUAUUUAAUUGUUUGAUUACGUAUGUGUACCAUUCACUAAUUGACUAUUUACCAUGUAGUGGAAUUGCUGUGUCAAUGGUCAUGAAAUAUGCGGACAACAUCGUGAAGGUAGAUAACUGAAUUGCACAAUAUAUUUUUCUUGGAAAUUGCAUAUGAGUAUGUUUGCCAAGGAUGUGCUUUUAUAUGAAUUAUGUUGGAGGUAAUUUGCUGGGACGAAAAUCUUGGUUGAAGAAUGAAACACAGUUAUGUCUGCAUUAGGGGAAACAUAAAUUUGUGAUGGUGUUUACCAGAAUAUGCUUUGUUUUCCUGCGAAGUCAAGUUCUUUCUGUGUGCUUGACAAUAAACAUUUGGAAUGGAGAUUUUGAGAAUAAAUUUCAUCUCAAUUGAGUCAGUUGUCUGAGAUCAGGAUGAGUAUUUAUGCAUGACCUGCAGAAAUCUUGUUUCGUUCUGUCAUUUAAAAGCAUACCCAGUCUUUUAAUUGAUGGAAAAACUACAACCUAUAGAGGAAAAUGUUAACGUAACAAGGCCAUUUGUAUUGCUUAGUAUGCCUGUGUGUUAAUAGUAAUGCGUCUAUCCGAUCAAUCAUGGAAGCUUUACACUGGAAAGUCUCGAGUUCUUCUAGGAAGGGCAUUUCCCAUACUGCUUGGCAUCAGGAUCAUUAGUCUGUUUGAUGCUGCUGCUGGCCAAGUCUUGAAAGUUUACAAGCGGACUGUUUAAACAUAUUUCAAAUCAUACCUAGCCUCUGUAUCUACAUUGAAUAUAUUUGAUUUCCGUUUUAUGAUUUCUGACAUAUCUUUGGCAGGUUUAUGCUACUUCAGUUGCAAUGCUGCUAACAGCAAUUGUGUCUGUAUUUUUAUUUGGAUUUCAUCUCUCCCUUGCAUUCUUUCUUGGUUCCAUGUAAGAUCCUGAUUCCACCUAUGCAAUUCACUUGCAUUUUUUCUCUGGAUUCUGAUUCAACUUAUGCAAUUCACUUGCAUUGCGAGCAUUACUAAUGAAUUUCCUGUGCUUGCAGUGUUGUUUCUGUCUCAGUAUAUUUGCAUUCUGUGGAAGGUCCAGCGGCAGCAAUGAUUUUUCACCUUCUCGGUCUAUUAUUUUGAGCUCUUGUUUAGGAGCUAACGCAUAUUUUUUUUUUUUUAGUUAUUUAGUUACCGAUCAGAUAAUCAGAUAGCAUCCAUCGAACUUCAAUUUUGGUUUGCAUUUUUGUUUAGAUUUGUAUUUUGAUGUUUUUAUCAUCUACUGAAAUCGUUUUGGAGAGGCCUCCAUCCGCUACUUUGUGCUUGAUUGGUACGAGUUGCAAGCAUUUGAUCGUGUUUUUCUUUGUCCUGUAGAAGAAUUGGUGCGCGGAACUCAGGAGCCAAAUUAGAUGGCAGUUGAAAAAUAUAUUCCAACAGGAAAACCUGUGAAUGUUUUUAUAUCCUUGAGCGCAAGCAUCCCGCAAUUCACGAAGGCCGUAUUUAUAUCCUGGCGCAAUUUACAAAAUAUAAAAACAACCCAUUCUGUUAUAUCAUGCUUGCACGACCAUGGCCACAUUUGCAGGCACGAAACUACUUGCAUCUAAAGUACGAAAUCUCGUCCUACCAUAUCAGGGAGAGAAGGGGGAAGUAAUAUCAUCAUCUGCGCAUGUUUGUGAACCAAAAUAAAAUGGAAGUACACGGACAAGAAUAUGUUAUUAACCUAAAACUUCAUUGUACUUGAAAACACAGUCAUACAGCCUUCCCCAAGGAACUGAGCAACUUCAGGGUGCUUCACCUGAAAAGUGAAAUUGUAAACAAUAUUAGCGUCUAUAUCAUACAAAGAAAAAAAAAAAAAAAGCUCACACUCCUUUUUCUUUCACCUAGGUGCUCAUGAAUGGAGUUAUUUACCAUUCCAAUCUUGAGGGAGUCACAUUUAAACUGAGCAUAAAGGUUGGUCUCAAUUCCACGGCCCUGAAAGAAAAAUAAAAUAUCAAAAGAGCAAGAAAACCAGAAACCAAACACAAGCCAACACCCACAGAGCUGCUAAAGAAAACAAGUCAACUUGAAGCAAAAUUAUUUGUUUUUAGGUGUGUUGAGAUCAUGUCAAACUGCCAAACUCAAGCAGAAUCAAAGAAGGUUAUGCAACACAGCGACAAAGGGAAUCUUAGAAUUUAAUUAGCAGCUUCCCAUGAUAUUCCUUUCUUAAUCAUUUUUGCCAUCCUAAAGACAUAAAUAAUCGAACUAAUAGCUGACGUAACAUUUGCACUUUGCAAUGGACAUCUAGGGUACAAACCUUGAUUGGAGGUAAAAGUAUUCAGCAUUUUUCCUGACCCCAAACAUGGAAAACCACAUUCCAAGCAUAAGUAAACUUAUUUUGACGCUUUUCUUCUUCUAAUGGAGCAUGACUCACAGACUCAGUGGGUAUUAUUCAUUUUCCUAAAAUCAAAAAUUCACAUACAUCCAAGUGUACCAACUUUCAUAACUCCCAUGUUGACUUGCUCUCAUCAAUAUCUUUUUGAAUAUAAAACACAGAGAUCACCUUAUUACUAGUAAAUUCUUGUAACUACUUUUUUUUCUUUUAUCAUCACAUAUUAAUAAUUUCGUACACCAAUUUACUUGCAAUACAUAAUUUGAAAACACACUCAAGUUUACGAAAGUGAACUUUUUAAUAUAACACAUUUUGUGCAAAGGUAAGCUAUUAAAACAAACAAUCAUGUCUCUUGAAUUUGCAAAUAUUAGCCAUAAAAAUGUAUGCAGCUAUUGUAAAAGCAACCAAUUUUCUUAAAUAAGCUUACACUGAACAUGAGCAUUUCUGUCAGAUUUGUUAAAUAUCUGAUUAAUCCAGUCUUCUUCUCAUAUUUAUAUACAUGUAGACAAAUAUGCACAUAGUCAAGCAACAUCAAAGUUCACCAAAAUGUAGAAGAGAACGGAACUGCAAUAAAAGCUUACCCAGAACAAUCUGAGCAAACAUUCCAACUUAAGAGUAUCUUUCAAAGGAAUUAACCACGGAAGGAAAUCAACAGAUAUUGGACCAUCAUGUUUUUCAUAUAAUUUUUGUUUAAAGGACGUUACUGUAACAGCCAGCACAUACCAUUCCUUCCAAAAUAACUAGUUCGGCAUCACUCGCCAAAUAUGCAAGCUCUUGUGAUAUUCUUGUGAGAUCAAUUACCUGCCAUGAUAUAAAAUCCUAGUUCAACAAUAAAGAGGAAUCUGAUUCGAGCAACAUGUCAAGCAAACAAAUGUCACUAAAAAUUAUGAAGUGUAUCAAACAUUAAAACAUUCGCUUCUUACCGGUAAAUCAUUACCAGAAUUAGCAAUAAAAAGAUUUGAGGUAUCUACUCCUGCAAGCUUCCCUUGAUUAUCCUUCAACUGUUAAAGAACAAUUCAAUUUGCCAGCAUCAGAUUGAAGAUUGGUAGGAGCAUAAUGUUAGAAACAUGAAAUAUUUAACCACCUUUGAUACAAUGUCAAUUAGCUCAGGGUAUGUCACAUCGUUUAUAGAAGGUAAGUCAUUAGCUGCCAAAACAACCUGCAAGGACGGAUAAUAAUGCUUCAAAUUGAGAGAUUUAUAGCUCCUCUCACACAAACAAGUAAAAUAUCUAUAACUAACAAACCACAAUAUGUACCACCGUAGAACAUAAUAAUAGUGCCAUGCGGGACCUCCUUAUAGAAGUUUAAGAGGUGACUGCAUGCAGCCUCCUAACAACUAAACGAUGGAGAUUAAGUGAUAAAUAUUGCUUCACGAAUAGAGGAGUCAAGGUUGGUCAGUCUUCUUAUCAUCAUCAGCGGAAGUUUUGUAUUUGAAUGACAAUACAGGAUCAACUUACACUAGAUGGAAGUAGACUUACAUUAUUUUAGAAUGUUUUAUAGCUAUCAACAUAUUCGGAGUCCACAAUUGGAUCAUAUUAUUUCCAAACUCAUUCUAAUACAGUACGUACAAUGUCAUAAAAUAACCAUAAUUUAGCCCCUAAAUUACCAGUCAAAGGUGUCAAUAGUUAAUAUAUAUGUUUUUAAGCUCCAAUAUCCUUGAAUGUCCCAUGCUUUUUUUGUGAUUCUCAGAUAAUUAAAUUCCUUGUAAUCAAGGAGGCUAGGAAGUAUCACAUAUUCAAUGUCUUAGGGUGUCGUGCAAAUUUCACACGUUUAAAUUCUUUUACAGUCUUUUGUUUAGCAGAGACAAAGUCUGUAGCCACUGGAGGAACAUGAUUGACAUUCAACACUACUAUUUUGCAAACCUGUUAGAUGCCCUUAAAAGAGGAUUGCAGCAAAGGACAUGUUAAACCAAUAACUUCAUGUGAAACUCAAGGCUGGCAAUGCAAUACUACAGAGGGUCCAGAGCAAUUAUCUUCCUGCCAGAGCCAUUUUGCACAAACUGCCUUACAAAAAAUUAAAUAGUUAUGGCCCCACUACACUCUCUCUCCUAUUCCUCCCCCUCCACAAACCACCAGUUGCCAGGACUUCCACACUGACGGGACAUGAUUAACACUACUAUUUUUGCAAACCUGUUUGAAGCCCAAUAGAAGAGGAUUGCAGCAGAGGACAUGUCAAACGGAAAGUUAAUGUGAAACUCAGGGCUGGCGAUGAGAUACUACAGAAGGUCUAGAGCAAUUAUCCUGCCAGAGCCAUUUUGCACAAACAGCCUAGACUGCCUUACAAAAAAUUAAAUAGUUAUGGCCCCACUACCUCUCUCUCUCUCCCCUACUCCUCCCCCCUCCCCAAACCCACCACUCUCUGGGACUUCCACUGUUCCCUUCCCUUUUUUUUUCGCCACUCUCCAUCUCUCUCUUUUUGCUGUCUCGCCUCCAAUCCCCAAGUCUCUACGCUUACCUUCCCCUCCCAACUUCAUCUCUUUUCCCUAACCCCUCCACCUUGGCCCCUUCUGCUAAACUCCUUUCUCCAAUAGCUUCACUCCCCCCCACCCCCUUUACCAUUGCUACUACCUAUCCCCCAUGUCCCCUUUUCACAGAUGCAUUAACCUCACCACCAUGCACUUCAAACAAACCCCCAACAUAGCUUUCCCCCAAAUUAUCAUGGAGGAUUCUUGAUGUUUGAAAUUGUCUAUUAAGGUCCAUUGGAAUUUAACUGCUUUCAUGUCCUCAGCUGCUUAUGGGCUUCAUCUUCAUUCUAUUGUUUACAAGUCAAUAAUUUGUUAAAGAAAUCUUAUUAUAAUUAGUUUACAAUAAGUUUUCAUUUACUAUUUCCCUGUAUGAUGUCUUGCGAUGGUGCUGUAGUUUUGGUUAUCAACAUUCAUCAUAGCUUCAAUAUUAACCCUGUUGGAAAUCUUAUGUUGGUGGUUUCAGUAUCAAUAUUCAGUGGCUGAGAGACAUGAGAGAAAGUGGCAGUGAAGUAAGAAAGAGAGGCAGAAAGCAGAGCGAGAAUUAUGGUGGAUCUAAAAAUAAAGGUGUAAACUUUUUUCAGGGUAAUUUGUGCAUUCGAAAACUGCUUUGGCUGGAAUAAAAUUGCUCUGAAGGUACUUCCAGCCGAAUCUGAAACACAAUGAUGACUGUGAUUUUAGCCAAAGACACCAUUGCUUAACAAUUGUGACUAAAGGUCACAAAUAUCAAAGAGGCAACAACUAAGACAUUUAUGGUCUACAGCUAUAAAGAAGUGGGAAACUGCAUGUGACUAUAUUAGUAGGAUUGAAGUUGGAAAAGGUCACGCUCUUAUCACAUGCCUCUAACCACAUAGCUGGAAAGACGAUUUAAUAGGGGGAAAAAACACCAAGGUUAUAAGUAUUGUUGGGCUAAUAGGUGACAAACCACAAAUAACUAAAUAGUGUAUGUGAUAAAAGUAGAAAAGAGUAUAUAAAAGAUCAUUGUAUUGCUUACAUAUUAAAAUAGGGUAACAAAGGUAGCAAAAGAAAAACCAAAAGAAAUCCAAUAAAAAUUUGUUAAACACACCUAAAACAACAAAUAAAAUUGAACGAAGUAUCUAGGAAGAGCAUCUGGCUUAAUAGGCGACAAGGACUGUGAUAGAGCAAAGUCCAAUAGAAUUCAGGAAACACCAAGCAUGAGGUAAGGGCUCCUUAAGUACACUUUUUAAAUGUUGACAAGCGACAAAUGAUAUGUGAUUUAUCCACGGCAGCAUAUAUAAGACUAUAAGACUAUAAAGGUCAAACGUUCUGAAACUCUGAUGAAACAAUCAACUGUAUAAAUUUUUUAAAAAUUUUCAUUACUCAUGAAGAAUAUGGAAAGUCACAAACUAGUACUUGCACAGAACUCCAAGAAGAUUCUAUAAUUCAGUUAAAACAGAGCCCAAGAGACAUAUGGAGACCGAAAAAUAACUCCCAGAAGACCAAUUUAUUGUUGAUCUCAAUCCUUAGACAGCAUGAACAGUUCCAUAAUGCAGAUUCUCAUUGGAAAAAUGGUCUAGAUUUUCUAACUUAUUUAAUAUUCAGUGCAAAGGCAGACACAAAACCCCUAAAUCUGGAUCCAAAGGGCCUGAUCUUCACAGUGGCAAGUUGCUAAUUUAGGAGAACUCUUCAAUUUUCUCUUCAAAAUGUUUAUAAGUUCAUAUACGAUAUCCAGAGUCAAAUUUCAGAACUGGAAAAAAACAGCUUUGUACAAAGUAACAUAAUCAUCACUGAGUAGCAACUUUAUUCAAAUUAAAAGCCAAUUAGUGUCUCAUUCACCUAAGUAAUAGAAUCUCCGGCAAACAUAAGAAACUUCAAGAAAUUGAGGCGAUAGGAUCUUAAAAGAAACCUGUGUCCCACAACGCAGUAACUCCCUUGCAAAUGGCAAUAUCCCUAAAACUAUAUCUGCACCAGAAUUGUCCACAAAGAUCACAGCCUGCACUACGGACAAAAGAUUAGUGCAGGCACACCAUAAUUAGCAAGACAAAAGAAAACCCAUCAGUGGGGAAGAAGGAAUCUCCACCAUUUCAAAGUGCUCACUUUUUUCCAAGGUUUCUUGCUCCACUUUGCAAUGAAAGCAUCCAAAUCAUCAAUAACCCAAGGUCGGGGGACCAGGUUUUGACAACUAGCCAGAAAAGACAUACCAUCCUUUGAGAACAACUCUGCAAGCUUCAAGAGUAAAAAUUGUCAAUCAACGGUUGCUGAAUUUUGAAACUAAAAUCUAUUUCCCUUUUUUUUUUUCAUGUUCCUCUUAAGUUGAACUUACACAUGCAUAAGUCUAUGGUUUUCAAGUUACAAACUCAAGAAGCACUUAAUUCGGAUGUACAUCCAAGGGGUCUUAUUACUUAUGAAAGCAUGGAGACUGACAGUCAACAUCAACAAUUAUCGUACAUAUGCUCACUCCUUCAGAUAUUGUUCAUACGAGAAGAAAGUCUCACAAAACCUCAAAGUUUAUAUGAAUUUAUUGCCUAAAAGCACAAUCUACCUGUGCAGAGCCAAGAUCAAAGAUAUUUCCUGCAAAUAUUCCUCUAACCAAAUUUUCCAUUCGCUUGCAUUCAUCCUCGAUGGCAUCACUAAGAUGAACAACAUCUUCAAACAAGGAUAUUGCCUUGGCAUUUUCUUCAUCCUAAAAUGGAAAUGAAUGCUUAGCAGAGUGCACUAUGUUGGUUUAGAAGAUAACCCAACUUUUUGAACAGGAUAAUAAGCAGACACAGGGGAGUGCGAUAACUCCCAUGAAUGACGCAAGGAGAGGCCUUCAAUGAAUGGAAAACCUCGUUCUCACCUUAACCUUCUUAAAGAUAUCUCUGAACCCCAGUUCUCGGAGGACCUGCUCGCGAAGCUGACAAAGAAGCUACAAAAGAAUCAAAAGGAAACGUGAGAAAUUCACAGCUUUUUGUAUCAGUUAAACAUUCUGUGUUGCAUCAGAAGUGCAUAUGUAGGUUAAAUGUGAAGAAAUAGUCAAGACGGGUUGACAUUACUACGCAAUCAGGUGGUCCCCCAUGACUUUCAGGAUCUUUCUUCAAAUCCUCCAGUAUCUCCGCAUACCUUGAGGGUGAGAAGAGGGGGCGGGGUUGAAGGAAAAGCAGAUUUUGAAGUGAUGUGUGGGGGAGGGGAAAUGAGCCGUCAGUAAAAUUGGUGUGCAAAAUAAGAACUUGAAACAGCACUUUCAAGCAAUUAGACCAUGGCUAUUAAUACAGCAAACAAAUGUGCAACACUCUUGAAAAGGGAAAAGUAAAUCACAGAGAACGCAGGUGGAGAAGAAGACAAAUUUAAUGAAAAUAAUGAUGAUGAUUAUAAGGGGUACCUUUGAGCAAACUUCUCAGCCCUUGCAGGAGCAUCUAAUACUGUAUCAUCGCUCUCUGCCCGUCUCCUAUAUUUAGUAUAUCAGUAUUAUUCAGAAAAAAAUGCAUGGAUGAUUUUUCAACCAAAUCCCCCUCCCCAUCAACCAAUAAACCCCCCCCCCCCAAAAAAAAAGAAAAGGAAAAAUGGACACCGGAAUCCAAAUAUGAUGGUGAUGGUGAUGGUGAUGGUGAUGGUGGUGGUGGUGGUGGUGAUGAUAAUUGAAUGGGCAACUAGGGGUACUUCACUCCUAACAAAGAAGUACUGUCAAAUAAUGCGGUGAGAUGAGGGUUAGGAGAGGUGUAGGUGCUGCUGAAUUGCUGAUAAAAUCUCUAGUGAAAAGGUAAAAGAUUAUAAGAGUAACUAAAGAAACCCAGUACCGGAAAGAAGAAAUGGAGUUGAGGAAAAGGUCGAUCCAGGAGAGCUCAGUCGGGGUGGGCUUCUUGGAUUGUCGGAGGGGAAUCUGUAAGGUAUGGUGCAAGCCCUGUAAUUGGACUCGAUCGGCAUCGUCAGCAAUGGAAAUGCCACUAAUUCUCCGGCGCUCUCCAUGUCGCCGCCAACACUUAAUCCUCCCUCCCUUUCUUUCCACCUGUCAAACAAUGAGGUAGGUAACUGGGCUAAAUGUAAAUGGUUGAUUACUUCCUUGGAUCUAUCCUACAGCUGCAGCAAACCACGACACCUCACUUUCUCGUCGGUAAUCUUGAGAGCCGAUGCACCACACUCACACCACUCCAAUACUGCUGCGAAUUACCAGUGACCAGCUUCUUGGAGGAUUCCCCAAACAUUAAAAUUAAGGGUAAAUCUUUUAUUUUUAUACACUGAUAGUGUAUAAAUUAGUGGGCAUAUAUAAAAUUUGAUAUUUAAAUUCAAAUGAAUGAUGCAUGACACAUAUAUAUACAUAUAUAUCUAUAUAAUUUGAUAUUUAAUUUAAAUUCAGAUCAUAUGGCAUUCAUCCAAUUCCUAUGAUAAUGUAAAAAAGAUUAAUUCUAAAAUUAAAUGCAAUGUAGUGCGUGCAUGUGUGCGUGUCUAUAUAUAUUAAAUGUAGUAUAUUACUCCCUCCCUUUUUUUAUAACUGACGUUUAAGAAAUUUGCUCUAGUGUACUUUUAUCUAUCGUUUUAUUAUCCCCAUACAGUAUUAAUUAUUUUUUCACAAUUUUACCAUUUUAUCUCUCUUUUCCAAUACAUGGUUCUUAAUUACUACUCCUGGCUAGCAGACGGGAUCCUCUGUCCAAUUUUCUGUGUCUAAUUUCCUGUCCAACACAAAACUACAUAGUUCCACUUAUUCUUGUGGCUGACGUGGCACAUAAAAAUAAAUGUCUGUUUGGCUCCAUUAUACUUUUGAAUCUCUCUUCUUUUUGGAUUUCCUUUAUUUACAUAUCUUUAUUACAAUUCCCAAAAUCCUAUUACUACCAUAACAAUUCCCAAGACCUGUUGCCGUGAGCGUCAAGAAGAUUUGGGACUUCUUUGCCGAUGGUAAGAAAAAAAUAAUAUUCAUCUGCACAAUUGUUUCUGGCUGACUUACAAUGUAUCAGUUGUGGAUGUUCCUUUGCUUGGCAUCAAUUUAUAAGUUUUUUAUGCCGGCUUUCGUCUAUGUAGUAGGGACCCAUGAAGGAAAUAUAUAAUUCCAUAAAACCAAAAAAUAAAAAAAUAAAAAUGGCUAAGCAUAUAAUCUUCUAGGCAUUGAUAUCUGAAACAACAAUCAUCGUGAACCAAAUUGCAGCACAUAUAUUUGUUUACCACCGCAAUCCGUAUGCCUUAUAAAAUGUGUGUAUGUGGGUGAGGUGGUGUUUUUUUCUGGGAAAGGGGGGGUGGUAAGAAAAGAAAACAGCUAUUACAUCUUAAAAUAGCAGAGGUCUCCAUGAUGUUUAAAGGUUUUCAAUUUUUAUCCAUCACAUGGUUUUUCAUUCAAUUAGCAACUUUGUCAACCAAGCCAAUGAAAUAUGUCAGUUUUUAACCAUAUUUCCCCAAGAGAUGGAUUAUAAAUUAAAUGAACACUGUAUCAAUGAAGACAUAAUUCUACUUAAAAACAAAAAGAGGAAUCAAUUUACCAGAAUAAAAAAUAGAUUGCAAAAGGUACAAGAAACACUUUUUCUAUCUGAAAAUGUUAAAACACAAUUUGUUUUCCUUCAAAGAAAGCGAGAAGGACAAUUUGUUUUCCUUCACCAAUUUUUUAGAUUAUUCUUUCCGUUAGGCCCAGCUGCAAAUUUUGCUUUGUACUUCCAAGGAUUUGAUUGUCUCUCUGUAUGUCUCAAAUUUUGCUAUGUCUUUCCGUUAGGCUAGUGGUUUGCUUUGGAGGAAUUCACGGUGAAUGGUUACAAUUUGACAGGGCUGUUGCUUGGUGCUUGAGCCAAACAGGCAUUUAUUUUUAUGUGCCACGUCAGCCACAAGAAUAAGUGGAACUACGUAGUUUUGUGUUGGACAGGAAAUUAGACACAGAAAAUUGGACAGAGGAUCUCGUCUGCCUAGUUAGGGGUGCAGAGAAUUCGAGUAGCUUGAAUCGAGCUCGCGAGUAGCUUGAUUAGCUACUCGACUCGAUCUCGAGCAAAUUCGAGUUCGAGUCAAUCUCGAUCUACUUGCUACAGUAAACGAGCCGAUCUCGAGUAUUUAGUAGUAAGAAAUUCGAGCUCGUCGAGUAGCUCGAGCUCGGUAGCACAUAUAUAUUGUAUUUUAGUUUAUAUAUCAAUUUACUCUUUUAGGUUUGUUAGCUAGAAUAUUUACGGGCUUAAGCAGUUCCCUGCCAAUUAGUAAACAAGGGUGAAUAAGUAAUUUUGGCUCGAGAAUUCUGAUGAAAUGAGGAAAACUAAAAACGAAAAAUGAAAAAGCUUCCGUCGAAUUCAUCCUUCACAGUUCUUUCUUCUUCUUCGUUCGGCCGUUCCUUCCUCUUCAGCCUUGACUCUCAAAUCUCAAUCUCUUAUUCUUUGGCUCAUCUCCUCAACUGUCACAACUCACAACUCACAAGGCAGUCGAUCACCUAAAGCUUUAAACACUAAGCAAUUUAGCUCAACAUGGAGUAGGUAACAGCGUGAGCACUGAGCAGCCGACCUUUGAGUGGGGGUUUCAAAUCAAAUCAAAACCCAUCAAUUUCAACAGCUGUAUUUGACAAAUUAAGGUACUUAUUGUGCAUUUGUGUAGUAAAUAUGUGCAUUAUGAGGUUAAAUUUUAUAAAUGUAAUAUUAAUUUUUAAUCUCCAAACCCUAACCAAAAAAAUUGGGGGCUGCAGCCUGCGAUUCAAUAUAUUCAAUUUCCGUAUCCCAUUCCUUCUCCAUUGCUGUACUGGAAUUUUGAGGAAAUGGAGGGCAGCUCGAUUCCUUCAACAAGUGAUUCGGUGGUUGGCGCGACAGCUCUAAGAAUUGGUAAGUUUCUUGACGUUGGCUCUAACAUGUUUAUGGGUUUUUCUUUGAUGUGAAAAUGCACUGAUUUCAGAAAUUUGCUUUAAGUUGGAUUAUUAAGUGUUAAUUAGCUAGUAUAUUAAUGAGAUUAAUGAGAAUAUUCAGUUAUGUUCUCUGGAGAAUAAUUUUGAUGCUAGCUUAUGCAGUUUUAUUUAACGCAACAAAUUAUUCUAGGAAUCAGAAAAUUUAAAGACAAUCUUCAAUACUGUUGGUAGUUCUUUUUUGUCACCCUUUUUCUUUCUUGUUUGCCACGAAGGUUGUUCAUUUGAAAUAUGCCUAAAAGUGCUGUACAAGGACUGAUAAUAUAGCCAUUUUGACAGAGUAUAAUGCGUAUGUUAAAUCCAAUUUCCAGCAAUAUGCAACUAAUUUUUGUUGCCUUUCCCAAAGAGCUUGGUUCUUCAAGUUCUGUUUUUGAACUAACUUCACAUGUAUUUUGGGUGCAUUGACCAUUACAAUUCAUACUUAAGGUGUACAUUAAAAACUGAAUGAUGAAAUUGGGAAGCAUAAUUACCUCUAUAUGUCAUUUUUCUCAAGUAUUGAUGAAUUUAGAUAUGCAUACUCAAUUUUUUCAGGCUCAGCAGUCUUUCUUUAUUCAAACUGUUCUGAGUCUCUAGGUUAGUUUUAAAAAAAAAAUAAAAUUGGCAGCUCUCAGUCAAAUUUAACAUUUGAGUUCUUUCAAUCUGACUUCUUUUUUAUUUGUAGAAUUAUGGGUAAUGUGCUUUUAGAAUUCAAUCUAUUCCGCUUUUGAGUGUUAACACUCACAUCAAAUUAAAUUUUAUUUUCUGUUGUGAGUAAUUGCUUCGAGACUGAUACAGAUUUGAUUGAUGUUCUCUUUCCCUUUAUUAUGAAUUGUUUUAUACUUCAUACUUUCAUAGCAUUGAAAUAUUAUAUAAGAUCUGAAUUUGCUAUGAACUUUAGCCCUGAUAUGAAUUUUUUGGAAGCUGUUUUCCAGAUUUGGGUGCUUGUGUGUCAUUUUCAAUUUUUUUGGGAGUUGUUUUCCAGAUUUGGGUGCUUGUGUGUCAUUUUCUAUUUUUCUAAUGUUUGUUUGAUUUGAAUUUAAUGUUCCGUGUCAAAAUAUUUGAAGUGGAACUCAUUUUAAUGUAAAUGUUUGUUUUUCUAUUAAAGGCAUGUCUAUUAGUCCUCCCGAGGUUUCUUCAAUACCACAUGUGUCUGGGACCGAUUCAUCCACACCAGUCAUGAUUGACAGCCCAAUAUUUGUAAGCCGUGAUGCCUGUGAUCCCACACAAGAGGGUGGUGAAACACAACAAGAGGGAACCGAAGACACCAAUAGGCAGCAAGGAGAUGAAGCUGAAGAUGAUGGUAAAUUUCGAGUGCCUAAAAGGAAUAAAACUUCUGAGGCAUGGGAAGACUUUGAUGAUUUGGAAGAAAAUGGCAUAUAUUAUGCCAUUUGUAAACAUUGUAGUAAGAAACUGAAUCGGGGAAAAACUAAACAAACCAGCAGCAUGUGGAGGCAUCGAGAAAACUGUUCCGUUAGAAAAGCCAAGCUUAGAAAGGCCGAGCAGCAAACAAAGAUAAACUUUCAGCAAGCGAAUGAGCGUUUUCCAACUGUACCAUCAUUGCACACUGGCAAAUUCGAUAUGGAAGCAAUGAGAGAGGCUGCUGCACAUUGGAUCUUGAUGCACGAGCAUCCUUUCACAAUUUUGGAGGAAGAGGGUUUCAACAUAAUGAUGAAACGCGGCUGGCCGGAGUGGCAAAAGAUUUCACGAAUGACAGCUAAAAAAGAUUGUACACAGGUGUACGAGAUAGAGAAAAAGAAGUUGAAGAACUUGUUGAGGCAUGUACAAAAAGUUAGCUUGACCACCGAUAUGUGGAAAUCAAAGAAUCAAAAAAUUGAAUACAUGGUGGUGACCGGACAUUGGAUUGAUGGAAAUUGGAAGCUUCAGAAGAGAGUGUUAAAUUUUGUUCAUAUUCGACCACCACGUCGAGGAGUUGAGAUUUCGGAUGCAGUUUUCAAGUGUGCAAAGGAAUGGGGAAUUGAGGGAAAAAUUCACUAUUUCUGUGGACAAUGCCUCGAACAAUGAUGUGGCCGUGAGAUUGUUGAAAGAUGAUUUCGGGAGAUGCAAGAAGCUUUUGGGUGGAGGAAAACUGUUUCAUGUUCGUUGUUGCGCCCAUAUCUUGAACCUUAUGGUUCAAGAUGGCUUGAAGGAUAUAGUAGAUAUUUGUGAAAAUAUUCGAGAUAGUGUGGAUUUUGUGAACAAGUCUGAUGGUAGGUCAUUGCUAUUUGCAGAAAUUGCUCAACACCUACAAAUUCCUGGAAAAAAAUUACUCCAUGAUUGUAGGACGAGAUGGAAUUCAACAUAUGAAAUGUUGAAUUGUGCUAUAAAAUAUAAAGAGGUCUUUCCUCGUUUUCAAGUGCGAGAGCCCCUUUAUGAGUCUUGUCCAUCUUCAGAGGAUUGGGAGAAGGUUGAGAAAGUUUGCACCAUUUUAGAGAAGUUCUACACAGCCACACACAUAAUUUCGGGGAGUGAGUAUCCAACUAGCAAUCUAUUCCUCCCUGAGAUUCUAAAGGUGAAGAAACUCUUGGAUGCACGAGUGAAUGAUGAAGAUGAUUUUGUCCGGGGUAUGAUUACAAGAAUGAAGCUCAAGUUUGACAAAUACUGGAAAGAGUGUAAUUUAUUGAUGUCCAUUGCAGCUAUCUUGGAUCCCAGACAGAAAAUGCGAGCAAUAGAGUUUGCCUUCCCUAAGAUGUAUUCCACAUAUGAAGCUCAACAGAAUAUCACAUAUGUUCGAAAAGCCAUCUUUGAGCUUUAUGACGAGUAUGUUGCUAUGGCUACAAGUGGAAGUGCAGGGACAGGUUGUUCAUUAAAUCCUGCAUCCGAAAUAGUGUGUCCACCUCGAGCAAGUGCUGACUAUUGGGAUGAUUUGGAUGAGUAUUGUGGUGAACUCGAAUCCGAUGAACCCCAUAAGAGCGAGUUGGUGGAUUACCUAGACAAGCCUCGCCAACUUCCUGGACAAAAUCCGAAGGAUUUCAACUGUUUAGAUUGGUGGAAAAUCAACCGAUCAGCAUACCCGGUACUCUCUCAGUUAGCGGCUGAUGUAUUGGCCAUUCCUAUCACUACCGUCGCAUCUGAGGCCACCUUUAGUGCUGGAACUAGGGUGAUUGAUUCAUACCGUGCUUCACUUGCUCCGGAGACAGUCCAGACGUUAAUGUGUGCAGGCGAUUGGUGUAGAAAUUUACACGGGGUCAAAAAGAAAUUGAAAGUAAGUUAUAUCUAUAUGAAUUUGUUAUUGCAGAGAUAAAUUAGUAGUUAUUAGUUUGUUUAUUGAUUUUAAAGUAUUUCAUUAUUUGCAUUUCCACUACCUAAAUGCAGCCACAGAAAGCUCCAAAGAAUAUGAGCUGCCCAAUGCUUGAAGUUGUGUAAGGAGCAACUACUUUGCUGAAAAUCAGGUCCAUCUUUUUGUGAAUUCUCAUUUUCUUAUUCUUAAUUUGCCAUAAGUUGUGUUCAAAUUUUAAAUUUAAAUUGUACAUAAGUUGGUUGAUUUGUCAUUUGUGUAUGGCUAGGUGUUGUAGAUUGUACACCGAAGUUUGAAGAUGCAUAAGGAGCAAACAAGCUGUUUCAUUUACCAGAUUACAAACAAGAGCUUCUAAAUGCUCAUUAGACUCCAGAAAAUUUCCCUAAGUUUUUCCUUUCAAUUGGCUGCAGCACUCCUUUUUGUAUUUUCGUGAAAUUCUGAUGAGGUUGAGAACAGGUUGUUGCUUAUGUUUAAUGCUGAAAUGUUAAUGUGGAUCAUGGCCACUUAGUUUCUGCAUGCGUAUGGUGUUUCUUUAGCCAUUGUGUUUGUCCUUUUGUUUGUCAUUGGUUUCUCGUUUGAGGAAUUUCUGAAUUUUGGAAACUAGAAUUCUUGAAUCUUGAAUCCUUAUUAAUCUUAUUGAUUUCCCUGGCAUGUUGAUUUCUCAUCUGAGGUGACUGCUGCCCUUCGUAUUACUGAUGGUGCAUUGGUGCUGUUGAUUGUAUUGAGGGUAUGUGUUCGUGUGUUUUCUUUGCUUUUGGCCGUGUGUUUUCUGGAAAAAUUGCCACUGGCAUGAAGAUUCCCCUGGGCAUGUUGAUUUCUCAUCUGAGGUGACUGCUGCCCUUCGUAUUACUGAUGGUACAUUUGGUGGUGGUUGAUUGUAUUGAGGAUGUGUGUGUCUGUGUGUUUUCUUUACUUUUGGCUGUGUGUUUUCUGGAAAAAGUGCCACUGGCAUGAAGGUUAGAAUCAUGGGUCCCAACUAUGUUCCGAGAGAGAAAAAGGACUUGUAUGUUAUAAUGUUAAGACUUAAGAAUGUCUAAAGAAUAGUUAUUUGGAUGGGUAAGAAGCAGGAAAUAGUUGAGGAUGUGCCAUGGGGUAACACAGUUGCUAUGGUUGGUUUGGAUCAAUUCAUCACAGUUGCUAUGGUUGCUAUGGUUGCUGUCUCCCCUGUCGUGCGUGUUGCUGGGCAGAGUGCAGUGGAAGGUUGCAUCUGAUUCCCCAAGCUUGUUGAAGGUUUGAAACCUCUGCCGAAGGUUGUCUGUACUCUAUAUGCAAUGGCAUGCUUCUAAGUUUUGUCCAUGUGGCUCCAAGACUUUAAUUAGCUUCUAAGUUUUGUUUCUUUGAAUUGCAAUUAAUCUUGUUCAAUUGAUAUUAAUGUACUUUCAUUCGAAUGAUUAGUGCAACUUAGUGUAUUGUUUAGUACAAAUUAGUAGUGUUGCAUUUAAGAUACAAAGACUAGAUUCUUUAGAUUUGCGUAGGAACCAGAAUCAAUUCGAGCUCAUUCGAGCUCAUUCGAGCUCGAGUACUCGACUUGAUAUCGAGCUCGAAUGACAUGUCGAGCUCGAUCAAGUCGAGUUCGAGUCUGCAUAUGCUUUUAUCGAGUCGAUCUCGAUCUUUGCUUCUCGAGCUCUACUGAUCUGGGUCGAGCUCGAGCUCGAGUACCCCACUACUCGAGCUCGACUCGGCUCGAUUUCACCCCUACUCCUAGUUUGGUGGGAGUUAGUUUGCAUUGCUUUUGGCCUGGUAAAACAGCACCAUUUAGUACUCUAGUGAGAGAAAACAUGGGUGAAUUGGACAAUUAAUGAGGGUAUAAAAGAAAAGUAGUGUACAGAUUUAAACAAUGAAAAACUUUUCUUAAUUGGUGUGCAAAACCUUAAACGUCAGUUAUAAAAAAAGGGAGGGAGUACUUCGCAGGCUUUUCAAUUUGAAGUUAAAAAUAACAAAUAAAAAGGGUUAAUUCCAUUUUAUACCCCUAAACCAUAUAGUUCAAUGUAGUCCAAUUAGCCAAUUUCUGACAAUUAGGAAAUUGGAUUAAUCUUUUCUAUGCUUACAGUGUAUACACUAUUAGCGUUGGAUGAAAGACAACUAUGUAAAAUUUGAAUUUGAAAUUCAACUUUUGUACACAUGUCAUGAAUCAAACGGUGAUAGUGCAUACACUGUCAGGAUAUAUAAGAUUUAUUCAAGGAAAUUAACAUGGCUUGUAAAGGACCCUUUCACCCUUUGGUAAAUUUCUCCAUAAAAUGCCCUCUCUGCCGAGAAAUGGUAACAUUUUUAAAAAUUAUAUAAAAUUUUUAAAAAAAUUUAUUGUAACUUUUUUUUUUUAUAAUAUGAUGAUGUAUGUGAGUUAAAAUGAUAAAAAAUUAAAAGAAACGUAUUUAUCAUGUAAACAAACAAAAAUAUUUUACAAAUAAGCCUCAAUCCAAACAAAUCCAACUUUUUCCCUCCCACUUAGAGCUAAAUAAAAGAAUUUGCAAUAUAAUGGAUAAGGCCGAGUCAUCCUUUCUUUUCAUGAUCUCGUGUUUUCAUUUCAUCAAAACCUCUCUCUCAUUUCAAUUGUGCUGCUGCAUCCAUUCGAGAAUCUCAUGUUAAAUACUCAAAUCUCUCAAAUUAGGCCACUCCAAUGGCUUAAUCUUCUCUCAAAAGCUGCCGCAAAAAUCUAAAUUUGCAUUUCUCUCUCAAAACACCUUUGAGCCUUGUUUGUUGAAACCUGGUGGAACGGGACUCACCAAGGCACCCUAUACCUUUCCCAUUUGGAUGUAUCCUAUCAUUAAUUCACAUACACAUAAACCAAUCAUGUGGGCUCAUUUUCUUUAGCAAGUAAUUCUAUUGACCUAUCACUACCUCCGAAUCCCAUUCUAUUGGAUCUUAAGCUUUUCUUUUGGUAUUAGGUCAUUUUUAUUGCAAUAAUCUUAGCCAAUUCUUGUGAAAUUGGAUACUUCAUUGACCUAUCUUACCCGACUCUAUCGAUCCUCUAUAGAUCCUUAGUAGCACCUUUACUUUGGUAUUAGAUCAUCUUCAUCGCCUUAUCUUGGCCAUCCCUUUCCUUUUGUUAUUUGAUCAUCUCUAUCGGCAUAUCUCAGUUAUCUCAAGUUUUAGUAAACAAUUGCCUAUUCAAUUUUUCUGCUUCCCAUUCAAAAUUGUUAUACAACAUAUGUAGCAGUAGUAUUUCAAUAGAGGUGCUAUAACUCAGGGUACUGUUAAGCUUUUGAAAAAUUCAUAUGGUACUCCAUCUUACAGACAUUCCAAAGGAAAACUUAUUUUAAACUAUUACAAGACCAUGAGACCUCGAUGGAAAACUAGUUAUAAACUUUGUAUCGUGAAACGUUUGCCAAAUGAGUCUUAGCCACUUAGCAUGCUCAAAGCAUGAAAAGUAAGAAAUAACAGUGGAGGUGAAUGCGUUAGUGGAGCUGGAAGGUACUUCUUUGGGGGCAAGAUCUUUUCUUCGACUCUGUCCCAUAAUCAGGAAGUCCAGCAACCACGAAGCCAUUGCACGCCAUCUAAAAAAAAUUUUCAAUUAAUAUUUCGCUUACAUCAUUAACAUAUUUUUCAACCCACCUUUUUAUCUCACAUACAUCAUAUCACAAAAAGUGCUACAGUAAUUAUUCCAAAUAAUAUUUCAAAUAAUACUCUAUCCAAACAAACAUUUACUUUGUCCAGGAUAACAAUCGUCAAUGUUCUCCAUAGCAGAAGAAACAACUUAACAACAAAAGUAAUUCCAAGUGGUGUUAUUCUUAUCAAUGAGAUCAACUGUUGGAUGAAAAAAUUUGGAUAAAAGAUUAUUUGGGAUAAUUUAUUGAAAAAAACACUACAAUACUUUUUUAAUAUGAUGUAUGUGAGAUAAAAAUGUGGCUAAAAAAUAUGUUGAUAAUACAAACAAGUCAGUAUGUGUAAAUAAAGUGCAAACCAAACACACUAAACUUGGCCUUUAUCAAGCAUUUUCCUAUCCUUGAUUGAACAUUUAAAAACCGUAGAUGUACAAGAUAUAAUGUAUUUCAUAAAUGCGCAGAACCUAGACCCCUAGCAUACUACUUAUUUGCUUUAGCAAACCUAAGGUAGCGACAUUUCUCUCCACUAACUGUGAUUUCAAGAGCUCCAUCUUGAUUAUCUUGAUUUGAUGCAGUUCCCAUCAGUACACUUUUCUCUUUCUCAAGGAUUUCUCUUUCUAGCUUUAAUCUAGCUUCUUGUCGGGCAAUCUCCACCUGAAAUAGAAACAUCAUUAAGCAAGAAGUUUAAAGAAAUGCUAAACCUUAAAAACUACUCUCACAGUAAAUUCCAUAGUGUGGUGGAAAUAAAUAUUGAGCUACAAGGUAUGAAAUUGACUUCGAUAUGACAAAGUAACAUGGAUAUGAAGUAAUGGACUAGUAGUAUAGAAAGACAAAUGAAAGAACAGAUGGGCUCUCAUACAACCCAUCAUAAUCCAAAUUGCUCGGCGCUAGGCAAUCCAAGAGUAUAAAAUUAUUACAUGACAUGAAAGACUCUGGAAAGAAUACUACUAUAAUUGGACAAAAAUGUUUCUGCCUUUGUAGCGGUCAACAUAAAGGCUUGAUUUGACUCUUUCUUGACUUGGAAUCUCCCAAGAUCUCAACCAGUCCAACUCUUCAUGGAAGGAAAAACAUGUAUGAGUGGCUUCAAUCUAAAUUCCUAUUAUCAACAAUUUUGAACCUCUAGCAACCCCCACUUCACAAACUGUUUCAUAAUAUUAGUUGACACAGAACUAUCGGUAGUAGGUUUAUUAUGAAAACAAGCUCAUUUAGUUACAAUCCACUAGACUAAUCCAAUAGUUAAUUAAGGAAUAUGCUUCUUGAAAAAUCCAAGUUUUCGGGUAGAUCCUAUGUAGAAGAAAUUCAUAAAGCUCCUGUGAGUUCAUGUGUAAACUUCAGCCUGUGCAUAGUCUGCGAAAUAAUCAAGCAACUAUUGUCUGCUCGAGGCCUCAACCCAAAAAUCAUGUAGACUCUAGAUUCAUAGAGUGUUACCCAGGUUCAAAGCUUUGUCUAUGGAGAUUCCAUAUAACCUCAUUCCAGGCUUCUUAGUAGAAUUAAAUAAAGAAUGGGUAAUAGAAGAAGAAAUUGAGCCUCAAAUUACUAGCAUCAAGAACCAAGUCUAGCUAGAAGAUCAAAAUAUAAUCUCUUAUUGAAUGGUUCAGCAAUUGAUUAAUGUUGUAGGAGGAAAAGAGACAGGGAAACAGGACAUAAAAGAUUUCCAAGCAAAACAACUGCAUAUCUUUAGAAGUUUUAGAAGCAAAGAACAGAAAAGAAAGAAAUGUUGGUGAAACAAGGCUCACAUAAUAGGCCAUUUGUUCAUGUUUGGCAAUCAAUGUUGCAAUAAAGAUCAUGUAUUAGAGGAUCAAAUAGGAUUUCAAUAAAAUUCACUUUCAAAGCUUGAUUCACAUCAGAAUGAAAUACAUGUUAUUCUUUCAUUUUUCUAUUGCUUUGUUCUCUCUCACUUCUUUUUCUUUUUCUGAGUUGCAGCAUUUGCCAAAAUCUCAUCAGCAGCCUUGACUAGAUUAAGGUGACUUGGUGAGUUGUACCCAACAAAAGUAUCAAUCAGCUCUACAGUUCAAAUUGUUCAAAUAUAACGUCAACACCAGCCAAAAACCAACCAAAAAGAGGGCAAAAGUCGACUAUUAUAGGUGAUGGUGCCAACAUAGCAUACUCAUCUCCAUUCCAACCACCAAAAUAUCACCAUAUAAACGGUCCUCUUAUUACUCUAUAUCCCUCUCCAAGUCUGGAUCUUUCUACAACAUCCCAUUUAACAAAUUCAAUACUAUAAUGAGCUUCCUAAACCCACUCCAAUCCAGUUGUCAAUCAACAAUCAGCCAAAAAAUUGUCCAAAAAUAAGCAUCCUAAAUAUAUCCUUAUUGUCAUUUGAAACCCAAUUAAAUAAAAAAGGACAAUAAACCUACCACCUGAUACAACUGAUGCUAUCAACCCAAACACAAAAGCAAUUUUUUUUAGUAGGGGGAAGGACAGACAAAGAAACUGAUUAUGCAAUCAAUCUAAUACCUACUAGACCAUAUCAAAAAUUGUUACUACAUUUAUAAAGCAGGAGAAUGGGAUUGAGUUAAAAAGAAAAGAAUAAAAUGAAAAGCAUAUAGCUAAUUACCAAUUAGUGGGAAAUGAAUUAAGAAUAAUCAAAACAUGAUGAAUUGGAGAUAAAGAAAGCAAUCAACAAAUGACGAUGAACUUGGGUAGGGAAUGCUAUGCUAAAGAAAAGGUGAUGUACAAGUUUACAGUGAAGGGUUGGGCCGGUGGGGGUAUUAUGGGUGGUAAGAGGUUGGGGUAAAGUACCUUACGACGAGAGAGUUCGGCUUUCCAAGCGACUUCACGCUCGGCGACCUUGCGUUCCCAUUCCUCAAUGUAACUCUGCACCUCCAUCUCUUUCAUGAGUCAGUCCUAUAUGUUCGCGUCCAGAGCCUCAUUUAGCUCCUGCACAAACUUGUCCACCAUCGUCUUUAUUUUCAGAGACAUUUUUAUCAAUUCUAAUUCAAAUAACCCCAAGCUGCUCUGCUGCUUAGUGUUUUCUCUGAUGAUGACGAUGACGACGAUGACGAACAGACUUUUCUUAAUUUCAAGGCCCCAAACUAUCAAAUUAUGAAUCCCAAAUAGUUGUUUUUUUGACUUAUUCUUCUUGUUUGCGAUCACAAUUACCACCACAAAGAGCUCCAUUUCAUAAAUACUACUGCUUAAUUACCUUUUUUUUGGGUGUUUGGGGGAGGGGAAUAAAACCCAAACCAGCAAAAGAAAUAUGCUAGCCGCAGCACCUGUUUCACUAUUUAUAAAUCAAAAGAGAUGAUUACCCAUCUGAGGAUCGAUUUGAUUAAAGAAUGACCUUAACCCUAACCCUAACCCAUAUCCAGUGGACGAUGACAAACUAUAGUCUCUAUGGAGUUAAAAAAAAGUAACGCGUUCUUGUUCUUUUUUCUUGUAGUUGUACUAGUACUUUCAUAGUUCUUCUCGCUCGCUUUUCUGAAGGCCCAUCUCCAUUUGUGGUCCACUUUCAUUUCCCCAGAUUUUUCUCCUCAUUCUUUUUCCCUGGAGUACAUUUUUUCUUUUAUUUUUGGGUUAAGUAGGAGGUCUUCUAUUUUUUUCCUUACAAUGGAGGGUCGAGCCCGUUACAUAGCGACUAAUCUAGGUAAAACAACACCAUAAAUAUCUUGUCCCAAUAGUUUUUUGAGCUGGUGCGGAGGGUCCCUAAAAUUAGUCGUUGUUGGAGCCAAACUUCUUCCCAUAUUUGCUAAGUAAUCUGUACAUAUAUUCCCUUCACGCCAUGCAUGAACUAUUUGAUAAUUGACUCUUUUGUUAGCAUACUUGUCUUCUCAAUUAGAUUCUAGUGUUGGCUAUCCCUUGUUGCUUUCCUGAUUAGUAUUAUGGCUACUUCUAAGUCCGUUUCUAGGAUUCCUUCUUGUACCCCUCAUUCACUACAAUUGGAUUCCCAAUAGCAUAGCCCAUAGUUCUGCUGCUACAUUACUUGUUUUUCCAAUAUUUGCAUUGAAUCCUACUAUCCAUUAACCUAGCUCAUUUCUUCGUAAGCCUCCUGCACUGGCACUUCCUAAAUUAUGCUUCGAAACUCCAUCAACAUUCAUUUUUACCCAUCCUUGUGACGGCUUCUCCCAAUAGAUAUAUUUCAUCUCUUUAGCCACUUGGAACUCUUUUUUUUAGUUCAACUUCUAUGCCACUAGGGCCUGCUGUACUAGAUGUUAUCGGUGUACCUUCAUCUUUCUUACUAUUUCUUGGUGCACUUUCUCGUUUCUUGCUGUCCAUAUUAAAUGGGUCACUUGUUGAAACAACAUUGGCUAGUAUACCUUUUUCUGCUUCCUUACCAUUUUUUGGUUAACAUUCCAAUCAAUCCAGUGUAUUAGCUCCUUCGAUUUAAACUGUCUCCAAUUUAAUUGGUAUACCAUAUCCUGCUAACCCAAUCACAGUCCCUCAGGGCCUGAAUUGCAUUUUCUCUCCUUUUUCCACACAUCUAACAAUUCCCAUCUAUAUGAAGAUGUCUUUUGUAUUUCUCUGCAUCAGUUAAUAGUUGACCAUGUCUUGCUAGCCACAAAAGAAAUUACCAUCUGUUUGGGCCUUUGAGUUUCCAUAUCUUCUCCUAAUUGGGGUCAACUUGUUAUAGUUCUUCCAUUUGCCUAUCCAUCUCAUAUGCUGCUGCAAAAGUUCCCACUUGGUUCAAGUCUCCAUGUUAGUUUGUCUUUGUUUGUUGGUUUUCAUUUACUCUAAUGGCCCUAACUUCCUCCAUUUGUUGAUGACUCAAGUAUUGUGCUAAUAAAGUCCAAUCCUAGUUUUCAUUAAUACAAUAGUCACUCACCUUUUUCAUAUACUCCUCUUGUGGCACCUCCUUAAUUGUACUAUUUAUUAUUGGCUUCUGUAAGACCCAUGGAUUAGUCCAAAAAUUGAUAGUUCUCCCAUUUCCAGCCCUCUUUAUCAACCUUUUAAGCAUGAGUUUCCCCUCUUCUACCAUAUUCCUCCAUAUGUGCAACUUCCUAACUUUCUUCUCCAUUGGAAUCUGUUAUCUCCCCAUAUCUUUUUUUAAUUACUUUGGCCCAUAGCGCAUCUUUCUAUUUCAAAUACUCCAACUGGUUUUGGCCAACAAUGCUCUGUUUAUACUUUUCAACUUCUGACCCCCAAUCCUCCUCUACUCCUAGUUUGUGUGAGAAUGUCCUAGUUUACCAUAUGCAUUUUUCUUCUUUCAAUUCCUUUUCCCCAAAUAAAUUCUCUACUUUUUUCUAUUUUGUUGGUAAUCAUAGCUAGUAACAACGUUGUUUGCAUUGCAUGUGUUGGGAUUGUGGAUACUACUAUUUUUACAACCAUAGUUCUAGUAGCAUAAGACAUGCAUUUGCUUUUCCACCCUUGCAGCUUCAUAUUCACUUUUUCUAUAAUUUCUAAAUACAAUCUCUUAGUAACUCUUUAGUGUAGCAAUAACAUUCCCAAUAACAUUCUCAGAGCAGUACAGUUUAAACUUCUUCAAACUCAUACUCUUUCCUAAAGCUUCACAGAGCUUUGCUAGCAUUGCCCGUAUCAAAUUUGAGAUCAUCUGUAAAGAAAAGAUGUGAUAUUUCUAGCCCCCUUCUUCAAAUCUUAAUUGGUGUCUAGCUUCCUUAUUCUACUUUGUCUCAAAUUAGGUGCACCAAUCUCUCUAUGCAAAGCACAAAAAGGUAAGCUGAAAUGGGGUCACCUUGCCUUAGUCACUUGUUAGGAAUGAAAGUUGGAGUUCUUUCUCCAUUCCACAGUUCCUCCAUUGAUAAUGCCUAGACACAACUCAUGAUCAAGUCAAAUAUAUCUAUAGGAAUUUGCAUCAUCUCCAUGUUUCUUUUAGGAAACCCCAACUUAGUUCAUCGUACACCUUCUGCAAAUCUACCUUUACUGCAACAUAUCCUUUCUUUCCUUUCUUUCUUCUCAUAUAAUGUAUAAUCUCCUGUGCUAUUAUCACGUCAUCCUCAAUUUGUCUCCCAGGAUAACACUACACUGAUUUAGGGCUAUUAAAUCCUUUAUCAAUGGUCUCACUCUAUCCAUAAGGAUUUUUGUCACUACCUUAUAAGCAACAAUGCAUAAAGAUAUGGCCGAAAUUGUUUUAUAUGCUCUAGGCUGGGGAUUUUAGGAAUUAAACCAAUUAGUGCACCAUUCAUUUCCUUAGGCUUGUAUCUAUUUUUGAAUAUGGAGUCUACAAAGUCUAGUAUAGAUCCACUGACCGUGCUCUAGAACUUUUGGUAGAAUCCUGGAAUAUUCUAUCUGGUCCCAGCAACUUGUCUGCUUUGAUAUUAAAUAUGGCUGUUCUGAUUUCCUUUGGCACCACCCUUCUACUCAAAACUCACAAUCUUCUUCUCUCUAUCUAUGGGAACCUAUUAUUAAUAUGUUGUCUUCUGCUUGUAGCAUUCUCCAUCUCAUAUAGUUUUUAGAAAUAGUUCCUGACCAUCUGUUGCAAUACUCCUCUAUUGUGCUGCCAAUUUCCUUUAUCAUCUUUCAGGCAUGCUAUUCUCCUUUUUCUUCUUUUAAUGAUUGCUAUAGUAUGAAAAUCUUUCGUAUUUCUUUCCUCAUAUUUCAGCCAAUUGACCUUUUCCUUUUGAUACCAAAAUGUUUCCUCCUGGUCUAGGGUGGAGUUAUACUCUUGCAAUAUCUUCCUCUCCAAUUUCUCCAGUUUCGUAUCUGGGCCCCCAUCGAGUUUCCUUUGCCCUCCUCUAGUCUAGUCAGACAUCUCUUUUUCUAUGGAAUAUAUUCCCAAACAACUCCUAUUCUAUGUCAGUAGAUUCUUCAUAAGAUUUUCAUUCUUCAUGCUCAAAUCUCUUUCUGUUUGUUUCCAGCUCUCUCUAACUUAUUUUGCUAGUUUUGGAUGACUGAACUAGGCUAGCUUAAACUUUCCUGUUUUUUUUUCUUUCAACCUUCUUGGUUCUCUCUCCAUUUCCAGCAGGAGUGGAUGGUGGUCUGAAUGUGUGCACAUCAAGUGCUUAACUUCAACAUUAGAAAAAUUCAUAUGCUAGUCAGAGUUACACAGGCUCCUAUCUAGCCUUUUCCUUACAUUUGCUGCUCUUUUCUUCCAUUAUUCCAAGUAAACGCUGGAUCUAUCAAUCCACAACAGUGCAGACACUCUCUUAGUGUUAUCUGACUCGACUAUUGAAAGGGUUUUCCUUCCUCUUUCUUCAAGGCCUUCACUAUUUCAUUUAGAUCUCCAAUAAUUAGCCAUGGAAAAUUAAUCACACUCCUCACUGCAACUAAGAAAUUCCCUAUUUUCCUUCUAAUAGCAUCAUCUGGGAACGCAUAUAUAGCAGACAAUAGCCAUUUUUCUUAUUCUCCUUAAUAACUGCAUUAGUGAUUUGCUUAUUUUUUGUUAGAAUUUCAACUGUUACCUUCUCAAGAUCCCAAAAUAGCCAAAUUCCACCUGAGAAAUCUUGUGCCUCUACAGAGGAUCUUCUACUCAGUCUAGACAUAUGGAUUAUCCUCCCUGCUUUGAAACUAGGUGUUCUAGUCUCUACAAGGAUUGUGACCACCUAAUCACCCCCUAGAGCGUAACCUAAAGUUUAGCGAACCGCUUAUCCAACUCUCGUCAGAACUUACUCACUAACAUUAUCUUAAAAAAUAAUAUUAAUCCCAAAGUAAACAUGAAACUUCUCAAUCAAACAUUACAAAUCAUCCAACUUUUCAAAACAUUCAAACUUAUGUGCAUAACUAAAUGGAUCGACAUACAAAUUGUUCAAUCAAUUCACUAAGUACAACUACAGUGGUAAUUACUUAAAUCAAAAACUGUAACUCUUGAACUUACUAUUUUUUGGAUCCAUAAUUCCAACUCCUGUUAAGGAAAACAAACUAAAAGAAUGAGUAAAAUCAAGUGAAAUUUCAAGAAAAACAUGCAAUCAGAUUGACAAGAUAACAAUCACAUAUAUCAAAAUCUUAAAACAAAGAAAACAAAUAAUUACAAGCGAAGUCAUUAACAAUUUACAUAUUCAAAUAAAUAAUUUAACACAGUAAGAAAAGGAUACAACUACUGAUACGGUGGUUCCCGCCAGAUUCUAGAUAGAGUACUUAGUCCCAUUCAGGAUUCAAGUGCAGAUUCAAUCGAUACGGUGGCUCCUACCAGAUUUCAGGCAUAACGCUUAGUCUCGUUCAGUAUUUCACUUGUAAUUUAAAAGGAUACAGUUGGCUCUUGCAAGCUAGUUCAGCAGUAGCGUUUUUCGAGUCCGUUGACACUCCAUCAACGUUUGAAAUGCAACAAUAAAUAAUGCCGGUAGAUCACUGCUUGAUGCCAAUUUUCAUCCAUCGAUCAUCCCCCUUUAUUGGGCCCAAACACCUCAAGUCAAAUGAGUGGUAAUAAUUGAGUAUAUUGAUUUCAGAGGACACAUUCAGUGGAUUAAACAAGAAAUAGGAUCCAUGGUUUGUCAAUUGUCUCGAUCAAACUAUUGUUGGCUCGAUUUGACUAACUAGCCGAUAAGGUUUGGGAUCUUAAUCACGAGUAUAGUCGAUGAGAUAACAUUUUCAACCGACUUUCAAAUCAUGCACAUGUAUAUCAGUUCACUGUAAACAGGAUAACAAGAGUUCAGUCAAAUUAGGUCGAGUACAAUAAAGUACACACUGACCUAUUCAAUAUCAAGUCAAGCAAACAUAGUAAGUCGAGUGCGAUAAAGUAUACACUCGACUUUUCAAUAACAAGUCAAGAUAUCUAACAAUUUCAAACAACAAGCCACAUGAAACAUCAAUCAAGUAAAUCACAUGGUCCUAACAUGCAGUUGGAACACUCACCGACUUAUCGCAAUCUUUACACUUCAAUCACAAGUUUGCCUCCUUGGCCACUCUUGAAUCCUGCGAUCAUAUAUAGUAGAGCAUGCUAAAAGUAAUAAGGCCUCUAAAUUACAUCAAGAUCUAAGAUCAAAAGUGACUAAACCUGAGUUUUUAAAUCACUACUCAAGCUGUCAAAUUUUCAACAAACAUAUCUCAUAUUUUUCUUCAAAAUUCACAAGAUUUUCUUGUUCAAAUUCAGUGAAAAAUUACGUACAUGAUAGAUCAAUGCCUCAUGCAAAAUAUAGAGUAAAAGUAGGUCAAUUCUAGUCACGAAAUUUAAAAAAAAACGUGGCAAGACUCUUGAGAUUCAAAAUUAAAAAUUUUGAGAAAUAAAACAUUUUGGAGCAAAUCAGUUUCUUCCUUGUAAAUUUCGUUGUUUCAAUAAUCCAACAUAUAUGUGAAAAUCAAAAUCUUGUCAAGUGCCUUGAGACAAAAUAUGUCAAAAUUACGACACAAAUUUUAGCAAUAAAGUUGAAAUUCUCUCUUGCUCUCUCGGUUAACCCUAACAAAAUUUUCAACAAGGACUUGACAAUCUUUUCUCCAAAAUUCUAACUUUUCUUAUUUAGAUUCAUGGCAAAAAUUCAAUAAAUCAUAACUAACAUGUCAAGAAGCAUUUGGCUCAUGUUCUUAGUAAAAAAAUUCAUCAAAAAUUCACUGAUAAAAACUCUAAAUUAAACUAUAUGUUUUAUGCAUCAAAGUUGAAAAUUUAGAGUAUAACUUAAAAAACAUGAAAUCCUAUAUAAAGUUUUAAACUAAACUAAAUAGAUUACACACCAAAACUAAAAAUUACAACAUAAUUUGACAAAAAUAUGAAAUUUUUCAUAAAGAUCCUUCUUUUAUCUUCUAUAACAUCAUACAUCAAUUAAACUUAAAGAUAAGGAAAGAAAAAUUAGGUACCUAACUAAUUUCACCUCUUUACCUCCAAAAUCUAGAAUGGAAAGGAAAUCAAGAAAGUUGGAAAGUUGGAAAGUUUUCUUUCCUUCAAGAACUCCUCCAAAAACUUCCUCCCAAACUUGUCUCAAAGAUUUACGAAGUGGAUUAGGGUUUCCUCUCUUAUUUUCUUACUAAUUAGACAAGAAAUCAAGACUAGAAAUUUAAUGUUGUUCUCCCUCUUUUUCUCCUCAAAAUUUCAUCCAAGGCUACCCAAAAGAAGAAGAAAUGUGAAUGAAAUGGAAGUUUGGGUUGAAUAAAAAUCAAACUUGGUCUUGGUCAAGAUUUUAUGGAUGCUUGACAUGUGGCAACACAAGAUGAAAUCCUUAUUUAUUGUUUUUAAAUCACUAAAAUAUCAAACCCAUAUCUAAUUAUCUCUUGACACCUUAUAACACCAUAACCCUUUUACACAAAACUUUUCUUGUUUACCCAAUUUAUUGCGCACAUCUCACUAAUUGUUCACAUAGCUUAAUGCAUUAUGAAACUCAACAUGCACCAAGUUAAAUAAGGCAAUAGAAUAAAAAUCAUGAUUCAACCAUCAAAUCAAUCACAAAUACAAGGCAAGUAAGUUAAACUAAUAAAAACAUAAGAAACGAAUUUUCGGAUCCUCACAAGAAUUAAAAUCCCUAGAUCAUACACUUGCAGGAUUUCUCUCAAAUUCUUCCUAAAAUCCUAUUUUGUUGCUCCUUUACAAUUCCAACUCAGCAGCUUCAUUUUAAUUGCUUUACUUUAUUAAGGUCAGCAGCCCAACUCCACCGUCUCUGUAGUGUCCUACUCAAUAGUCUCAUAGCUUUGUUCUUCUUCCAUUCCCGACGGAUGGACCUGUUCCUCCAAAGGAGUUUCCGCUAUAACUAUUAUGCUAAUGUUCUAUCAUUUGUUUAUUGCUCCAGGCUAACUGCCAUAUUUCCUCCUAGUUCUAAUUCUUCUAUGCCAUAGGCCAUUUCCAUUGGGAAUAUUCCACUAAUUUUUUUUUACUAGCACAUCUAGGUUUUACUGUUUUCCCCAUUAAUCUCCUCGUUAUUGGUGUUUUUGUUCUUUCUAAUUCACACUUCUUUCCUUCCCGAGCUUUGAAAAGCUUUUUGGGUGCUAUAAUCCCUCCAUUUACAUUCAUUAGCCCACUUAUCUUGACUGGGCUUAGUGUUUUUUUACCCAUCCAAAAGCCUUGACUCCCCUGUUCUCCACUUUUCCUUGUUUCUUUCCCUUUUCUUGAGCUAUUUCCUUGCACUGUAUUCUUCCUCUUUUUCCCCUUAUUGAAGGAGAAAUUCUGUAGUGAUCCCGGUAUAUUAAUUACUUUAGUUCAUAAAAUUUCCCUGGGGGUCACUCUCUUCUUGUUGCUCCUUUUCUAUUUCUUCUGCUUAUAGAGCUUUAAAACAUGACCCCUGCCCCAGUAUCUGCUCAGCAGUUUCCAUUCCCUGAUCCUUUUUUCUGUUAUCUCUUCUCCUCUCUUUCCCACUAGUUGCCUUCAUCCAAUCUAGCAUUUGGGUAUGUUUCUUCAUUCCAGACGGGCUAGGCUUACUUUCUCUUUGUUUUUGGGCCUUUACUUUGAGCCUAGAUCUUUCGGCGUGGUUUGCUGGACCUUUUACUUCCUUUCUUGUUCUUCUUCCAUUCGCAACCAUCCACGGCCCAAAUGGCAGGCUUUUGGAUCCUUCAUCUCCAUCCACCUUCCUCUCUGAUUUCGGACUCUGGUUCUCUAUUCCUUCUGCUCUUUCAUUUCCAGCCUUUAGCCUCAGAGCUCUGUAAUGUGGCCAUAUUGCCAACAUCCAAAAUAGAUUUGGUAUAGCCCUUCGUACUCUACAACUUGAAGAUCCUAAUUUAUCCAGACAUAUGGAAUCUAGGGUUUGGUUAGAUCAGCCUCUAUGCAUAUUUUGUUAAAUUUCCCUCUCUCAGCUAUUAGAGUAUUCUCAUCCACUUUGACCAUCUUUCCUAUGUUGUUGCCUACUGUCUUAAGGAAUUUCUCGGUAUAAUCUCAACCGGCAAACCUAAUAGUCUAAUAUGGACCAUUGUCAAAGUUAUCUUUUUUGUUUUGCUAGAAAAUAUGGUCUCCAUUUUCUCACAGUAACGUAGAGCCUCUGUAUCAUCCAUGGCCCUCCAUCUAGGAUUCUGUGGUAGUCCUCCUUUAACCUGACUCUAACAAUGUAGAAUCCUUUUUCCAGAUCUGUGCUUUCAAACUCUUGGUCUAGCAACCACAUCUCCUAAAGUUUUUGCUCCAAAGUUCUAAAGCAACGUUUCUACCCAGUACUCUGAGUAUGAGUGCCUUCCUCCACGGUUUCCACAUCUCAAGUAUGUCCCCAUGGGUACCGUUGGUUUUGGGAACUUCAAUUUAAUCUUCUCUGCAAAUCUGGCUUCAUCUAUUUCUCCCUUUUCAAGCAUGGUGUUAUCCUCUCUUCCUCAGAUCCAUUAUAGAAAAGCUAUUUUUGUAGGAGUUCUUCUGUUAACACAAAUGUAAAAUAAAAUAGUUAGGCAAGAACUUGGAUGGACCCAAUCUGUGACUCACUCAUAGACGAGUGAUGUAUUAGUUUCCGCAUCAUCAACCAUCAUGUUAAUUAAUUCUAAAUGUAACACCCCAUUAGGUCUUCUAGUAACAACGGGCACUAAAUAAAUCCACUGGAUCAAAAAAAAGAUGCAAUCUAAUUCAGGACUCAAAACAAUUAUGGAAAAAUCUUUCAAAACAUCUCAUAUUUCGUUAAAUGAAUUUUUUCAUCCUUUACUUUUAAAAUGAUAAAUUUAUAUUCUUUGCCAAAAUUAUAUCAAUAAAAUUUGGUCCCAACUUUAAUUUUUUUUUACCACUUUUUACCCUGAAUUAAUCACGCUGACUCGCAUAUAAUCAAUUUUUUAGGACAAAAAGGUUAGACCUCAUUUAUGGUUAAACAAAUGACCUUAAUUUAUAUUCAUUUCUACCCUUAAACGAGUAGGAUUGCCGCCUAAAUCAUAUUCAUUUUUCUCUUAAAAAAGUGAAGAUUUGAGUCAAUUUUUGCCCAUUAAAAAAAAAGUGAAAUCUAACCUUUUUGUACAUAAAAAUGAUUGCAUAUCGAUUACAUGGUAAUUUUAUACUAAAAAAUGAUCAAAAACUUAAGUUGAAAUCAAAUUUUGCGAUAUUAAAUUUCUAAGGAACACAAAGUUAAUAUUUUAAAAGUGAAUGAUGAAAAAUUUCAUUCAACGAAAUAUGAGAAUGGUUUUGAACAAUUUUCCCAACAUUUAUUAUGUUUUUGCAAGAGCAUCAACACCUAGUCUGCUUCGCUAAAGAAGCGACUAAUAUGGCAUUCUAAAGUUUGAUUGUUUAAUGCCAAUAAGAUCCCAAGCUAACACACCGUUUGAUUUCCCAAAGUAGGUGAUCUGUGUCUCUCGAAUACGCAUUGCAAAGUAAAAUAUCCAUCUACCUUUAAAUCAAUACAAAAUACUUUGAUUGUCUAAUGCCAAUAAGAUCCCAAGCUAACACACCGUUUGAUUUCCCAAAGUAGGUUAUCUGUGUCUCUCAAAUACGCAUUGCAAAGUAAAAUAUCCAUCUACCUUUAAUCAAUACAAAAUACUCCGCCACAACAAUAUUUCCUACUGCCGAGCCAUCCAUAUUUUAACUUGACUCCUUCCUUCCCAUGCUUGAAAAUUUUCAUCUGAGUAGUGUAGGUUUUUAACUGCUUGAAAAACUUAGAAUUCCAUCUCAAAACCAAUUGAUAACAAGUGAAAUGGCCUAACAACAACUUUUAUAUAUGAUUAAAAAUCUUUAGAAUAUCAAUGUGUAAUAUUCUACUAACACUUUUAACUUGAUUCCUUCCUUCCCAUGCUUGAAAAUUUUCAUCUAAGUGGAGUAGGUUUUUAAUUGUUGAAAAACUUAGAAUUCCAUCUCAAAACCAAUUGAUAACAAGUGAAAUGGUCUAACAACAACUUUUAUAUAUGAUUGAAAAUCUUUAGAAUAUCAAUGUGAAAAAUUCUACUAACACCCCCUUACAAUCGUGACUUGACAAAUGGGCUUAAAACCAAGUCACGAGAGAAAACUAUAAACAAGAUAACUGAAUCACGAGUGAAACUACAACUCACAAGGUAACAAAUAAACUCAAAGCCCAGCUCUAAUACCAUUUAGAGAACAUGAACUGCCAUUUCAAAAUCAAUUGACAAUGAGUGAAGUGAUCUAACAACUUUUAUAUAUGGCCGAAAACCCUUGGAAUAUCAAUAUGAGAUAUCAACUAAUAGCAGCUUUUUUGAAUCUGUUGUUGAUAUUUCAUGGGCUAAGCAUGACUCACGCUUUCUGGAAAAUGCAUCGUGUGGCGCGGACGGCAGAACCCCCAAAAAGAAUGACGAAAAUCUCAACUCCGGAUGACCUGUAGACGGCAUAUUUUAGUUUUCAUGAAUAUACUUCCACCGCCGAAUAUGGUGAAUGACAUGACGAAAAUCUAGAUUCCACUUCCACUCGAGCACUAUACAAAAGGUUAGUAAUUAAAAAUUCAAAGAAUUGUUGCCGAUCCUUCUUCUUGACCAGCAUUGCCGCACACUGGCUGCCCAUCUACAAUUCCCACGGAGACCUGCUUUCCAAACCUGCACAAUUAGGACAAAUAUCAGUAUCAAUCAAAUGCAUAUGAAAUUUAAGGUUACGGGUCAUCAAUCGAUUGUGCAACUAGAGCCAGAGCAGUACACAUUGCACCUUUCUGAUCCCCUUCCUUCCCACACUCUUUUCCAACGCUAAGUUUCAUUUAGAUUCCUAUUAGAUCCAUUAAGCUGAUCAUAAGCUGAUUCGACGGUACAUGCUCCUGAUUCAGACAGGCAACAUCGAAGAAAAUCCAAAAUAUCAGGAUUCUGGAUGAGAAUAAUGGAUCUGAGCUUCAUCUUUGAUACAUGAAGGGAGUAGUCCCUGCAGCAUUAUCCAAUUCCAAUCAUUUAUUCCACCGCCCUUUUAUUGCACUGCUUCUUCUGGGAUUGAAACAUCCACUCACUGAUUGGUACAUUGAACAACACUAAUCAAUCCAAAAUCCUAUUGUCUCUCCAUUACCAAGUCUCCACCUCAUUCCUUGCCGUGUUACUACUUCAGCGUUACCUUCUAUGCUUCUCCAGGUAUAUGACCAUCAACAUACUCAAAGAGUCCCCAUCCUCCUUGCAAUAUUUUCUAAAAUGAAAGUUUCUUUCCAUACAACCCAUCCUCAAUCAAUAACUUCCAACCAACCUUAGCCAGAGUUGCUGCUGGUUUAGUUGAGAGAGAUGUCGAAUAUCUAAUCCUUCUUCCUCUUUUUUCAAACGAUCAACUUAAGAAUGGAACAUAGUCCAUGGAUAAGCGUCUUUGGUUCUCUGCCAUAGAACAUCGCAAGGGUUGUAUACUCAUCACUCCCUUUACAUUGUAUACUCCAUGUAAUACCAGCAGCUUUGCAGCUACAAAGAUUUCCAGAAAACCAGCUAUGGAGAGUGUAUUGCUGGGCAAGCCAGCAUGCUGAAUAGAGGAAAUACCUGUGGAGGCUGUAUUCAGGUGAGAUGUUUUGAACCAUGUCUUGUGGUGUUUGCCACGUGGCCCACCUAUCACUAUAACUGCCACUGAUUUCUGCCCCAAAUUACGAUGGGCAUUGGUGGAAGUUCCUUGAUCACAAUGCGGGAUGUCACCUGGUACAAAAAUUGCAGCAAUAGCAGAAAACGUGGUUCCAAUUCUAUUAAUGGUAUCAAUUAUUUGGUUUUAUUACUAACCAAUUCAAUUAACAAAUUCUUGGACUGAAUUAGUCUACACCAUAUGUCUCAGAUGCAAUGCCCAUUGUAGGUGCGAUCUUAAUCAGGGAAAAAUGUGGAGUUGACAGGAAGUUCAUACUUUGUGCAAGUCCUAAUCACCAAUGAUGGGGUGAAUGGUGAAGUCUCUGCAGGAAAAAUGAAAGGAUCAAAACAGGAUGGAUAACUAUGCUGUAGAAACUGGGUAUAGAAUCAGCGAUGCAGCAUCAGACUCAUGGGCAGCCCUUAUUACAAUUUUUCCCUGAUAAAACAGAGAUUUGGUCAGACAAAUGGUCUUGAGUUUGACAUUAUCAAACGGAGGUAAGCUAUGUUCAGAAGUCGUAUCCCACCCACUCUAAAGUGUACGUCAAGAUCAAUGUAGAGAUACAGCAAAGAAAGACCAAAAAAUGCAGUGUAUUUUAUGGCAGGAAGGGCAUAUGCAUAUCAACCUCAUGACUGUCCAUCAUGUGACCAUUGUGGGGGAGAUGGCAUAUAUUGCUCACAUAACCAUGGGUUAGCUAUUUUCUAUUAUUUUCCCAUUUCUUCUUUCUACAAUCAUUUUGAUCUGUUUGCAUCCUGAAAUUUAAAUUUUCAGGCACUUAUUGUUCAAGAUAUAGAUGCCAUGCAUCAUUUCGUGCACUUGCAACCAAUAACAAAUUAAAUUUCAUGGUUUGAAAAGCAUUCCGCAAAGCAUAACCAUUGCACUUGUCUCCAUAAGUAAAGAGUUUAAAGUCACCAGUAAAUUUGGCUCAAAUAUUUAAAUAGCUCCUAGCCGCUAAACAAAAAAAAAGUGCAAGAACUUUCCUGACAGGGUAGAAAAUGCUAAACACUUGCAAUGGGAGGUGCUAUCAGAUUGCAUCUAGCAGCUCCUGCAAGAGUAACCAAGUCAGUUUGAGCUCACAAGAAUAUCCUUCUCCCUCUCCUUCUCUUGAAAAUUUAGAGAUUGACCAAAAUAUUUCUGGGCUUCCAGUCGAAAACAAGUUGAAAGACUUGCUUCCUCAUUUGACUCUAAAACAUUGAUUAAUAUCUUGAAUGACAACUUAUCCAGGUCACAACCUAUAGAUUUCAUCAGGUAAAAGCACUCAACUGCAAGUCCAGUGAGGUUGAAAUUUGCUAAAAUCUCCAGCAAUGCAUUAAAACCGUUAAUAUCAGGCUCUAAACAAGGUUCCUUCUUCAAUUUAAUGAAAAGCAGUUCAACCUCUUCAAGCAAUCCAUUGCUUCCCAAAAGUGAGACCAAUUCAGCAUACAGUGAUAUUUGAGGCCUAUACCAAUACUCCUCCUGAAUUUCUUCGAAAACCUAAUUCAGGAAACGAAGGACACUAAUAGAUCAGACAAUAUCACUGUAGGCUAAAUGUACCAUUUUUCAGAAACAAAGGCACCCAAUACUAGUCUAAGCCCCCCACCCCCACCCCCACCCCCAAAAAAAAAAAAACCCCAGAAUCUCACACAAGAAAGGGGGGAAAAAUUACUGGUCUUCGUAAUUUUUCUUCUUUGCGCAAAUGAGCAAGAAGGUAAACCAGUUUUCACUCAAAUUUGAGCCUCAAGUUAGGCCCCUUUUUUUCGGCUGAUAAAACAGAGAGAUGAGUCAGUACAUUCUUUCUUCUUGCUUGAUCUUGUUUUGGCUGAAAAACAAUAUAUUAUGGUUGAACCAAACAAGCAGCUUAAAGAGUAAUUAAAAAUUGUGAAAUCAUAUUCAAUCGAUGAGCCUUUUCCAAAAUUGUAGGUUGCUGUUUUGCACUUGGGCAGUAAAAUUUUAUAUUAUCUCGGGCAAGCAAUAAUUAAGAGGUUCCAUGCAUAAAAUGCAAGUACUUUUGGGAUCUGAUCCAACUCGGCUACCCAAAACUUGAGUGAAUUGGAAAUAUAAGACAAGUUGAUCCCUAAAUUUUUAUCUCACGCCAUGGGAUAAAGGAUACCUCCAACCACAACAUAAUAAAUACAGUUAUUCUGGUUUCGGCCCCAGAUUAUGCUAUCUGAUCAUCUGUAUGGUGCAUCCUCUAUCAAGUAUAGCCUUGUUUAUCCACUUAGAAAAAGUAGAUAGGCACGUUUUAGUAAGGGGCAUAAACCCCUCCUCCCCCCUCCCCCCUCCCCCCCCCCCCUCCAACAACAACAACAAAAAAAAUCCAAAACAAAAUAAAAAAAGAAGGGGGAAGGGGAAAAAGGGAUAGGCAGUAAGAAGCAAACCUUAAGAGCCAAAUAACACUGGUUCUGGCGAAUGAGUUCGCGUAGAACGGCUAUCAUAUCGAGCUUGAGCAAACGCCUAAAAGUGGUCUCAAGGGCAGGCUCCAGCGGACAACUACUAGUGGCUCUGGCCCGCUUGAGUGCCUGAACCGUUUGAAUGGCUUCGAUGCUGAGAUUCCGGCCUUUCUGCAGCGGCUUCCUGUUAUUGCUUCUGUCUCUCAUGAUGGUUACAAGUGCAUUGUUUCUAUUCUUUCUACUAUUGCUAUUGUUUGCUGCUUCUCCCCCUAGUCCUAGCCCUAGCCCAUGCGUAAUUAAAUUCCAUUCCCAAUCCAAGCGGAAUUAAGCCUGCUGGCAGUGGGCGAGUGCGAUAUCUGGGUCAUACCUGAAUUCAUUGUUGUCCCACAACGCAGCACCAGCCGAGCCACAGCCCACAAGGAGGAGAAGGGGGAAAAGACCGCCUCCUCCGUCUCUGAUUCUCUUUUUACUGUACAGCUGAUUGUUGCAAGAAAAAAUAAGUGCAAUUCUGCGAUGAAGGUCCGUCUGCGGUCUGGCAAUUGAGCUUUUUACGUGUUUGUUUAAAAUUUUAGAGAGUCCAUUAAAAAUAAUACUAUAAUAUUUUAUUUUUAAAAUACUAGUUCAUUUGGAUUAGUUAUUUUUCGUAUUAUUUUUUAAAAAUUAUAUGAAAAAUUUUUACUGUAGAUGUUUUUGGAUUAUUUUUAGAGGUAUUUUUAAAACAUAUUUUUGAAUAUUUUUAUAAUUUAUAAUUUUUAUAAUUUUAUAUUUAUAUACAUUUAUGCAUUUAUAAUACAUUUAUAAAUAUUUAUAAAUAAAUAUAUUUAUAUAUAUAUAAAUAAAUAUAUUUAUAUAUUUAUAUAAAAAUAUAUUAUAAAUGUAUUAUAUUAUAUAUAAUACAUAAUAUAAAUAUAUUUAUAAAUGCAUAAAUGUAUAUUAUUAUAAAUUAUAAUAAAUAAUUUAUAUAUUUUUAUAUAAAUAUAUAUUUAUGCAUUUCUAAUACAUUUACAAAUAUUUAUAAAUAAAUAUAUUUAUAUAUUUAUAUAAAAAUAUAUAAAUGUAUUAUAUUAUAUAUAAUACUUAAUAUAAAUAUAUUUAGAAAUGUAUAAGUGUAUAUUAUUAUAAAUGUAUAAAUUAUAAAUGAAUAUUAUAUAAAUGUAUAAAUUAAAAUAUUAUAAAUAUAUAUUAAUAUUAUGUAUAAAUGUAAAAUUAAUAUUAUGUAUAAAUGUAAAAUUAAUAUUAUGUAUAAAUGUAAAAUUAAUAUUAUGUAUAUUAAUAUAAAUGUAUAAAUGUAUUAUAAAUGUAUUAUAUUAUAUAUAAUACAUAAUAUAAAUGUAUAUUAUAAAUAUACAUAAAUAUAUAUAUUAUGUUUAAAUGUACAUUUAUAUAAAUGUAUAAUAUAUAAUAUAUAAUAUUUAUAUAAAUAUAUUUUAAAUAUAUAAAAUUUAUUUUAAAUAAAAUAAAUAUUUGUAAUAUGAAUAAAUAAAUAAAUAAAUAAAUAAAUAUUUAAUAUAUAUAAUAUACAUUAAUAUUAAUUAUAAUAUUAUAAAUAUGGUGUUUAUAUAAUAUUUCAAUUUGUAAUAUUUAUUGUAUAUUUCAUUAUAUAAAUAUUUAUAUAAUAUAUCAUAUAUAAAUAUAUAAUAUAAAAUUUUCAAUUUGUAUAAUAUACAUAAUAUUGUAUAUAUAUAAUAGAAUAUACAUAAUAUACAUUUAUACCUUAAUACAUAUUUUGUAUAUUAUAUAUUAUACAUAACAUUAUUAUACAUUAUUAUACACAAUAAUGUACAUAAUAAUGAAAGUACAUUAAUAAUGUAUAUAUUAUAAUAUAAUGUACAUAAUAUAUAAUGUAUAAAUAUUUAUACAUUUAUGUAUACAAUAUUACAUAUUAUGUAUAUUAUAUUAUGUAUAUUAUAUUAUAUUAUGUAUAAUAUACAAUAUUAUGUAUAAUAUUAAUGUAUAUAAAUAUUUAUAUAAUAUAUAAUAUAUAAAUAUAUAAUUUUCAAUUUGUAUAUUUCAAUUUAUAUUAAUAUAAUAUAUAUAUAAUAUACAUAAUGGAAAUAUACAAAAUAUACAUAUUAUGUAUAUUUUGAGUUGUUUUUGAUAUAAUGUUUGGAUAUGGGUGUUUUUGGAAUUGUUUUUGAAAUACACAUUUACUUUAGCAUUUGGAACGUGAAAAACCAUUUUUCAAAGACAGAGGUAAAAACAGGAAUCCAAACCCCACAAACUAAAUACCCAAUUGCAGUUUACCCUCUAAACUAUAAUAAUAGGCAUUAUGCCCCCUUGAAUGAUAUGUUGGGACAAAUCUACCCAUUUUAUUUUAAGCAUUGUUAUUUUUCUUUUUUCCCUAUCAUUUUCUUUUUAAAUUCUUCCUUUUUUUUCUUUAAUCAUUGUUUAAAUAAGUAGACUAGAUUAGUCAAAAUUUGUUUAUUUCUUAAUUUUGUAUGUCAAUAUUUUAUUAAAAAAAAUCUAUGGAUUAUACAAGAUUUUUUGUCCAAAUGUUGAAGUCAAUAAGAAAAUUGGAAAUUGUAAUGAUGAUGUCAGCAAAUAAAAUUGGGUAAAUAAUGCUCAAUCCAAACAAACCCAAUGUCAUUUAAGAAAUUGAACUUUUCAAAUAUAUAACAACAAAAUAGAGAAAUUGAUUAAUCAAUUAUUACUAGUAUCAAUAAAAAAAAAAUUAACUACUAUUGUUGUUUAUUCUUAUUUUUUAUUUCACUACAAAUAACAAUUGCUAACUUUUUCUUUUUUAUGUGAUAUAUAAUAUGUUACUUUUAUUAUACGUAGUUGAGUAACUGUGAACUCCUAAUUAGUUUAUAGGUGCUUAAAUUGUUGAAUUACUAGAUUAAUACACUUUACAAUAUAAGCUUCAUAUAUUUUGUAAUAAUAAAGAGUUUAUGACAAAUUAUUAAGAAUGAAUUUAACAAAUAAACAAAUUUAAAAACAAUUUAAAAAAUAUUAAAAUUUUUGAUGUAAGUCUUUUCACAUCGGAGAGAGACGUUGGCUAGUUCCACGAGAGAAGGAGAAAAUAAAUAAAAGGAAAAACUGAAAAAUCUAAUAGAGAAAAAAAAAGAAGAAAGGAUUUAAGAUAGUAGGGGUAGUGUUGUCCAAACAUAUCAUUCAAGGGGGUAAAUUGCCUAUUAUUAUAGUUUAUGGGUAAACUGCAACUGGGUAUAUAGUUUGUGGGAGUUUUUUACAUUUAACCUAAAAUUGUACUAUAACUUACACUAAAAGUUGCAGGGAAAAUUUUUUAAGUUUGUAAAUUUUUGGAUAUUUUGAAGUAUAUAGUUUAAAAAUUUUGAAAAGUUUUUUGAGAUUAUUGUAGUUCAAAUUGUUAAAAAACUUGUAACAGACAAAUUUGAUAAAAAAAAUUUGCUUGCCAAACAUGUCCCAUAUAUAUAAAAAUAUUUUUUUUAUUAUGUUAGGAAUAUUAAUUUUUCAGAUAUUAAUUGUCCUGUAUUAUCAAAUACUAUAAGAGUUUACUAAUAAUUUUAGUAACAAACAAACAAAUUAAUAAAAAAUAAUGUUAUGGGAUAAAGAGCAAAACAAACUAUUUUAUAGGAAUUUGGUACAGUCAACUCUUAAGUGUAUAAUGCCUUUUUCGACAUUACCAUCCCACAAUGUUAACAAUGUUAUAGUUGAUUAAUGGUUUAGAUGAUAAAAUGAAAAUUAAAAAAUGACGGUAAGGGACAAAGUGGAAAAGAUGCAUAAUGGACCCCUAUGUGAUGGCGAUUUAGUUUCCGUCAGUUACCCGUUACUCUGUUGGGUCACCUCCCCCAUAAUUAAUUGGAAUAAGUUAGAGUAGGGAGUAGAAGUAGUUGUAGAUGACUCUUGCCAUAUAUAUAGACUCCUCUUUUGACAAGUGACAAUUUGAAUUUUUACUCCACUAUUUUCUUUGGUUAGGAAAAAGUCAUAAACUUUUCCCCUCCCAAUUUCUCCUCUUCUUUUUCUUUUUACCUCUACCUUCAACCCUCAUCUCCCUUUUUUUUCAUCUUUCUUUUUUCCCUUCCAAUUUUUUCUUUAUAAUUAAUUAUCCUAAAAUUAUUUUCUUACUAUUUUUUAGGUGAUUAUUAUUAAUCAUGGAGAGAUAUCGUAACAAUCAACUGAUUUAUAAUGCCACUUCCAGCUCCAUCAAUUUUAACUCUUUAAUUCAGUAUUUUGCUUUUUCCCUUCUUCUUUUCCUCCAUCCUAAUUUUUCUCAGCCUUUCCUCUUUCCACUCAAUCAAAUACAUCUUUUCCUUUUUCCUCUGUAUCAACUGAAUGUAUGUUUUUCUUGCCUAAGAAUAGAUAUUUCUUUUCUUCCUUUGUUCAAAAAUCAUGAUUCAUGAUCAUCUCUUUUUUUAAGAGAAAUAUAAACAAUAGAUCUUUUAUCUCCCUAACCUUGCUAUCUAGUAUGUUCCAUUUUUUCAUUCCUAUUUUUCCCCUGUUUCACACUGCCAAUUAUGGACUUAAAAUUUUUUCAUUAAUUGUAUUUAAUUUAGCCUUUAUCAUUUUUUUUUUGCCUCUUCAUUCUGUUACUAGGUGUAUUUAUUUAUUUUGAUUUGAUCUCCUUGAUAUUCAUUAAGCCUUCCAUUAUUUUGGCUCAGCAAGUCAAUUCUCCUUUUGUGAGGUUUGUCUUAAAUUUAAAUGCAAAAUUUGUAUUUUGCAAUUCUGAUGUUUUAGUUCACUUUCAAUGCAUAACUAAAUCUUGCACUUCAUUUAGUAAUUCAUUGGUACUGAAUUUUUGUGCUUUUUUUAUGCAUUGAAAAGCCUUCUAUUUCAAAUUUCUUGCAAGUUUUAUUGUGAAUUGGUAAGAUGAAAGUUUUUACAUGAUGAUGUCUUGUUUGAAAAAGAAAUAAUGGUGAUAAAUUCUAUGCAUUCGUAAUUAUAAUAGCAUGAUAUUUGAGCUUUAUGAAGCAUACAUCAUUUAUGUUAAUAUUGAAUUGAUUUUGUAUUUCUCACGUGCUUGAUUUUUCAUUUUUUUGCUAUUAUUUGUCCGUACAAUACAACAAGAUAUACCUCUACUAUGUCAAAAUAAGCAAGUUGGAGCAAACUUUUGGAACAUUACAGUAAAAGCAAACUUUAUUUUUUAGGCUCAUUUUUUGGCAAUUAUAAUUGCUCUUUAUUUGAAAGCAAAUUAUGGUAUAAUGAAUUUUAGCCAGAAUUUUAUAGGUGGGCAUAAGCGGUCGUCGUAUACUGCACAUCAAGGUUAUGCAGUAAUGAAGAAAGGUAGAGCGCGCACGGAAUACAAUCCUGUUAUUAUACUUGCCAGACAGAUGUGCACGUCAUACAGAUGGAUAGGCCUUUAAGAAUCUCAUUCAUGUGCUAAUACCGUCAUCCUCUUCAGAACGUAACGAAAGAAAAAGUUGAGGAAUCCAGAAAACAAGCCACAUAACGCGCUCAAGAGAGAUGAAUGUCUCCUAUCAGCAAAUGAAGCACAGUUUGACCGAAACUAGGCUAUAAUGCUUCAGACGUGCAGAGAGUACGAUAGCCGAGCAGACAGCACAGGCUUUCAGAACAGGCAACAGAGGCAAGAGAUGGAUGGCAAAACUAAUCGAUCAGUAGACUUUAAGGAACACCGGUAGCCGACUGCAACACAGGCUGAUCCCUUUGAAAGGACGUCCAUUCAAUCUCUCUCAGCAAAUUAAACCUUUGAUCUAAUGUCAAAAACUCAACUUGUGAUGCUACAGCACCAGACUUCCCCGCCUUGUAGAGUAAAAGGACUGUAGAUCCCAUUUCAGGUCCAUGGAGCUUCCCAGUUAGCAACACCCGGAGGGGCAUAAAAAGAGAUUUUCCCUGGCAUGGCGCAUAAAUAUUGAAAUUAAACUUUUUGGGCAACCAAAGAUACCAGUAACCAGUAAAUUCUUAUCAAGAAUGCAAUAGUAAAAACAAACCUUGCGUUUCAGUGAUUUACCAAAGCUCUUUACCCACUUCUGCCACCCUGAUUGGCCUUCUUCCAAGGCACCAAGCAGCUCACCGCCAUCAAAGGCUGCCAACAAACUAGCAGCAACAUCGGGGAGCCCAUCAUCGAUAACAGAUUUACACUCAGCACUGCAGAUGGCAAAGAGGAAAUCAAUUUUUUGUUUCCAAUGGAAAAGAAGACUAUCAAUAACACUGCUCCUGACCUGUUACUACUAAACGUAAAAUUAUUAAAGGCUCUCCAAUAUAUAACUAUAACCUUAACAUCAACACAUCUCUGCAGUUCACAUACUGUUUCCCUUUUACCUAAAGAUUAUUCUUUUUUGAAUCCAUAUAUUAGCACCAUCCAAGUUGAUAUGUUCAAAACAGAAUAUUUGCUUUCACAUGCUACAAACUAAUUUGCUUAGGACCCACUCACAAUCGCCCGGAUGAGUGUCAUAGCAUCCAUCAAAUAUCUGAGUCACACAACACUUCAUGAUAGCAAUACCUAACCUUCAGUAACUGGCUAUUCAAUUUUAUUUUUACUGAGUUGGCGAAUUGAAUUUGCAACUAAAAAACAUUUUAAUAACGAAUAGAGUUUGCCAACUUAGUACAGGAAACGUAUAAACAAUCCUCAGGAUAGUAAACACAAAGACUGGGAAGAAAAUAAGAGCAAAAGGUAAGAAAUUCAGAAUUCAUAUACUACUACAAUGUCUAGAAAGCUUCAUUACAUACAUGCAAGAAUUCAACUUACCUUGUUAAUGUUGCAUAUAGAGGAUAUGACAGCAAGCUUGAAAGAACCUUGUCUGAAUCUGUUAUCAGGUCAAUUCCAUCCUUCAGGAGGUGAAAAGCUUCCUGCUUAUACAAAUACACAUUGCAACCAUUAUGAUGCAAUCCCUAGAAAAACACAAUAGAUAUAGAGAAGCUACUUGUACUACUAAACAUGCAGUUGAUAGUAAUGCACACUUACUUUUCACUAACCAUAGCUUACAAUGAUAAUCAGAAUAAAUUCAUUUGUUUGACUACUCCAUAAUGCAAAAUUGGUAGCAACACAUUGCUGUCUUAGAAAGCUACCAGGUUGACCACAGAGUUGCUUUUAAAUUUGCACACAGGAACAAAAUUUUAGGAUAAAUAACAAAGUUACACAAUAUGAUUCACAAGAUAUAACGUUGAUCAUACCACUCCAUAGAAAUUGCACAUGACAAACACUUGAUCUGAAUCAUCAAAAAAUGCACCAGAAAGAUAGGAAGCCCUUACUUCCACAAUGAGCCCCUCUGAUUCAGUGAGGAUACCAUUACUCUUCCAACGUUCACCAAUCAGUUUGAUUACUUCCCCAGUUGGAAGAGAUCUCAAAUGCAGACCAUUCAUCCACCUUUAGAUUCCACAAAUAUUGAAUGGAAAACCAUAAAACAAUAAUCAAAACAAUUUGCAAAGCUAUAAAAUGGUGUUUAACCAGAUUAUUAUAAAUAAGACAUCCCCUGAACUAUAAUAGCACAAGUUGCUAUUUGCAUCAGUAAUCCAAAAGCAAAUAUUACCUGAGCUUGGUCACAUCAAAUAUCGCCCCACUUUUGUUAACACGCUCAAUUGUAAAUUUUUGAACUGUAAACAGCAUGAGAAGGUCCAACUCAUCAGACAUGUCUAGCUAAUAGAGUUAAGGACAGCUGGAGGAACAUUCAAUUUGCAACAUAUAAGUGUAUGACUUUCAGGAAGUAAAUGAGAUUGAUCAAGGAAGCACAAGAAGAAGUACAAAAUCCUGCCAUACAUCAGCACAAAAUGAAGCUGCCAGAUGUAUGGAAAUGACCAACUAUAGUCAAGGAGAUAUGACUCACCAAGUUGUUCAAGGGUGAAAAAUUCAUUCUCAGAGCCAUCACCCCAGCCCAACAGCGCAAGGUAAUUGACCAUUGCCUGAGGUAAGUAUCCCAUCUCCCUGAACUGCCAGAUAAAAGUACAAUUGUGACAGGGGAAUACUACACAAACACUCAAGGCCUGGUUGAAGAAUUACAAGGCAUUCAAAAACCAGAGAAAGAAGCCAAAAUGGCCAACCUGACCCACUGAAGUUGCACCAUGACGCUUGGAGAGUUUGCUCCUAUCAGGAGCAAGAAUUAAAGAAACAUGUGCAAAAUAAGGCAUUGAAAAACCCAGAGCCUACAACGGCAAACACAGCAUCCCCCAUCAGAUGUCACCAUUUGCAAAAGAACUUACUUUGAUAGAGUAAAUGAGUUCGAAACAUCAAGCGGACCAAUGGAAGGUGAAUGUACCUUGUAAAUUAGUGCUUGUCUUAAAGUAUUGGGUAAAUGUUCUUCUGCUCUGUAUUGAAAGUUUUAAUAAGAAAUCUUCCCAGAAUAAGCAAAUAAACAAGCAAGCAACUGAAGAAGAGAAAUAAGAACAGCUUUGAUUGUAGAAAAUCUCCACUAGAAUAAGCAAUGUCUCACCUAAUAACAUGAGAGAUAGCCAUAGAUGCAUCAUCAACUGUGACACAAAAAUUGUACACAGGUUGUCCAUUACUUCUCAUAAUGACAAAAUCUCCCAAUGUGUCCAAGUUCCAACUAACCUUCAUUACACUAUCAAACAAGAUUAGAAAUGAAGAAUGAUGAUGCAAAACAAAUAGACCAUCAUAGGAAAAGAGAACCAAAACAAAAAUGUAGAAGGAGAAGAAAAGGAUUAUGGUCAUUGGUCAAGUAUAGAUUUAUCAUUAAUGCUGAAUCCUUAGACACUUAAAACCAAUAUAGUCUAAAUCAAAAGGUUAAAAAUUACAAUUUGUGUGCAUUUAGUACUGAACUAGUUUCAUCUCACUCCAUGUUUCAGUUCUAAUGAAUGGGUUUAUAUAUACAUAAUGAAUUUUAGCAAGUUUCCCCACAUCUUUUAUUUUAAUCUAUGUGGUCCUCAUGUUCAUGAAAUUUUGCACUUCUAUUCGCUGUAACAUGUCAACCACAAGUUUGAUUUAUAGCUUAAGAGAUAACAUGUUGAAAUAUCAGUGUUCGGCUAGGACUAGACCAUGAAAUAGAGGACCAAAACUGCAACAUGCCCAAAUGGCCCAAUUGGGGGAAAAAAUAAAAUGCACUAUCAAGUGCUUCAGCAACAACUCCAAAGGAACUCAAAAUAAAGCCGUUGACAUGCAAAAGUAAGUUUUAUUCAUCACUUACCUCACCACGGAUAAGGUCAUUUAUUUUCAACUUUCCUUCUUUCGGCACUCGAAACCUACAUGUAUAGGGUGUCCCCUUCGACAACUCCUCUUGCACUUCCUCAUCAGUGGCAUUGGCCCACUUCCCAGUGUAAACUGGUGGCAAUUGCUUUAGCUUCGCAAUCUCCUUCAUCUUUUCUAGUUCCUAAUAAGUCAAACAAAGAGAGACAUGAAUAACAAUUCCUAUUCCUGCUUCUUCUUGGAAAAAAGUCAAGCUCAAAGAGUUAUAAUCCCUUUCAACUAACUGAUAGUUGAAAUUGAUAGAGUAUUUGUAUCCUAUUUGCUUAUACUCAACUGGUCAGUUUUCAGCUAAGUUUUUCAUAAUCUUAACAACUAAGGACAAAUUUUAAGUGAGAGGCCAUUGUCCCCUUCAGAGCCUUGCUUAUUCAACUGGGGAAUAACUGAAUAGGUAUUAGGUGUUUGAUGCUCAAAUCAUCAUUGAAAGGACUGUCGAAUAGGUUAGGGACAUGUCCGCAUGUCCAGACUCCGCCUUAAUUCCGCAUUCACUUCGAUAAUUUAUUUUCAUGAAGCAGCCUUUUGAAAAUUUACUUCAUCUAACAAAUGAUCCAAUUCUCUCAAAUCUAAAACACUAGAAAUAUAUUUUAGUUAACUACUUAAACUUGCCUAAAUUUAAAGUUUCUCAAUUUUUAUGAAGCUGAUACUUCACUAAGCAAAUCUCAGUCCUUCUGUUAACGUCUUUCCUUCAAUAGAUGAGUUCACUUUCUUUAAUACUUGCAUCCUUAGAUGCCAGUAUUAUGUUUCAUGCUUCAUAAGCAAUUUACAAUUCCUUCUUAAAAGUUUCAUUAAUGUACUAAACUUUCAAAGCCAAAGUUGCCAUCUUGUUAAACUUAUGUACUGAUGCUUUACCAUUAUAAAGUCUGUAGCAAAAAGAAAAGAAAAAAGAAUCUAAGAAAAUACCUACAGUUUGUUAUACAAAAAAUACUUGUACAAAAUGACAUUGAAAUUGAUGCUCCACUAAAUCAGUUUGGUCAUGGGAGAAGAAAGCUGCUUGUGGUUUAUAAACCAUGACAGAGAUCUAUUUUCAGGAAGAAGUCUAUAGCAGGUUUAGUCUCACACAUAUAGCUAACCUGUGUCAACAAGACCUUGCCAAAAAAAAAAAAAACCCCACCCAUUUGAAGCAAAUAUGACGAGCAUCUAUACCAUAAAAAUCUAAAAUGCUCUUUUAGCAUCAUUUAGCAUCAAAGCUUUAUCCCGUCUCUAAACAAAGGGACUGUAGAAAACUUAUGAGCGCAAUAUCAACCUCCAUGUUCAGGCUUAUCAAACCAGGACCUCAAUGGGAUUUAUAACUGCAUCUAGCAUUAGUGGUAAUGAAAUUCAACAUCAAUCAUUCCUGAUAUGGCGUACAUUUCCCUUAGACACCUAUUAAGGACCCGUGAUAUGGAGCAUCUCGUCAAAGGAUUGUAACUUGCAAGAUAAUCUUCAAUGGGUUAAUAGUGGAGGGUUUAUGUCAGAAGAUAAUGGAAUAGCUUAGGGUGACGUGGGUAAAACUCCAGCCCGUGACAGUUCAAAUAAGAAAAAAGUACAAAACCAAUUUUGUGACGAUAAAAAAGUACCUCAUUAGAACAAAAGCAGCGAUAAACAUGACCAGACUGUAAAAGCUUCUCAGCGUAGUGCUUGUAGAGAGAAUUUCUUUCAGACUGGCGAUAGGGACCAUAGUUCCCUCCAACACCAGGGCCUGCAUUGCCCACCCCCAUAUGCUAUCAGUGUUAAGUGGUAUUUGCAACCAUGAAUAAAACUUGGAAUCAGAAUUUUAGCAGAUUAACCUAUGCAUUUUACAGUACCAACGAAGAAAAUACACAGCAAACGACUAAAGUUGGUGACCAGAGGGCAGAUGACAAUUAAGAAGACGAAGAGGAAAAGGAAAAUAAACCUUCAUCCCAUCCAAGGCCAAGCCAAGAAAGAUCUCGAAGAACAGCUUCUUCAGAUUCUUUUGUGGAUCGAUCCAAGUCAGUAUCCUCAAUCCGAAUGAUAAACUUGCCGCCUUUAGACCUAGCGAACAAAUAGUUGAAGAGAGCUGUUCUGGCCCCUCCAACGUGAAGAUUUCCAGUGGGCGACGGUGCGAAACGCACACGGACUUGGGAAUCCCCGGGUGGUGACCCUGCGUGGGCAGCCGAGAUUGACAAACACCUUCUUGUUAAUCUUCCGUUUCCAGGAUAACCACAGUUCUUCUUACCAGAAGAAAUAUCUUUGUUGUAAUUAUAAAGCAAGUAGAAUGAUGACCGGAGCAUAGGAAUAGGAAGUACUGCUAUCUCUUGUAGCGGAAUCACCCUCGCUCUCAACAACGGCGUCCCUGUCCCCGCCAAACUUGCCAUUUCCUUUUACUUCCUGAGACUGUAAUGGUAGUAUGAAUUAUUUAUUCAUUUGUUUUGUUGAAGUGGAAGAACCCUAAUGCUUUUGUCGCCGGCAAGGGCCAAAGGCUUCCUGCUGUUCUGCAGUCAGCUACAUGGAUAAGGAUUAAUAACGAUGUACGCAGCUGUAAUUUUUUAGGAGAGUCGACACUUGCAAAUUUACAGUGCAACGGGGCUGGCUCAGAGGAUUAACUAGUUGAAUACCAGUAAGGCCUGGCUACUGCCCACCCUAAAGUGUUUAAGGGUAACAAAAUUUGAAUGAUUGUUUAUGAAUUGAGUGUCGCAAAUAUAUUUUAUAAAGAGUAUCUUAAUAUAUUACUGGUUAACAAAGGGAAAAAAUUCGUUGUAAUAAAAAGUAAGUAUUAAAGCAUAAAUAAAAUAAAAUUGAUAGGAAAAGUGUAUAUUAUGUUUGGUAGCAAUUCCAGUUGAUUUAUACAAGUUUUACUGGUGCUAAAUAAAAUAAGUGAAGUGACUAAUCUAAAGUAAAGUGACAGGCAAAGCAAAAAUCUUGAGUACCAAAAGUAAUGCGGCAAAAGGAAAACACAAAACUAGUAAAAGAAAGUAUAUGUUACUACUUACUACAGUAAUAUAUAAAUGCAUAGAUUUGUUGAAGUAAAAAGUAAGAAAAAUUGUAUUACCAAACGUGAAAAAACAAGAAAGUGAAGGAAGCUUUCUCUCUGCUAUGUGAGAACGAGAAGGAAAUAAAAAAGGAAAAAAAUGAAACACAAUAAAGGUUGGUAGUGUAUGUAAGGGUGUGUAGUAUACUAUUCAAGGUUAGUUUGUUGAUAAUAAUUUCAUCUAAAAAGCUAGUCUAUGAAAGUUAAAUUAAGCUAGUACUUUGUCUUCAAUAUAAUGGUUAUAAACGAUGAAAUACAAUUGAUAAUUCAUCAAAAGGUUGAUUUUCUUGUGAAGGACAACCUAACUUUGAAAAAAAAUAUAAGUACCUAAUCUGGUUAGGUAAUUGAGAAAAAAUUGAAUAGUUGAACAAUAAUUGCAUUAUUUGACUUUUGACUUAUUACAAGCAAAGCAGAGGAAAAAUAAGAGAACCAAGAAAUCUGUAAGCUGGCUCAUUGAAUAAUGUAAUAAUGCAAUAAGGUUGGAAAAAUGUUUUUCUCUCCAAAUUAAAACUUAUAAUAAAUAAGCUUUAUUGAAUAAUUUAAUAAUCUAACAACAUAGAAAAUAAGAAAAAAAUGCAAACCUAAUGAUUACCAUGAAAACAACAACAAAGAGCAUUUUAAUGAAAUAUAAUAGAGAUACACAUAUUUUUGUCAUUAAGACGUUAAUGCAUUCGUUUGAUUAAGAAAGGAAAAAAUUAAUUGUAAUACAAAAACACAUAUUAAGGUAUAAAUGAAUUAAAAUAAAAUUGAUAACAAAAUAUAUGAACAUAAAGUCAAAUGCUACCAAAUAUUUAAAUAUGAACAAAUUAAAAUAAAUUUGAAAUAGAAAAAUGCACAUUACAUUAAGUAGCGGUAAUAAUCUUUUUUUUUCUAAUAAGAUGAAAUUAGUUUUAAAUAAUCUUUUUUGUUGCAUUAACAAAAUAACAAAAUGUCAAAAAAUAUAAAAAAUUGAAGAAAUCCAUGCAAUUCGACGAAUUUUAACAAAUACAACUUAAUUUGUCAAAUAUAACUUUAAAUGAUAAUUCAUAUUGAAAUAAAUAUAAAUAUAAAUUCAAAUAAUAAUGAUAAUAACGUUGCAAUCCGAUUAAAACUUAAGUUAAUUUGUCAAAUAUAAGUUGAAAUAAUCAUGUAAAUGAUACUUCAAUUGAAUUAUAUCUCUCCAAAAUCUAGAGUUUAAAAAUCUAUUCAAAAUAUUUCAGCCUUAUAACCGUAGACAAAGGACUUACUCCCCUACUCAACCUUAUAGAGUAAUGCUAAAUCCACAAGGCAAUGUCAAGUCUAUAGAGAAAGCUCAAAAUUCACCCAUAAAUGUCACGUGUCAGCAAGAUAACAUUGGACCUUUGCUUAUAUUAUAGAAAGAUAAUAAGUUGUAUACAUGGUAAUGUAUAUAGAAUUUUGCCAAGCAACGAAAAUAAUCAAAGUAGCAAGGAAAGGUGUAUAGUUAAAAGAGUAUAACAUAAAAUAGGAAAAAAUUAGAUAAGAAAUGGUUCAGGAUAAAAGAUAAUGAAGAUAAUCAAAGCAUUUCAUCUUUAUAGGUAUCAAAAGCAAGAUACACAAAAAAAAGGGAAACAUGGCUAGUACAUUUGUUAGGAAAAUAGAAGAAAUGAAAAGAUAGGAAGCAAGCUGAAUAUCCCUAGUUUCCUAUGGUAAUUUGCAAAUGGAGCAUAUUUUGGUGCAUAGGACCUUGAUCUAGCAUCAUAAAAUACCAUACUGAUGCAUCAGGAAUGCAGGCUGAAUGUGUUGAUCAGAACUCUAACCAUCAAAAUAAACAUGAAAGGUGUAAUACCACAGAAAUAUUUUUUUCGACUCCGUUAUCUUCGAAGAUUAAAAUAGUAAAGGUUGUAUUUGAUUUGGGAAUAAAUACAAUGAUUUCAUUAUGUUGUAGUCCAUGCUCGAACUUCUCCAAUUUUUUUGAACUUUUUCCCUUUGACACCAAUUUCGAUGGCUUUGUUUCCUGUCUUGAUGAGAAGAGUUGGAGUCACAUCACCAUUGACGUAGUGAUCGACAAACCUUGGAAUUUUUUGAUAAUGAUUAAUGAAAGUUAGAUCGUAGAAGCUGAAAAACAUAGAUUCAAUCAAAAGAAAUGGAACAAUAGCAGCAAAAAAAGAUAGUGUAAAGUUAGCUUCCAAUGUUUAGGAGUAGUCGAAAAAAAUUUGAUAAAAGCAAACCGAAUUAGUUAGAUUUUGGAUUAAAUCUAGUUUCAUUGAUAUAACCUAUGAGUUGUUUGGAUACUACUGACCGCACACAAGCUGCACUCAUUCAGUAGAUAUUGUAUUAAGAAUAAGAAGAGCAAAAAUGGAUAUAUAGAGUAAAAUGAAGCACAUACCUGCCUUGCAUCUGCUCAAUACCAUCCUACAAUAGAUCUGGCAUAGAAUUGUAAAACGUAAGUAAACUUAUUUCUGAAGCUCACAAAAAAGAUUACAUCAAAGAUGAGAUUGCUACUGUGUCAAAGGAACAACAUUGUCAUGUUUUUUCAUGAUAUUUUCAUGGCAAUAUUCAUCCCAUCCAUUUGCAAAUGAAUGAUAGUGACUGUGAUAGCCAUCGGUAGGUUUCGUAUCUGAGAAUAAUUGUACUAUUGGUGUCGACUAAGCAACAGUGCAAACUUAGAAGGCAAAAUCUGAAAUUGAGGAAUAGAAAAGCAAUGUUAAAUGCAAUCGCAAGACUUAAAAUGUGAGUUUUUUGAGAUAAGAUAGCCAAAGACAAAUGACUGCAUGUAAGUACAUUAUACAUUACUACAUUAGCUGUUGAAAAGGUUAGGCUCAUCGGGUUGGACAGCAUAUAAGUACAAAUGACUGCAAACUCAUCGGCCUUUUUUUUGGGCCAGACGAGCCAAAUUCGGGUUGGACCAACCUCCAUCAACAGUCCUAAAUAGAGAUGUACUCGAAUCAAAUCGAGCUCUGACUAUAAUAAUUACUAUACUCGACUCGAGCUCGAGCUCGAUCGAGUCGGAGAAUUUGAACUUGAGCUUGACUCGAGAAAUGCUUAAAAAGCUUGAGACUCGACUCAAUAAAGCUCGAAUGAAGAUCAAGCCUUAUCAAAUCAAGUAAUCUGAUCAAUCGAGCUUCUUGACUCGGCAAACUGGAGGAAAAUAGAAAGAUAACAACCUGUUCACACAUCCCCGUUAAUAGUCAUUUCAAAUUGCAAAUAAAAGAAAAAGGCUCCAAAAUAUAAACAUACUCCACAAUACAUAAUAAGUUACAUGUCUCAUAACUAACAAGUUCCAAAUUAUGAGCUAAUAUAAGUAGAAGAAAUGAACAGUAGCAUAAAUCUUCAAAACUUUGGCAAGUCAAAUUCUUUGAUUAUCUUAGUUUCCUACAAAAGAAAAGAGAGACAAAACACAAAAAAGUUACAUAACUUCCCAAAGAAUAAAGUAACUUAUACUCAAUAACUCAAAUAUGGAAGUUUGGUAGUAAAACAAUAAAGCUGACCUUCAUCUUCUUUUUGCCCCCAUGAAGAUUCUACACCAAUCUCCUACACACAUCAACACUUUAUAUAGGUGAAGUGCUGCUCAAUACAUGUCAAUUACUCAAGUCCCAAGACUAAAUGUGACCUCCAAUGCAAACUAUAGUUAUCGGAAUGGCCAAGAUAUCGCAGGCUAUUCCAGAAAAUACUGGGGUAUGAGAUUUGAUUUAUUUUUCACACACUCCAAACAAUCAAAUUCAUCGAGGUCUUCUCCAAUCUUUUGGUGAGACUUGUCUAAAUAAUCAACCAAUUCUGACUUUAUGGGUUCGCUGGUCUCGAUUUCGUCACAAUAUUGAUCAAAAAGUCAUCCCAUCCAGUCCUUUUGGUCACAUUUGUUCCUUGCCUUUGUGAAGAGCUAGAAGCCAUUGACCCUCCAAUUGGAUCAACGCUAAAGCAACAUACUCAUCGUAUAACUCAAAGAUCACUUGCCGAAUGGUGGAAAUGUUAUGAGAAGCCUCUGAAGGUGAUACAAUUGAGGGCAGGUGAAGUCUACAACCCUCAUUUUCUAUCUUAGAUCUAAAAUGGCAGCCACAAACCACAUCAAAUUACAUUCACUCCAAUACUUGCAAACUUAGCUUUCAUCCUUCGAACCAUGACCCGAAUAAAAGGAUCUUCAUUAUUGACUUGAGCAUCUAGCCACUUUUUUUUAUCUUCACCAACUCUUGAAGGAAAAGAUUGCUGUAGGAUAAUCUGAGCCAAAAAUUAUAUGCGUGCACUCCCAAAAAUUUUUCCAAGACCGAACAAAACCCUUUCUGCUUUUCCCAAUCCUCAGCAGAUCAGCAAAAAUCGUAACUUUGCUAUCUAUCUUAGAAACGGGGAAAAAAUAUCCUUAAAUUUGAUGGCACACAUUCAACAUCUCGAAGGUGUCAUUCCAUCCUGUCUUACAAUCGUAAAGCAACUUUUCUUGGUAUCUAGAGUUGUUAAGCGAUCUCAGCAAAUAUAAGCUUGACCCUCUGAUUGAUUCACAAAUUCCAGAAUCCCUAAUGGCUUUGUUGAUGUCCAUAAUCUCAGAAAUGUUAUCUUGAACCACAAGGUUCAAAAUAUGUGCACAACAUCGAACAUGGAACAAUUUUUCAUUACAAGAAAGCUUUUGGACCUAGAGAUGUCAUCCUGUAAUAUUCUAAUAGCAACAUCAUUGUUCGAGGCAUUAUUAACUGAUAUGAGUAAAUCUUGUGCUCAAUGCCCCAUUCUUUUGUACUUUUGAAAAUUGAAUAUGCUAUCUAAACUCCGAGAUGAGGUGGUGGUAUGCGCACAAAAACUCAAGACUGUUUUUGUAGUUUCCAAUCAAAGUCAAUCCAAUGUCCGGUGAUGACCAUGUGUUAGAUCUUUUGGUUUUUUGACUUCCAAAAAUUGGUUGUAAUGCUCACUAUUUUCACAUUUUUCAACUUGCUCCUCAGCUUAAUUUUUUCAAACCUCAUAUACUUGUAUACAAUCAUUUUUUGCUAUUGCUUGAGAGAUUCUCUUCCACUCUCUGGCCACCGCUAGUUUCAUCAUAAGAUUGAAAUCCUCUUCUUCUAAUAUGGUGAACGGAUACUCGUGCAUUAGCAUCCACUAUGCAGUUGCCUCUCCAACAUUUUCUAUGUCAAACUUUCCAUUCAGGGAUGGCAAAAUUGAAAAAGAUUCAUCAGCUGUUGAAAAUUUAGUUUCGUUUGCUACUCCCCUUUCGAAUGCUUGUUUUUCGAGCUGAACAUCUAUUCCGAUGCCUCUACAGGCUACUUGUUUGUUUUGUCUUGCCCUCUUGACAUUUUUUUCUUGCAAUGCUUGCAAAUGACAUAGUACAAUCCAUUUUACUCAAUUUCAUCAAAAUCAUCCCAAGCCUCAAAUGUUUUACUUCUUUUAGGGAUGCAGAAUUCAUCUUCAACUUCAAUCACCUCCCGUGUGUCUCCUCCUAUUUGGAUAGCUGGUUCUUUUUCUUCUUCGGGUGGUACAGACCCUGUUGUUGAGAUAGGAGCAAUUGCUUGAUCUCCAGCUGUUAGUGUUGUAUCAUUACUUAUAAAAAUAGUGGUAUCCAGCAUGAAUGGAAUAGAUGAAUCUAUAGCGGAUAAUCGUGGGAUAGAAGAUACCUCGGGAGGACUAAUUACCAUACCUACAAUUUAUCCAAAAAAGUAAAUAUUUAUAUAUAUAUACUUGUGUCAGCCAUACAACCAUUAUAAACAUUCAUUAGUACUAGCAUAUCACCACCAAAAACUGCCUAAAAUCAAGUACAUUUAGCUUAACAACUCCUUUGGCAUUGCUUCUAGUCUUGAGCAACUCAUUGAAUGUCUAGUGUUGCUUUGCAUUUUCUUGAAAGUUUUCUAGGGAGUGAGUCAAAGGUUCUUCUAAAGAAUUGUCAAAGGUCUUUAAGUGUCCAAUUGGACAAAUUUUAAGUGUCAACCAGAUUGCAAUUUUUAUGCUGCAAUUACCAUUACAACUUUAACAAAACAUCCCAAGUUGAUAAUGGUCAGCCAUACAAGAAUACAAUAUUUUUUUAUCAAUUACUCAUACAACUUUAAAACUAUUCCCUAACAAGCAAUAUAUAAUCUGUGGAAUGUAUACAUACACCCACAACAUAAGCCAUCCGAAAGUACUAAGUAGAAACAUUUCAUCACUUGGACAAUUUAAGAUCCAUUAGCUUGUGAAUUUGCAGUAUAUCUACCUCUUGCCAAUUGCCAAUUUACCUAAAUUCCCUAACAUUAAAAACUAAAAUGAUCCAUGAAAGACAAAAAAAAAAAAAAAAUUCCUGUGGAUAAAAUUAACUCAUUAAUCAAGAUAAAUUCAUAUGCACUAGUGACCAAUCUCAUUGGGGUUUCGGCCAUUGACAAAAGUAAAAUUAACUCAAGAAAACUUCCACAAAACCAAUGAUCAAUCAACCAUUUACAGUAGCAUUUAGCAAAUUUCACAGAAAUUCGCGCAUUAGGGUUUUGACCCUUCAAUAAUAUUGUUUCAAAUUCCCAAUUUUCCUUUAAUUGACAAAUAUUUUCUAAGUAACAAUUAAUUUCAGAAGUUAUGUUGGCAAAUAAAAGCUUACCUUUAACUCAAAUCAGCUCUGGUGGCUAGUCUGCGAUCGGCCAAAAGUAGCUCUGAUGGCACCUUACUCUUCUUGCUUUGCUCUUUAGAUUUUAGCUGAACAGCCCUAGCGGUCAACUAGCUCUGCAACAAUGGCAAUAGAGGCUUACAGAUGUGGCGAGCAACGGCGGCGAGUGAGAGAUUGAGAGUGACGGAGAUGGGGUUUAGAAGUUUAGUUUCGGUGGUUCGAACAAAGAAGAAGAGACUAAAGCAUUUCACAAAUUUUUGAUGAAUUUUCCAUCUUUUCUUCGUUUUUUCCCGACAUUUUUUCUUUUUAGUACUUUUACAAUUAUGUUAUUACUUUUCUGCUAUUAUGAAAUUUUAUUGUAAAGAAGAGUAUCUUGUAAAUUCAGUAUAAAUUAUACCCAUAAUGGUCAUUUUAUAAUUAUAAUACAUAUAUAUUAUUUAAUUAUACUACUCGACGAGUAGCUCGUCGAGUCACAAGUUGCGUAAUCCUGACUCAAACUCGACUUGAAUGUAUAAUCGAUUUACUCGAGACUUGGUUCGAAUUCGGUCAAAUCGAGUACAAGCCAAGUCAUUGACCGAGCUUCUUGUGGUAGAAUUUAUUUUAAAUACUUAUAAGAAAAUUAUAAAAGUUAUGCAAUCUUCUUGUGCCUCUAUAAUAAAAAAAAUUAAAUUUUUAGUUCAUGUUAAAAACUAUAAACUAGAUUAGAAUUUUCCUUUCUUGUUAUCCUACAUGAUAAUCAGGAUAACUAGAUGGCAACAAUAAUACCAUUAUGGGAAUAAAUUUUGAAAGUGAAUCAUAUUGAAAAUAUUUUUUAGCAAAAGUGUUAUUUUGGCAAAAAAACUCAUGAUACUAAGGCAAAUCCAACAAAUCUCCAUCUUGACGUGUAUCCAACAUCGAUAAAUGACAAAUAUGUUUCACUUUCUCCAUAAAAGUCCCAACAAAUUUCAACAAAUCACAAAAGUCUAAAUGGAGCCCAAUGAACCACCAAUGAACAAAGAUGCAAAAAGUUCAACGGGUUUCAAUAGGUCAAAACUCAUAAACGAUUCAACAGAUUCCAACGGGUUAAACAACACGAAUAUAAUAAUCUUAUACCAUCUUUUGCAUAAAAACCCUUAACGAGUUCUAAUGGGAUAAAUUGCCCUUCUUCCCAAAACUCGAACUGACCUCCAAUGGGCUCUUUCUCCAUUUUCUAUAGUGCUAAAUCGACAUCUUAGACUAGAUAUUGAUAGUUUGUUAUCAUAAUUGUUGCCACAGAUGCUAGAGUCUGAAUCUCUAAUAUUAGUUUGUUAGGUUUGAUUUCAGGAAAUUGAUGAAGGGUUCUUGAUAACCCCAAUAGACAAAUAACAAAGUAAAAAAUAAAUACAAAAGACACAAAAUUUAUAUGGUAGAAUAAGCUCAUCGAGUAUUCGAGCAUAGCAUUCUAAUAUUCAAACUUGUCUUCUCAUUUAAGUAAUUGAGUAUGCUCGACCUCAAUUCGAACUCGAUCAAUGAUCGGCCAAAUCUAGUAAUUGAUUAAGCUAUUCACAAAUAGCUUACGAGUAGCUCAAUAGCAUUUGAGGGACGGAGAUAUAGGGAGGGAGAGAGAAAAUAGAGAAGAGAAGAGAAGAAAUGAGAGAGAAAAAAAGUGGUGUGAGAGAGAGAGAGAGAAAAGAAGAGGAUGGUAGCAAGGAAGAAGAGAGAAGAGAAAGGGAGAAAAGAGAUAGCAAAAGGUAGAAGAAAGAUGAAGUAGUAGGAAAAAAUGAGGUGUAGGAAUGGGGGCUGACGAUAGGUGGUGGUGAGUGACUGGAAAAGUACAAUGAGGAUGAUGUUUGCAAUACAACAUUAAAUAUCCCAAAAAUACAUCCAUAAUGGAAACUUUAAAUAUACAACUUUAGUAAAGUGUUUUUUAUAACCUAAUCAAUGUGGAGUAUUAUAAACAUCAUUUAUUCCUAUUUUUGAAAUAUAAAAUGAUAACCACGUAAAGAAAGGAAAAUCAAACUUUUGUUUCUCUAAUUCAUUUUUCCAUUCUAAAAUUAGUUUUUCUUUAUAUAUUGAUUCUAGUUGAAAAAACCAAAUUCUUUUUCUAUAUUUUCCUCAUCAUCAAAAUCUUCUUGUAAAUAUUUAUGAUUUAUUUUAUAUGGUCUAUUUAUAACAUUUAUUUCACCUUGCAUUUGAGAAUGUGUUGGGGAAUUUUGAUUUACAACUUCUGGAAUAGGAGUUUUAUAUUUGAAAUUUGAUGUAUUUUCCAUAGGGAAAUUAAUUUCAGUUGACUCGUAAUUUGAACGUCUAGCUGGUAACCAUGAAUAAGAUGAUUCUGGUCUUUCUCUAAUGAUGUAAAUCUUAUUAAAGUACUUCCAGCUUCUUUUUCUAUAAUAUCUUUUGCAGUCGUCUGUUCUAUGUUUCUUGCUACUUGUGGAUUUUUAAUUUCAAAUUCACUUGGUAUUGUUAUUUCGUUCCAUUUUAAUCUUUUUGGAAUAUAUGUGGUAGGUCUAUCUGCAUCUACUUGUAAUAAAGUUGUUUCAUCUUUAAGAGUUGGAGUCAUUAUAAAUUUUGGAUUUAAAUGUGAAGACAAAGGUCUGUAAUAUAUUCUGUAUAUUAUUGCAAAAUUUUUUGUAUGUUUUUCAAAUUCAUUUCCUUGUAGAUGAAUAUCUAAAAUAACUGAAUUUAGUAUAUGUGGGUCUGUUAAAUCUAUUGAAAAAUUUGGAGCACAGUUAAAAUAUAUUGGUCCAUUACAUACAUUUGUUUGAAUCAUAGAAAGUAAAGAAGUUUUAUAUCUUUUGAGUCUAGUAUCUCUUAAUGCUAAGUAUAUUGGAGCAUCUACUCCUAGAUGGAAUAAGGGCUUCACAGCAAUUUGUAUUAAUCCAAUAUGAAUAUAACGAUAUCCUUUACUUAAAUAUUUUUGAAUUGUACUAUGAUUUAAUAGUUGUAUGGUUUGAUAUUCUUCUUGAAUAGAUAUUGUUUCUUCAUGAGUUUUAACUGAUAAAGCUGUUUUGAAAUCUAAAGGGCCAAUUCUGUAAAUGUGUUCAAUUUUUCUUCUGGGAUUGUCCAAUCUGAAUUGUUUAUAGGCAUAUGAUAUUCAUGACUUUGUACUACAUUAUCUUGUUUUGAAUUAGAUCCUAUUUUUAAUUGUCUAAGAAAUGCAGCCAUGUUUAAUAUUUAAUUAAAUCUUACUUAGACGGGAACAACCGAGCCUAUGCCUGGAACAUCCUAUCCUGGACUUACCAACGGUCUAACAAAGCAUCAAGUCUUACCAACGUUUUCAGUAAAGUUUAAUAAAAUAUGUAACAUAAAUGCAUGAAAUAGCCAAGUCAAAAUAGAAACGUAAUUCAAAUAAAGUAAAUGUAAAUGCAAAGUUUAAAUAUGCGUAUGAAAUAUAAACAACGGUGUGGCUCUGAUACCACUUCUACCCAGGACUUUGCAAUUAAUCAUGUACGUUAACUAAAAGCAAAUAUUGUAGGGACUUAGAAUGUAAUUAAUGAAACUUACUUGACUUUUGAGAGUGCACAAUCGGAAGCUUGAAUUCAACAAUGGAAACUUGCCAAACUUGUUUGACAAAAUGAUACAAGAGGUUUGAAUAUUUAAUACAAGGCUUUGACUAUGUAUGGAAAUAUGUGGGAGUGGUUAUUACAAUGAGUUUUUCUAACUUUGCUCUGAUGGUUUUUUCGCCGAUGCCUGUCUUCUGAAUCUUGAAUCUAUUUAUAGAGGCUCGGUUCUGCAUUUCAUCUUCAUUUGAAUUUCAAUUUUGCUUUCAUUUGUUGUGGCCGACAUUCUUUUUCAAAGUCGUUUGGAUUUUGUCCACCGAUGGGAUCAUCAAAAGGAUCAAAAGUAGAUUCAGAUGAUCCUGCUGGCUCCUCUAUUUUGUCUUCUUCUUUUGGCUUUUGUAAAUAAUUCAGAUAUUCUUUCAGCAUCUCGGGAUUCUGCAUGAUUUGCUUUAUUAAAAAGUUACUGGCUGUUUCUUCGGAUGCCAUUUCCGUCACUUUUUCUUUGCCUCUUUUUGGAGUGAGUGGAGUUGGUGUAGUGGUUGGAAUGAUUGUUGACUGUCUUGUCUCCUUUUGAGAAGUGGUAGUAGCUGUCCACUUUAAUUUGUCUCCAGUGGUCAGGAAUCUGAUCACAUUAGUUUGAUCGCCAAAUUCUUGAUUGAAUCCAGUCCACCAUUUUAUUUUGAAUUCUCUUACCAAUGACAUUGGCAGAGGUUUUUCUAGUUCUUGAUGAAUUUUGAAACUCCAACAAAAUAUCCAUGGCACUUUGAAUUCCAUGUGGAAUAAAAUUGGUCUUGUAUACUCUUCCCCCUUUGCUCUUUUUAGAUAUGUUUGAAAUCCCAUGAGAACAUUUGGAGGUAGAAUUUCUGGUUGGGGUCCAAACCAUUUCCACCAGUGAUUAAACCAAAUUGGGAAUUCUUUACUGCAACUGUCUUUGAAUGUUAACAAACCAGGAAUGGUUAACGUAUAUAUUUUGGAGUGCAAUUGCAAUUUUCUUCACUUUCUGAACUAGAAAUAUCAUUGUAAUAAUCAUCUUCUGUACUUUGUUCUUUUUCAUUUAUUAAUAAGUUUAAUAGUUUAUUUUUAAUUUCUUCUUCAUUAGAGCAAAUUUCUGUAAUUUUUUCUUUUAAUCUACAUUUGUUUGCUUUAUGUCCUAUUUUUCCACAUUUAUAACAAACUAUUUUCUUUUUAAUAAAUCUUCUCUUUUUAGUUGGUUCAUUUUCCUUAGGUUUUAUAUACCUUGGUUUCUUAGAAUAUUUUUUAAUUUUCUUUUUGUAUGCUGAUGGUGAUUUGAUUCUUUUAAUUCCAAGCAUCACAGAAUGAUCCUACUUCUUUUGUUUUAGAUCCAUAUUUUCCACAAAUAAAUGUUCAAACUAAUUUAUAUAAAAAAUGGAAAUUAAAAGACGAUCAAAUCUUAACAUCAAUACAUCCAUUACAAGAAGUUUAAUAUAGGACAUGGAGAAGUAAUUGCCUCACCUUUUAAGGGGUAGGGAAGCUGAAUCAAGUACAAAUAAUUCAAUAAAUCUAGAAGAUCUUAAAAAAGUUUAUCAACAAAAUAAUUAUACAAAUCAGAUUCUUCAUACAAUAUCUCAACAUAUGGAAGUAUUAAAUACAAAAAUUGAUACAUUAAAGAAACCAGAUUUAAAAUUCCCAAUGAUAUAUCAGCACCUCAUUUUCAACCUAGAAGUUUGACAAGAGAAAAAGAACAAGAUUUAGUACAAAGUAUUAGUAAUCAAAAGAUAAGUAAUACAGAUAAUUUAUUAAAUAAAAUAUCUAAUGCAUUACAAAAUCUAACUACAGAUUCAAAACCAUCAACACCUAAAAUAAAUACUCUAGAUCAAAUAUAGAAGAAAAUUCAAUGAAGAAUUAGAAGAAUUCAAGAAGAAUCAAUAAAUUCAGAUAUAGAAGAAAAUAUACUUUUACCAAUAGAAAAUCAAUUUGAAGAAGAAAAUAAUCAAAUAAGAAUAAAAAGAAUAAAAAGAAAAACUAUAAUAAUAAAUAAUUGGAAAAUGUAAGUUCAAAAAUUAUUAUCCAAGACCAAGUCCUCCUGACAUUCAAUAUGAAGAAAGAUCAAAAUUUAGAACAACUAAAUAUGAUGGAGAUUCAAUAUAUGAAUGGAAUAUAGAUGGCAAAGCCGAAUAUGAAGUAUUAAAUAAUUUGCAAGAAAUGGGAAUGGCAAGAUUAGCUUAUAAAAUAAAAAAUAUUCAAGAAAGAAAUAUUGCAACAUUAUUAGUUUCAGGAUUUACUGGACAAUUAAAGAAUUGGUGGGAUAAUGCUUUAACAUUACAAGAUAAAUUAUCAAUAUUAGAUCAUACACAAGAAUUAGAAGAUGAUCAAGGAAAUAUUCAAAUACAAUCAGAUGCUGCAGAAUUUCUAAUUGUAACAAUAGUUAUGUAUUUCAUAGGAAAUCCAAAAGAAGAAUUAAAUUCUAAUAAAACAUUUUUAACAAAUUUAAGAUGUCCAACAUUAUCAGAUUUUAGAUGGUACAAAGAUAUGUUUUUAACAAAUGUAUUAAGAAGACCAGACUGUAAUGCUUCAUUUUGGAAAGAAAGAUUCAUAACUGGAUUACCAAGUUUAUUUUCACAAAGAAUAAUGGAUAAUUUACAAAAAGAAAUGGGAACAGAUGUAAUUUCAUUUGAAAAUAUUACUUUUGGACAAUUAUUUGCUUUUGUGAAAAAAGAAGGAUUAAUAUUAUGUUCAGAAUUAAGAUUACAAAUAAAAUAUGGAUCUAAAACAAAAGAAGUAGGAUCAUUCUGUGAUGCAUUUGGAAUUAAAAGAAUCAAAUCACCAUCAGCAUACAAAAAAAAAUUAAAAAAUAUUCUAAGAAACCAAGGUAUAUAAAACCUAAGGAAAAUGAACCAACUAAAAAGAGAAGAUUUAUUAAAAAGAAAAUAGUUUGUUAUAAAUGUGGAAAAAUAGGACAUAAAGCAAACAAAUGUAGAUUAAAAGAAAAAAUUACAGAAAUUUGCUCUAAUGAAGAAGAAAUUAAAAAUAAACUAUUAAACUUAUUAAUAAAUGAAAAAGAACAAAGUACAGAAGAUGAUUAUUACAAUGAUAUUUCUAGUUCAGAAAGUGAAGAAAAUUGCAAUUGCACUCCAAAAUAUAUAAAUGUAAUAACUAAAAAAGAAGAUAAAGAAUUUUUAUUAGAUAUAAUAGAAAAAAUUGAUGAUCCAAUAGCCAAAAAAGAAUAUUUAGAAAGACUAAAAAGUUUAAUUAUUCAAGAAGAUAAAAUGCCAAAAAUAAUAGAACCUUUUAGUAUAUCAAAAUUAAUAGAUAAAUAUCCAAAUAUUAAUAUAAUGAAAAAAGAAACUACUAAAGAUCUUCAAUCAGAAAUUAAUAAUCUCAAAAUACAAGUAAAACAAUUACAACAAGAAAUUAUAGAAUUAAAAUUAAAAGAUUUAGAAAUAGAAUCAAAAUUAGAAUUAAUAAAUAAUCAGCCCUCAACUUCUAAUUCUAAAACAGAAGAAAUAUUAAUAUCAGAAAAAUUAGUAGAAGAAUCUCAAUAUUUAAAUACUAUUGAAAGAAUAACAUUUCAAAAAUGGUUCGCUUUAGUAACAAUUACAGUAGAAGAUUUCAAAGAAACAUUUGUAGCUCUAAUAGAUAGUGGAGCUGAUACUAGUUGUAUUAAAGAAGGAAUAAUUCUACUAAAUAUUGUGAAAGAACAAAUGAAAAAUUAAUGGCAGCAAAUGGCGAAGAUUUAAAAGUAACUUAUAAAUUUACAAAAGGAUCAAUAUGUAACAAUGAAUAUUGUAUUAGACAUAAUUUCAUAAUUGUAAAGAAUAUACAUCAUGAUGUAAUAUUAGGAACACCCUUUUUAAUUCAAAUAUAUCCAUUUUUAGUAAGUAAUGAAGGAAUUUCAGUAAAUAUAAUGGGAAAAAUUGUUAUCUUUAAAUUCUUAACUCCAAUAAAACAAAAGGAAUUACAUACAUUACAAACAUCUUCGAUAUAUAAAACAAUAAACAGUAUUACCAAAGUACAACAACAAAUAAGCUAUAUUAAAGAAGAAAAAUCUUAUCUAAAAAUUGAAGAACAAUUAAAUGAUAUCAAAAUACAAAAAAGAAUAUCCGAAUUAGAAAAAUUAUUACAAAAAGAAAUUUGUGCAGAUAUUCCUAAUGCUUUUUGGGAUAGAAAACAACAUAUGAUAGAAUUACCCUAUGAAAAAGACUUUGAUGAAAAGAAUAUUCCAACAAAAGCUAGACCAAUACAAAUGAAUUCUGAAUUAUUAGAAUUUUGUAAAAAGGAAAUAAAAAUAUUACUAGAUAAAGGAUUAAUAACUCCUUCAAAAUCACCUUGGAGCUGUGCUGCAUUUUAUGUAAUGAAUCAAGCUGAAAAAGAACGAGGAGUUCCAAGAUUAGUAAUAAAUUAUAAACCUUUAAAAAGUUUUACAAUGGAUUAGAUAUCCUAUUCCAAAUAAAAAAGAUUUGCUUAAUAGAUUAUUUAAUGCAAAAAUAUUCUCAAAAUUUGAUAUGAAAUCAGGAUAUUGGCAAAUAAUAAUAGACCCAAAAGAUAGAUACAAAACAGCAUUUACAACACCUUUUGGACAUUAUGAAUGGAAAGUUAUGCCAUUUGGAUUAAAAAAUGCACCAUCAGAAUUUCAAAAUAUAAUGAAUGAUAUUUUCAAUCCUUACAGUUCAUUCAGUAUAGUCUAUAUAGAUGAUGUAUUAAUAUUUUCAGAAUCAAUAGAACAACAUUUUAAACAUUUAAGUAUAUUUUUAAGAUAGUCAAGAAAAAUGGAUUAGUUGUUUCUGCUCCAAAAAUGAAAUUAUUUCAAACAAAAAUAAUUUUUAGGACAUAAUAUAUAUCAAGGAACAAUAAAACCAAUUAAUAGAGCUUUAGAAUUUGCUACUAAAUUCCCAAAUGAAAUAAAAGAUAAAAAUCAAUUACAAAGAUUUUUAGGAUGUUUAAAUUACAUAGCAGAUUUCUUUCCUAAAUUAAGACAAGAAUGUUCCAUAUUAUUUAAUAGAUUAAAGAAAAAUCCAAAACCUUGGACAGAAGAACAUACUCAAAAAAUAAAAUAUUUAAAAACAAAAAUAGAAUCAUUACCAUGUUUAUGUCUACUCAUCCUAAAGCAUUCAUGAUAGUUGAAACAGAUGCAUCAGAAUUAGGAUACGGUGGAAUAUUAAAACAAAAAUAGAUAAUUCAAAAGAAGAAUUAGUUAGAUUUCAUUCAGGAACAUGGUCUGAUCCUCAAAAGAAUUAUUCAACUAUUAAAAAAGAAAUUUUAUCCAUAGUUUUGUGUAUAUCCAAAUUUCAAGAUGAUUUGUAUAACAAGAAAUUUUUAAUUAGAAUAGAUUGUAAAUCUGCAAAAGAGAUUCUACAAAAAGAUGUUCAAAAUAUAGUUUCAAAACAAAUAUUUGCAAGAUGGCAAGCUAUUUUAUCUGUAUUUGAUUUUGAGAUUGAAUUUAUCAAAGGAGAAAAUAAUUCUUUACCAGAUUUUCUAACCAGAGAAUUCCUACAAGGACAUGGAUCCAGCAACGAUGGCAAAUGCUCGUGAAUAUGCAAAUUAUUUGAGAACUCAACGAGAUUCUCUCAGCCUUCAAAAUAAAGAAAAAUCGAUUCAAUCCAGAGGAUAUGUCUAUUCCAUUCAGACUCCAAAUGGAAGACAAUUUAUUCCCUCUUACCAAAUUCCUAAAUACGAUGAAAUUUAUAUUCACAAAAGUCCCUAUGCAACCAUUACUCCAAAAGAAAGAGCCUUUCUUAUACAAAGACAAAUUCAGAAAAACACUAUCAGACUUCUUACCCAUCAGAGAUUAAGCAGAAGUGGAGAUUUUCUUCACAACGAAUUUAUUCAACAUUACCAAAAACAGAACAGAGAAUUAUCUGAUCAACUUAAAGAUGUUGUUUAUUAAUUUUGCAGGAAAAUGGAUUCAAAAGCAGGAAGUUCCAGGCCAAAGACUCCUCAGGAUUAUGAGAUGAGUCUUACCCCUGUAACUCAAAAUAGAUUUCAACUUUUAUCAGAUUUCCCAGCAUUGACUUAUAGUCAGGCUGCUACUCCAAUUAUUUCUCCAAUUAGACCCAUUCAACAACUAGCAAAAUCCCCAGAAAAAUCUCAAGGAAAUACUUAUUUCACAAAGCCAUUUACUCAACAUAUUACUUUAACCAGAUUCCAAGAAAUACCCAUAUACUCUACUCUUCAUCAAGUUACUCAAAGGAUCUUUCCUCCAAAAUGCUAUUGGCAACCAGAUGACCCUUCAAAAAAUCUAGAUUAUUAUGAAUUAAUCCUUACAGAUACUCAAUCUGUAGAGAUUUACCCAUUCCAGAUAAAAAGAAUCCAACAUUAUUAGCCAUUCUAAGUGUAUUAUAAAGAAAGUUUGUUCUCCUAAUGAAUGACUUCUCUUUAUUCCAAAAAAUCCUUUUCAGUGAACUUUAUUCCAGAUGGAUUUACAUAUCAAGAUUACAAAAUGGCAUGGUAUCGUGCUUCCUUUUUAGACCAUUCAACCAUUCCUGGUUCUUCACAUUCAAAGACAGUUGCAGUAAAGAAUUCCCAAUUUGGUUCAAUCACUGGUGGAAAUGGUUUGGACCCCAACCAGAAAUUCUACCUCCAAAUGUUCUCAUGGGAUUUCAAACAUAUCUAAAAAGAGCAAAGGGGGAAGAGUAUACAAGACCAAUUUUAUUCCACAUGGAAUUCAAAGUGCCAUGGAUAUUUUGCUGGAGUUUCAAAAUUCAUCAAGAACUGGAAAAACCUCUGCCAAUGUCAUUGGUAAGAGAAUUCAAAAUAAAAUGGUGGACUGGAUUCAAUCAAGAAUUUGGCGAUCAAACUAAUGUGAUCAGAUUCCUGACCAUGGAGACAAAUUAAAGUGGACAGCUACUACCACUACUCAAAAGGAGACAAGACAGUCAACAAUCAUUCCAACCACUACACCAACUCCACUCACUCCAAAAAGAGACAAAGAAAAAGUGACGGAAAUGGCAUCCGAAGAAACAGCCAGUAACUUUUUAAUAAAGCAAAUCAUGCAGAAUCCCGAGAUGCUGAAAGAAUAUCUGAAUUAUUUACAAAAGCCAAAAGAAGAAGACAAAAUAGAGGAGCCAGCAGGAUCAUCUGAAUCUACUUUUGAUCCUUUUGAUGAUCCCAUCGGUGGACAAAAUCCAAACGACUUUUGAAAAAGAAUGUCGGCCACAACAAAUGAAAGCAAAAUUGAAAUUCAAAUGAAGAUGAAAUGCAGAACCGAGCCUCUAUAAAUAGAUUCAAGAUUCAGAAGACAGGCAUCGGCGAAAAAACCAUCAGAGCAAAGUUAGAAAAACUCAUUGUAAUAACCACUCCCACAUAUUUCCAUACAUAGUCAAAGCCUUGUAUUAAAUAUUCAAACCUCUUGUAUCAUUUUGUCAAACAAGUUUGGCAAGUUUCCAUUGUUGAAUUCAAGCUUCCGAUUGUGCACUCUCAAAAGUCAAGUAAGUUUCAUUAAUUACAUUCUAAGUCCCUACAAUAUUUAAAAAAUGAAUACAAAAGAGACACAAAAUUUAUAUGGUAGAAUAAGCUCAUCGAGUAUUCGAGCAUAGCAUUCUAAUAUUCAAACUUGUCUUCUCAUUUAAGUAAUUGAGUAUGCUCGACCUCAAUUCGAACUCGAUCAAUGAUCGGCCAAAUCUAGUAAUUGAUUAAGCUAUUCACAAAUAGCUUACGAGUAGCUCAAUAGCAUUUGAGGGACGGAGAUAUAGGGAGGGAGAGAGAAAAUAGAGAAGAGAAGAGAAGAAAUGAGAGAGAAAAAAAGUGGUGUGAGAGAGAGAGAGAGAAAAGAAGAGGAUGGUAGCAAGGAAGAAGAGAGAAGAGAAAGGGAGAAAAGAGAUAGCAAAAGGUAGAAGAAAGAUGAAGUAGUAGGAAAAAAUGAGGUGUAGGAAUGGGGGCUGACGAUAGGUGGUGGUGAGUGACUGGAAAAGUACAAUGAGGAUGAUGUUUGCAAUACAACAUUAAAUAUCCCAAAAAUACAUCCAUAAUGGAAACUUUUAAAUAUACAACUUUAGUAAAGUGUUUUUUAUAACCUAAUCAAUAUGAGAAAAAAGAGGAGAGGAGGAAAGAUAGGGUAACUGAAAAAGAGAAAAGAAAAGUGGUGGAGGAAGUAAGAAUGAAAAGGGAGAAGUGGUAGCUAUGUGAACGUGGCAAAUUUGAUACUAGCGAGUGACAGAGGUGGUAGUGAUGGUGACAAUGGUGGAGAAAAAAGAGAGAGGAGAAGGGGCGGUGGUGAUUACUAGUGGUUAAUGCGAUGAGUGGUGGGUGAAGAGCCAUAUAGUUUUGCAACCAUCAACAAUAUAUUUUAAAUACUAAAUAUCUCCUAAAUAAUAUAAAUAAUUAUAGGAAUUUGAAAGAAUUUCAAAUUUUUGCCAAAUCCCUCAUUUCAAAUACUGGCCUAAGGUUUCCAAGCACUCUGAGUAAUAUAUAUAUCCUUUAUAUAUAUAAGAAGCACUUGGCCUUUUACUGUUGCUGGGAUUUCGAGUGCAUCUCCGUGCUUGAGGAUGUUGUACAUUGGAGUGCACUUUUUGAUGGUUUGUUUUUUGUACGUUGCUUUUGUGGUUCUCAUUGUGGUUCAGGCUGAGAUUUCUGCCUUUUCCUUGUGGCUCGUGGACCCCACAUUCAUUGCAUGUAUAGUUCAGGCUGAUAAUGGAUGUUCCAACUUAUUCAAUUAAAAAAUAUUAAUUUUUUUAAAGAAUUAAACUCCAAUUGAACUCUUGAAUGAAAAUUAAAAUUAAACUUUUGGGAAAAAUUAGAAAAACUUCAACUAAAUUAUUGAAUUGUAUGAUGAUAUACCUAACAAUCAUGAAAAAAAAAUGAAGAGUUAUGAUAGGCAUAAUAAAAGAUGGAUUUAGAAAUAUUAAAAUUCAACUCCAAUUCAAGAUAGAUAAUUAAACUCCAAUUAAACUUCUGAAUUAAAAUUAAAAUUAAAUUUUGGGAAAAAUUAAAAAUAAAAUUCAACUAAAUUAUUCAACUAUAUGAUGAUAAACCUAAAAAUUCAAGAAUUAUUUCGAAGUCAUAUAUAAUAAUUGAUGAUAUUCUUGGAUAGGUUUUGGGAUGAAGAUAAAGAUCAGAUAGAUUUUACUCUUAAUUAUGAUAGACCUGGUUAUUAUGAAAAAAAUUCAAGAAUUAUGGUCCUUUUAUAUAUAUAAGACACUUGACCCUUUUACUGUUGCUGGGAUUUUGACUGCACCUCGGUCCUUGAGGAUGCGUUGCACGCUUGGUUUAUUGCUUUUGGAAUGUGGACCUCAUUUUACCAUCACACUGGAACGUUGUGUUUCUCAUUGUGCUUCAGGCUAGGAUUUUUGCUUCCUUCCUUCUGGACCGUGGAGCCCACAUUGAUUGUAUGUAUAGUUCAGGCUGAUAAUGGAUAUUCCCAAAUUAUUCAAUUAAAAAAUAUAAAAUUUUUUGAAGAAUUAAACUCCAAUUAAAUUCUUGAAUGAAAAUUAAAAUUAAACUUUUGGCUAAAAUUAAAAUAAACUUCAAGUAAAUUAUCAUACACAUAAUAAUCGCAACUCAUAGAUUUAGAAAUAUUAGAUUUCUGAAUUAAAAUUAAAAUUCAACUCCAAUCAAAAGAUGGAUUAAAACUCCAAUUAAACUCCAAUUCUAAAUUAAAGAUGGACAAUUAAACUCCAAUUAAACUUCUGAAUUAAAAUCAAAAUUAAACUUUUGGGAAAAAUUUAAAAUAAACUUCAACUAAAUUAUUGAACUAUAUGAUCAUAGACCUCACAAUCAUGGAAAAAAUUCAGAAUUAUGAUCAACAUAAUAAUUUGGAAGUCAUAGAUUUAGAAAUGUUAAAUUUAUGAUAUAUAUAAUAAUAAUAUAUAUAAUAAGUGAUGAUAUUUUUAGAUAGAUUUUGGGAUGAAGAUAAAAAUCACAUAGAUUUUACUCUUAAAUAUGAUAGACCUAACAAUCAUGAAAAAAAUUCAAGAAUUAUUGUAAACAUAAUAAUUUGGAAGUCAUAGAUUUAGAAAUGUUAGAUUUAUGUGAUAUAUAUAUAAUACACAAAGAUGUAUAUAUAUAUAUAUAAAUAAUAGUAAUAAUAAUAUACACAAUAAGUAAUGAUAUUUGUAGACAAAUGUGAUAUAUAUAUAAUAUACAUAAAGAUAUAUAUAUAAUAAUAUAUAUAUACAAUAAGUGAUGAUAUUUUUAGAUAAAUCUUGGGAUCAAGAUAAAGAUCACAUAGAUUUUACUCUUGAAUUUUGACCAAGGAGUUAAAUCAUCUAGCUGGAAGGUUAAAUCAAUUGUCUGCCACUACCUUUUGUUUUUUACUCUUUUGGUCAUUUAGAUGCUUAUUUUCUGGCCUUCUGUGCUUCCAAGCUUGGCUAUUUUUGUCAUUUUGACUUCCCUUGUCUCGGUUUUCCAUAUUUCUUAUUUUUUACUGAUGGAGCUACAAUACAGAGGGAGGACAGAUUCAUGCAAAUAGUUUGCUACAUGCACAUAACCAGUUUACAUGCAAAUUCCCCUGCAUUGACUACUUGCUUGACAUCAGGUAUUCUUUUAUCCUCAACCAAAUUUACUUAGGAUUAGCUGUUCAUUUCUUGAUAGUACUAUGUAUUUGUUUGAUGUGAAUCUUUGCUCAGGUGUUUCAGCUAAAUCUUUCAUCAAGUGUUUCAGAUCAGCAGUGAUUUCCUGUCUUCAUGGAGGUCUUGUACUCUUUUUGCUUGCUUUAGUUGCUUUCUACUUAUGUAUUCGUUAGCUUCCUGUUUUUUACGUAGAUAGUUUGUUCCUUACGCAUCAAUAUAUAUAGUUGUUUACAUCCUACAAAGAAUACAUAUCUGUGUAUACGCCUACAUUUUUCUUCCUCUGUCUUUGCCUGGUUGGUCUCUGUGUAUAAGAAACAUGAGCUGCUCUAAGCUGUUCGUAAGGGAUGAUCCUGAUAAACUUCGUGAGAAAAAGGAUAGCCGAAAUUGUAAAAAGAGGGAAAAAUUUGCUGCCCUUUCGGCUGAAGAAAAAGAAGCUUGUCGAUAAAGAAUAGAGAGGCUUAUUAUAGAAAAAAAUUGGAAAAAAUGCUUUCCAAGUCCUUGCCAGAGCAAUUUCAACAGGCUUGCAAAUCACCAACUUCUGUAUCUGUUAUGCAUACCCUUGCUGCUGAAUAAUGUUCUCACGGUACAUGCUAAUUCCAACACUCUUAUUAUAUUUUCAUCAUCCGUCUGUUCACCAUUCACUAUUUCCCUUACGUGGUUUAUGUUUACAUUUGAAUGAUAAAGUUAGCAAAGUAACUGAUUCUCAAAAUGUCAAAGACAAAGAGAACGUUCAUCGAAUUAUUGAUUGUAAUCAAGGUUAGCCAUACUAUUUAUUGUUCUGUAAGCAACAUAUUUACCUAUACUAAAUUCACAUUUUUUGUAAAUCAUUCGUAACUGUUUCCCCUAAUCAAUUGUUAUACUCUCAUUUUACAGGACACUGCAGAGGUACUAUUUCUACAUAAGCUACUAUAUUAUGAUCACUUACACUUUUGAUUGUUUCUUAUGCUGAUCAUUAAUUUUAAUAAGUGCUGUAAAAUGUGGUAUUCAAAUUUCUGAGUCUGCAAACAAUAGUGUUGAACUAUCUCAUACUCAGUCGAGUAAAAAGUCAAAGCAACAGAUUUCUUCAUUCUCAACGUAUGAGAAAGGUAGAUUAGAUAGUUCAUUUCCAAUGUAUUGUUUAUACUCAGAUUAUAAGCAUUAUUCUAUUGAUACAAUGAUUUAUUUUCAAUUUUUAAACGCAGGAUCUACAUCUAACUCUGAGACAAAACAUACGUGCCUAGCUUUUACACAUAGUGCAGGUCAUUUAGGCUUCAAAAGUCAUUAUUGAUUGGUGUUCAUUAUAUAUAACCAUGAACAUUACGAUUAACACUCAUAUUAGUUAGCUUUUUUGGUUAUCAGAUGAAUCAUUUAUAUGUAUGAACUGCUACAAAUUUUUGACAGAAAUUGCUGAAGAGGCUUCAGGUGAUAAAUGUUUUUCCAACUUUUUAACAAAAGUUCUGAUAUCAUUAUUUGUAACAAUUUGAUGAACUUUAUCUUUAAUAGAUUUGUCAGCUAUCCUCCCAACAUACCAAGUGUAUCAGCUUCCCGAUAGUGGCUCUGCUAGAAGAAGGACAACUGGAGGUUACUACCUUGAAUCUUAUACUCAUUGUAUCUAUUAGCUUUAAUGUCUCAUCCAAAUACAUUAAACUCUUUAAUUGCUUUUGCUAUCCCUGAAAAUACUUCACUUCAAUGGUCCAAAUGAUAUUUAUGAUUACCACUCACAUACAUUCAAUGCUAUUACAACUCAUUUCUUCUGGUAGCCUUCCAAAGCCUCAAUAUCAGCAUAUCUCACUCAUUCACAACAUCACUUUCACAUGCAUAACUAAUAGUUGAAAUCACUUCUGAUUAUACAUAAUUGAAUUAUUCAGGUAGAACACAUUCAUCAAUGAAACAAAUGAAAGCCAUAAGUAGUAGAAAGAAAAAAAAAAGAGGUAUACAUUACAGACCAUUACUUGUUGCUUUUCUACAUAAUUAUUUUGACUCUCAACCUUUAGUUUCACUCAAGUAAUUGAUAAUUUUACAGCUAAUCAAGUUGUUGAUGGAGUUCAUGCACUGCAGUUUAUUAAUGAGAAUGCAGAUAGAUUACCUACUAAACCUGAUUGUCAAUACUGUGGAGCAAAAAGGAUGCACUCGGAGACACCUAAUUUCUGUUGCUCUGACGGACAAGUAGUUCUACAUGAAAAUAGGCUUCCAGAUAUUCUUGUAGAAUUAUUUACUGGUCACUCUAAUGAAGCUUUAUCCUUCCGCACAUAUGUCAGAACAUAUAACAAUAUGUUUGCUUUUACUUCUUUUGGUGUACACUAUGAUAAAUCGCUUUGCAAGAGAACAAAUGGUAUUUAUACAUUCAAAGUUCAAGGACAGACCUAUCACUUCAUCAAAGACCUUAUUCCGCAUGGAGGAUGUGGAUUAUAUCUACAGCUUUAUUUCCAUGAUACAGACCAUGACUUCAAAAUAGAAUGGCAGUUUCCGAAAGAUUAACAGAAAGUAUAGUAAUGAGAAUCAUGGAACUGAUGAAAUCUAAUCCAUACGCAUGCUUUCUGCGAAGCCUCAGAAAUGUUCCAAAUUUAUAUUCAUAUCAAAUAGUGCUCAAAUCACAUUCAGAAAAUGAUCAACGAGUGCUCAAUCAUCCAACAGCCUCUCAAGUUGCAGCUCUUUGGACAGAAGGACAAAACUCAGAAUCAAGUUAUGCUAGACACAUCCAAAUUUAUACAAAAGAAGGGAGGGAUCACCUGGUGCAAUACUAUUAUGGUUGUUACGAUCUUCUAUAGUAUCCACUAUUAUUUGGACUUGGUGAAACAGGCUGGCAUCCUGGCAUCAGAAGAGUGACCAGAGAGAAUCCAAAAAGAGAAAAAGAUGUAUUCGGAAAACCAAAUGUACUGCUGUUCUGGCCAAUUACAAAUCUGCUGAAGAAAUGAUAUUUGCCGAACAACAAGGUACUUCCUCCUUAAUCUGACCCACAGUUUCGGGUGGCGAGAAAGCCAAUAAAAUUCUCCGGCAUGCCUUGCUACUCUCCUCACAGUUACUACUGCUACUGCUUGGUACGGCGGAGCAUCACAGAAAACAUCACGAAAGAAAAUAUCAUGAAAGAAAAUAUCAUGAAAUCGCACUCUACUAGUACCAUAUAUUUUGCCUCUUUAUACAUACAUCUACCUGUGAUUAAUAACAGAAAAAGGAUCCCCAGCAGCUAAACCACCAAAAAAAAAAAAAAAAAAAUCAAUAAUCCCAUCUUCAUCUUUGUAACCCACCGUCAUUUCGCAAUUCAUGAUAGUCGCCAGUGUUGAAUGAUAAUGGAACUCCCCGGCAGGCAGGAAGGCGGCGGGCAAAUCAAGAAAGAAUGAAUGUAGACACUACCAGACUGACUUAAAAAGAAUAGUACGCCAAAAAACUGUAGCAAAGUGCUACUGACUGCUACUGCAGUUGUAGUAGUAAUGUCUACUACAACUCUACAUAGGAUAGGAGCGAGUACAAUUGCAGAGGAGAGGAGAAGACGGGACUCGCCUCUCCGGGACUCCUAGUCCAACGCAUUCGGACCGGCACAGGCCUUCAAAACAGGACUCCAGAUCCACUGCACCAAAAACUUCCUACCCCUCCUCCCCUUCACGUUGUACGUCCUUCCCUCUCUGUCCCUCAUCACCUGCCCGAUGUACCCACCCCCGCCCCCCGUCCCGUACAGCCCCUCGCACAGGUCCCCGAUCUCCGUCGGCGCCGUGGGGUCCUCCCCCGCGUACCACGCGUUCACCAGCGGGUUCGAUGCCAGCUCCGCCAGCUCGUGCCCGAUCACGCUUAUCAUCCCGUCCACCCCCACGUCCGCAUUCGGAGGGGCCAGCGCUCCCGGCCCGCCUCCCCCCAUGUACCCGGGCACGGCGAACGGGUACGCGCACACCUCCGGGCACUGCUUCCCGGAGUUGCCCACCCAGGCGUACGGCAGCGUGUAGCCCACCACGGACGGGAAGGUGAAGUAGUGGAAGCCGCAUACGGCCCGGCAGAAGUCCUGGACGGUGACGUCCCCGGAGGUGAGGAUGAGAUAGAUGCCGUUCUUGUGGUCGACGGGGAAGGGCUUGGAUCGGACCGCUGCAGCGAUGACCUGCUGCAUGGAGAGGCGGGUGAGGUGGGUGCCUUGGGAGCAGCGGGUGUCGGAGUACUCGCCUGCGACGAGGACGGAGCUGGAGAUGUUGGCGCCGGUCUGGUCGGUGUAGAGGGAGACGGUGCGCCACCACUGGGAGACGGAGGGGGAGGGAGCGGCGCGGCGAUCGGAGGUGGAGAUGGAGAGGAGGAAGUCCUUGAUGAGGAGCUGGUGGGAGGCGGCCCAGCGGCCGUACCAGAUGAGGUAGAUGUUGAUCGGGGAGGAGAGGACGGGGCCCAUGUGGUAGCGAAGGUCGACCAAGUCGGAGGAGCCCUCAAAUUUCUUGGAGGCGGAGAGGGACUUGGGGGGAAGCUUUGGGUUGAAGUAGGAGUCCGAUUGUGUUUGGAGAGUCUGCUGCUUAGCCGAGGAAUUGGAG
rnacentral:lncRNA from 1 species